rnacentral:lncRNA from 1 species
GGAUCUUCCCAAUUAGAUGAUUUGAGGAGAGAUCAAGUUGUUGCAGUUGAAUUGCUUUCCCAAGUUGAGGUGGUAUAGCACCAGAAAUUUUAUUGUUGGAGAUGUUCAGGUUUGUGAGCAUGUGGCACUCCCCCCAUUUCUCAGAAAGCUCACCAUAAAAAUUGUUAUUGCUCAGAUCAAUAUAAUUUAGAUUAGGGUAUACACCAAAACUUUCGGCUAUGUCUCCAGUAAGUUGGUUUUUUUCAAGCCUAACUCUGAAUAAGCUAGUGCAAUUUUUCAAGCUCUUUGGAAUAGGACCAGUGAAAUGGUUCAUUUGGGCUGAAACUUUUUCAAGAGCAUUACCAAGGCAUAUCUCUUGUGGUAGGUGGCCAAUGAAGUUAUUCUCAGCAAUUUGCAAAGAUUUCAAAUGAGUGAUAUUAUUCAUUUCUAGAGGAAUGGCACCACUGAGUCUGUUGUAAUGAAGGGCCAAAAAGUUUAAGCCGGACAAGUUUCCAAAGGAUGGAGGGAUCAGACCAGUGAGACUAUUAUUUGCCAACUCAAGAUCAUUAAGUGAUGUCAACAAUCCAAUCUCUUGAGGAAUAGAACCGGAUAGUUUGUUUGUAUGAAGGUACAAAGUGGUUAAGUUCCUCAAGUUACCUAUGGAAUGAGGGAUUGGACCGGUGAGAUUGUUAAUUGACAACGCAAGAUCAUUAAGUGAUGUCAACAAUCCAAUUUCUUGAGGGAUGGAACCAGAAAGCUUGUUCUCAGAAAGAUCUAAAGUGGUUAAAUUUCUCAAGUUUCCAAAGGAUGGAGGGAUCGGACCAGUGAGACUAUUAUUUGCCAACUUAAGAUCAUUAAGUGAUGUCAACAAUCCAAUCUCUUGAGGAAUAGAACCGGAUAGUUUGUUUGUAUGAAGGUACAAAGUGGUUAAGUUCCUUAAGUUACCUAUGGAAGGAGGGAUUGGACCGGUGAGAUUGUUAAUUGACAACGCAAGAUCAUUAAGUGAUGUCAACAAUCCAAUUUCUUGAGGGAUGGAACCAGAAAGCUUGUUCUCAGAAAGAUAUCAAGUGGUUAAAUUUCUCAAGUUUCCAAAGGAUGGAGGGAUCGGACCAGUGAGACUAUUAUUUGCCAACUCAAGAUCAUUAAGUGAUGUCAACAAUCCAAUCUCUUGAGGAAUAGAACCGAAUAGUUUGUUUGUAUGAAGGUACAAAGUGGUUAAGUUCCUCAAGUUACCUAUGGAAUGAGGGAUUGGACCGGUGAGAUUGUUAAUUGACAACACAAGAUCAUUAAGUGAUGUCAACAAUCCAAUUUCUUGAGGGAUGGAACCAGAAAGCUUGUUCUCAGAAAGAUCUAAAGUGGUUAAAUUUCUCAAGUUUCCAAUGGAUGAAGGGAUCGGACCAGUAAGACUAUUAGUUGCCAACUCAAGAUCAUUAAGUGAUGUCAACAAUCCAAUCUCUUGAGGGAUAGAACCAGAAAGCUCAUUCUCAAAAAGAUGUAGAGUGGUUAAGUUUCUCAAGUUUCCUAUGGAUGGAGGGAUUGGACCAGUGAGACUAUUAAUUGCCAAUUGAAGAUCAUUAAGCGAUGUCAACAAUCCAAUUUCUUGAGGAAUAUAACCAGAUAGUUUGUUUUUAUGAAGGUACAAAGUGGUUAAGUUCCUCGAGUUACCUAUGGAAGGAGGAAUUGGGCCUCUGAAAUUAUUAAAACACAAUGCUAGAACACUAAGAGAUGUUAGAAAUCCAAGUUGGGGAGAUAUUACACCAGUAAAACGAUUGAAAGUAAAGUUAAGAUUUGUGAUUAGUUUAGAAAGAUUACCAAUGUUGAUUGGAAUGGUUCCAUAAAGGGAGUUGUUAUAAAGAUUAAGAGUGAGAAGGUUAGGGAGUGAUGAGAAAUUGAGAUUGUGGAGUGUACCUCUCAAACCGCAAUUGUCAAGGUCUAAAUUGGAGACACUUCCUGACCUGUGACAAGUCACUCCAAACCAAUGAUGGCAAGAAUUGCGUCCAGACCAAGAAGAAAGGAAAGAUUGGGUUUGAUUAUCAAGACUGGUCUUCCAUGUUAGAAGAGCAACUGCCUCUUGAUCUUGUUCAACUUUCAAAAGAGAAGUGGUAGGUGUAGAGGCAGAUGUAAAAGUGACAUGGAAUAAUGAUAUCGAGUACAGAAGGAAAAGGAGAAAUAUGAAUAAGCAAGGAGUGAUGAUGAGUCGGGGGAGUAAGGAGUAGGAUGAAAAAUAUUCAAGCACCAUUGUUGAAUUGGUAGAAAUGAAGUUAUUAAGAGGUUUACCUGGAGGGAAGGAUGAAGACGAAACACUUAUUUAUAGACUUAAAUGUGAUACAUCCAAGAUUUCCAUUAGUUGGUGUUGACAUCUAACCAUUUGCUUUGUCUACGAUUAAUGGAAUUGAAAAGUAUUAUAUACAUGCAUGAGCUCAAUUCCACACUUAUUUUAUUUUAUCAAAAUGCUCUUAAUUUUUUUAUUAAAAUUUACACCUGUAAUUACAUAUGAAAUAAUUAAAAAUAUUCCUUUUUCACUCUAUGCACUUUUAAAUAUAACUUGUUUAAAAUUAAUCAUUACAAUUCAUUUUAAGAAGUAAGGACCAAAUAUACCCACGUCAACAACCUAGUUGAUAUAGGAAGUCCACUUUAACCAACAUUACUCAUUGUUUAGAUUGAAUUCUUUUAACUAUUUUGCCCUGUGAGAAAUAAACUCUUUUAACUUUAUUAGUUCUUUCAUAAUUUUUAUCCUUACAAUAUGAACUAUCUGAUUUCUCUUAAUAUUUUAUAAAUCAUUUAUGUUAUAUUUCAAAACAAAAUUAGUUGUCAUUUCUUCUACUUCUUUCCCAGACAAAUGCAUAAUUUGUGGUUGAUGUUUAUUAGUUUUAUUAAAGGUGUUUACAAUUUGUAAGUGAGACCCAUCAUCUAUGAAAAAUAUAGACAUGCUUUUUUUCAGUUGAAAGUCUUAAGGAACUAGUAUUUGGACCACAACAAGAACUAAGGGCUACCAAAUUUUCACUUUGUUUUACAUCCAAAUAAAACACACAAUCCUUUAUGUAUUGUCUAUUCUAAGCCAAGGGGCUCUCAAGGCUUUAAAAUGCAUCUCUAAGAUUAAGAGGAGCCUAACAUAUAUAUCAUCAUGAGCUUUUUUUCUCUAUCCGACGUGAGAUGUCAUAAAAAUUGUUCAACAAGACUAAUGCAUUUGUGAAGCUCAAAAGAAUCACAAAAAUCAAAGGAAGAUUUUUUGGGCAUUACAACAUAAAAGAUGCAGGACCCUUGUACACAUGCAUUUUCCUUAUCAAACAAUUGUCUUGACAAGCCAUUCUAAAGCCCACUUGGCUUGCCAUCACUAGUGAUGGACCUACAUCAUUCAAAUUCUCGAUGCUCUUGAAAAGGCCAUAUGCACUUGAAGUAAAAAGAGCUUUGAAUUUUUGUUAGAUACUUCGUUUUUUCUAUUUGGAAACAUAUUUUUCUUUUCUUUUUUUGUUCUUUUUUUUUAAUAGAACGUUUACCCUCCUAGAGUGUAAAAUCCUCUAUUUUCUGUUCAAAUUUCAGCUUUGCAAUUAGAGUCCUAAAUUCUAAACCUUGUCUGGGUUUUCCAGUUUUGUGAAAAAUCACAUCAUAGGGACCCAACAAGAUGGGAUUUGAUUCAAUGUUAGAGACAAAUUUUGGAAAAAUCUACAAAACCCUCAACAGUUGUGGCCAUACCAUAGCUCAAGACCAAGAUGGGAAUUUACAAUCUAAUAAAGCUGAUGAAUGCUUCAUAGACGUGAAGGUCCUCACAUUCUUGAUCGGGAAGAACCUAGGCCGAAAGUAAUCAGCAAAGGAUAAGAACGCCAGGAUCAUUUCACACUGAAACACUUUACUCCAACUACUCUGGUUAAACGGAUUCAUCCUAGAGAAAACUAUGAAGAUAGCAGCCUUGUUAUAGACUUAAAUGUGAUACAUCCAACAUUCCCAUUAGUUGGUGUUGACAUCCAACUACCUCCUUGUCUACAACUAAUGGAAUUGAAAAGGAUUAUAUGGCUCAAUCCCAUGCUUAUUUUAUUUUAUUUUAUCAAAGUGCUCUUAAUUUUUAUUAAAAACACUUGGAGUGCUUCUUCUUGGAUAAACACUUGAUGAGUAUUUCUUUUAAAGGAUAAGAGAAAUAUGAAAAAUACUAAUAUUUCAUAAAAAUAUUCAUUUUACAAAAAUACAUUCUUCUAGUAUUUUUAUUAAAAAUAAUUUUAGAAAUACUCUUACCAAAUGGUGGAAAAUUCUUAACAUGAGUGCAAAUUAAUUUUUAUUUUGAAAAAGUUUUACUAAAUGGAAAAAAAUUCUUCCUCGAAUUUUAUGUGGAUAUGAAUUACUUGGAUAAAAUUGGAGCUUUGUCCAUAUCAUGUUAGUGACUUAUUUUGUUGAGAUAUAUAGUUAUAAGACAAAUCUCACCCAAAUAUCUUUUUUUCGUAGAAGACAAAGCUCAUUGCCUUGAAUGAUAGGAUCUAGAGAUGCACAAAAGUGUGCUUUUUUAUUUAAAAAAAUGUGUUCUAUGACUAGCAUGUAUUUCAAAUUUAAGUUCAACCAAAAAGACCGCUCAAUCUCCUAAGAGCUCUUUAGAGAUGAAAACCAAUUUUAAUUAUAUCAAAUAAAAAUAUAUAAUUAUUAUUUCUUAAGAUGGUAUUGUUAAAUUGCCAAUUUUUAAAAAUUUUAUUAUGGUAAAAAAUGUUAACAUUUUGGGAAAAAAAUUAUUACUAUUUUUUUUUCAAACUAGCAGUCUUGAAAUAUUUUGUCUUAAUUAUAUAAAAAAUGAUAAUUAUUUUUGUAUAGACAAUGAUAUUUAAUUAGUAAUUUUUAGAUAUUCUUAGCAUGUAAAAAGAAGUAGACUUGACAUUUAAUAAUAUUUUGAUACCACUUUAAUCAAAUAUAUUAUUCAAAGUUAUACAUCUAGCUCUAUUAAAUUUAAGUUAAAUGAAGGUAUAGUCGAAAUUCAUAUUGACAAACAAAUGUUACCUAAGUGUAAUUCCUAUGACAUUGUAGUGAAGCAUAAUUUUUUUUUUCUUUUUAAGUAGAAUUAUAUGAAAACUUAAUUUAUUUUAAGCAUGCAUUAAAAUAAUGAUUUGUCUUUUAUUAAUUAAAAAACUAAAAAAAAAAUUGUACUAUUUAUUAUUAUUAAAAAAGAUUUCUUACUUUCAAUUAAAAUUACAUAUUUACAUAAGAAUAUAAAGUUCCCUUUCCAAUUGCAUGUUUUUAGUCUAGACAUUUAUUGUCUUUGAUAGGGUGGAAAAGUCAUUGCAUUCUUGAUUUUUAUUAACAAUUGUGUGGAAAAGUUGUUGUUUUCCUAAUUCUUGUCAAUAAUUGUGUUCAAAAGUCAUUGCAUUCCUAAUUCUUAUCAACAAUAGUUUUUAAGGAAUCUAUACCUAAUAUUCACAUUAUCAAUAGUAUAUGAAAAUGAUCCUAAUUGAUGUGAGUGGUCUAAUUAGAGUGAAGUAUAUAAGAAUAUCAUUUAUUAAAUCUUAGUAUUAAAAUAAAAAGUAGCAAUUGAAUCCAUUAUAUCAAGACUUGAGGAAUGUGAGGAAUCUAAAUUAAUUUUCUUUCCCUAUAAGGUAGAAUUUGCAUUGAAACUCCAUCUACUUUAAUUUAAGGGAUAGCACAAACAAAGUCGUAGGUGUGACAUGCUUUUAUGUAAAAACAAUUUAAGAGUGGUUUGUGCUUUUUAUAAUAGGUAUCAUGAAAAAGAACAUGCUCAAAAUGUAAAUUUUUUAUUUUUUUAAAUAAUAUUACAUUAUUUUAAUUCAAUUUUCAAGUUAAUUAAAAGCAAAACUUAGAUCAUGGAUUGGACAUAAUGACAAUAAAUUUCUCCUAUUAAUAGAUUUAACAAUAAAAAAGAUGAGUCUUUUUUUUUUCAAGUUAAUUACUAAUUUCUAAAAUUUUUAUUAUGGUAACAAAUGUUAAUAUUUUGAAAUAUUUGAAAAUAUGUUAAUUAUCAUUUUUUGCCAAAUUAUUAAUCUUCAAAUAUUUUUAUUUUAAUUAUAUAAAAUAAAAACAAAUAUAAUAAUUAUUUUAUUACAAACAAAGAAAUUUAAUUAUUAAUUUUUAGUCUUAGCUUAUAAAAGGAAGUAGAUUUAACACUUACAAGAACACCACUUUUAAACAAAUAUGUUAUUCCAAGUUAUACAUAUAGUUCUAUUACAUUUAAGUUGAUGCCAGUGGUAUGAUCAUAGUGAUGUAUAUAUUAGUAUUAAAACAAAAAGUCACAAUUGAGUCUUUUGUAUUUAGACUAAGGAAUAAUUAUAACAAUGGUGAAACCUAGAUUAAUUUUUUCCAUCUUUAUAAGGUAAAAUUUGUAUUGAAACUUCAUCUAUUUCAAGGCAUAGCACAAAUGAAGUUGCAAGGAUGACAUGCCUUCAUGUAGAAAUAAAAUAGAAUUUCAUUGUCUAAAUAGGAUAUUUUAUUAUUAUUGUAAACAAAUUUUUUUACUUCUUCCUUUGUUAGCAUCAAGAACUCAGAAAAUAUUUGCUUCACAAUGUUGAGCAUUGAUGCAUCUAUUUAAUAGUGAUUUGUGCCUUUUAGAUUACAUAUUUUGAAAAAAGAUAUGUUCGAAAUGUAAAUUUUACUAUUAUUUUUUUUUUCAAAUGAUACUCUAUUAUUUCAAUUUAAUUAAAAGGGAGACUUAGGCCAUGGGUCAAACACAAUGACAAUAAAUUUGUCCAGAUGGAUUUAACAAUCGCAAAUAUGGUUUUCUUUUUUUUGAAUACAUAUAAAAGAGAAUUUAUGAUCUAGUUUUUUUAUAGACUUAAAAGAACAAAAAAAAUCAAUUAUUGAAUAUACCUACCAAUUCAAUUACCUUAGAAAAAUUAAAACUUGUGCAUAUUUGUUGCUCAGUUUACAAUUCUUAACAAAUUAAUAGAAAAGAAUUAAACAUUCAAGGCAAAAAAAAAUAGGUCCAUUCAAUUUUCCUUUGAAAUGAUAGUGGGUUGUUUUAAUGGGAUUUGAAGUUUGGGUCAAACUUGAUAUAAUAUUGUUUUACCCUUGAAAUUGAUAACGAUAAUGGGUCAUGUAUAAUGGGAUUUGAAAUCCAAAUCUUAGUGGGAUAUGAACUCUAAGUCAAAUAAUGAUAAUUGGUUUGUUUAGUGGGAUUUAAAAUUUGAGUCUUAAUGGUCUUCGAAGUCAUCAAAUAAUGAUAAUUGGCAUGUUUAGUGGAACUUGAACUUUGAGUUUGAAUGGGGUUUGAAGUUUGAGUCAAACUUGAUAUAAUAUUUUACCCAUAAUUGGCCAUCUUUAAUAGCAUUAGAAGUCAUAGUCAAACUUGAUGUAAUGUUUUACCCUUGGAAAUAAUAAUGAUGAUUGGUGGGAUAUGAAGUCCAAAUCUUAGUGGGAUAUGAACUCUAAGUCAAAUAAUGAUAAUUGGUUUGUUUAGUAGGAUUUGAAAUUUAAAUCUUAAUAGGAUUCAAAGUCGUCAAAUAAUGAUAAUUGGCCUGUUUAGUGGGACUUGAACUUUGAGUCUGAAUGGGGUUUGAAUUUUGAGUCAAACUUGAUAUGAUAUUUUACCCACAAUUGGCCAUCUUUAAUAGGAUUGGAAGUUAUAGUCAAACUUGAUAUAAUAUUUUAUCCUUUGAAAUAAUAAUGAUAAUUGGUGGGAUAUGAAGUCCAUCUCUUAGUGAGAUAUGAACUCUAAGUCAAAUAAUGAUAAUUGGUUUGUUUAGUGGGAUUAGAAAUUUAAGUCUUAGUAAGAUUCAAAGUCGUCAAAUAAUGAUAAUUGGCAUGUUUAGUGGGACUUGAACUUUGAGCUUGAAUGGGAUUUGAAGUUUCAGUCAAACUUGAUAUAAUAUUUUACCCACAAUUGGCCAUCUUUAAUAGGAUUGGAAGUCAUAGUCAAACUUGAUAUAAUAUUUUACCCUUUGAAAUAAUAAUGAUAAUUGGUGGAAUAUAAAGUCCAAAUCUUAGUGGGAUAUGAAAUCUAAGUCAAAUAAUGAUAAUUGGUUUGUUUAGUGGAAUUUGAAAUUUAAGUCUUAAUAGGAUUCAAAGUCGUCAAAUAAUGAUAAUUGACAUGUUUAGUGGGACUUGAACUUUGAGUCUGAAUGGGAUUUGACAUUUGAGUCAAACUUGAUAAUUUUACCCUUAAAAAUAAUAACAAUAAUUGAUCAUAUUUUAUGGGAUUUGAGAUCUUAGUCAAACUUAAUAUAAUAUUUUAACCAACAAUGAAAAAUAAAUAAGCAUAUGAUACGAGCUAAGAACUCAUUUCAAAAGUAGGGUCAAAAAUGGUUUUAAAUGCUUAAAAAGUGUGUUUUGCUAUAUAAAAAAAAAUCGUUUUAACGUUAGAAAAUAUAGAUACUUCUUCUAAAAGCCAUUACAAGAAAGACAUGAAAAAUAUUAAAAUUUCAAAUAAAUUUUCAUGUUUGAAAAACAUAUUUUUCUUGCAUUUUUAUUAAAAAUAUGUUCAAACAUACUCUUACAUGAUCUACUUGAGUUCCUAAAAUAAUUACAAACUCUAUUUAAUUUUUAUUUUAAAAUUUUUUUACCUAAGGGUGGAAAAUUCCUCCUCAAAUUAUACAUGGAUAUGAAUUAUUUGGAUGAAAAUUGGAGCUAAUAUCAUAAGAAUGACCUAUUUUAGUGGAAUAUAUAGUUAUUAUAAGAUAAAUCUCACUCAACUAUCUGUUUACUUAUAAGACAAAGUUCACUGCCUUGUAUAAUGGGGUGCAAAAAUACAUAUGAGUGGACACUUUUGACUUAAAGUAUAAUGAGAUGUAAAAAUACAUAUGAGUGAACACUUUUUACUUAAGAUCGUGUUUCACAAUAACAUGUCUUAAAUUUAAGUUCAAAGAAAAGUACCACUUAAACCUCCAAAGAACCCUUGAACAUAACAAUUGAAAAUAAAGAUAAACUCCCUCAUAUGAUAAUAAAAAAUAUUUUUCAAUUGUUAUAAAUUGUGAUCAUGUUACUUAUUAAGUUAAAUAAGAAGUAAAAAGGAUUUUAUAAAAAUGGUAUUUUAAAUGUGAAGUAAAUUUUAAAUGUGCUAAAAAUUUUAGGUCCUCUUUGGACGUGUUUUCUAAUGCUGGUUGAAAAGUUGUUUUUAUGUUAAAGAACAAAAGAUAGUUAUUUAGUAUUUUAUAAAAAUAAGGAUGUUUGAUAAGUUGUUUUUUCAAAAAAUAAAAAUAAGAACUUUUUUGGAUAAGUUGUUUAUAAAAAUAAUUUUCCUAUUUUGAUUUUGUAAAAACAUUAUAAAUUUAAUUUAUGUAAUAUUAAUUAAAUUUAAUUAAAGUCUUAUUGAAAAUAAAAAAAUAGUUUUUAAUUACAAAUAAAUUAAAAAAAUAAAUAGUUUUUAGUAAAAUAUGAACAAUAAUAUUAUAAUAAAAUCAUAAAUAAAAAAAAUUAUAAAAAAAUAUUAUUUUAGUAUAUUUUUUAUGCUAAAGCUCCUAAUGGGCUUCGAAGUCAUCAAAUAAUGAUAAUUGACAUGUUUAGUGGGACUUGAACUUUGAGUUUGAAUAGGGUUUAAAGUUUGAGUCAAACUUGAUGUAAUAUUUUAUCCACAAUUGGCCAUCUUUAAUAGGAUUGGAAGUUAUAGUCAAACUUGAUAUAAUAUUUUACCCUUGGAAAUAAUAAUGAUAAUUGGUGGGAUAUGAAGUCCAAAUCUUAGUGAGAUGUGAACUCUAACUCAAAUAAUGAUAAUUGGUUUGUUUAGUGGGAUUAGAAAUUUAAGUCUUAAUAGGAUUCAAAGUCGUCAAAUAAUGAUAAUUGACAUGUUUAGUGGGACUUGAACUUUGAGUCUGAAUGGGAUUUGAAGUUUGCGUCAAACUUGAUAUCAUAUUUUACCCACAAUUGACCAUCUUUAAUAGGAUUGGAAGUCAUAGUCAAACUUGAUAUAAUAUUUUACCCUUUGAAAUAAUAAUGAUAAUUGGUGGAAUAUGAAGUCCAAAUCUCAGUGGGAUAUGAAAUGUAAGUCAAAUAAUGAUAAUUGGUUUGUUUAGUGGGAUUUGAAAUUUAAGUCUUAACAGGAUUCAAAGUCGUCAACUAAUGAUAAUUGGCAUGUUUAGUGGGACUUGAACUUUGAGUCUGAAUGGGAUUUAACGUUUGAGUCAAACUUGAUAAUUUUACCCUUGAAAAUAAUAACGAUAAUUGGUCAUAUUUAAUGGGAUUUGAGAUCUUAGUCAAACUUAAUAUAAUAUUUUAACCAAUAAUGAAAAAUAAAUAAAUAUAUGAUAUCAACUAAGAACUCAUUUCGAAAGUAGGGUCAAAAAUUGUUUAAAAUGCUUAAAAAGUGUGUUUUGCUAUAAAAAAUAAAUCAUUUGAAAAAAAAAAUCGUUUUAAAGUUAGAAAACAUGAAUAAACACUUAGAUAUUUCUUCUAAAAGCCAUUACAAGAAAGACAUGAAAAAUAUUAAAAUUUCAAAUAAAUUUUCAUGUUUGAAAAACAUAUUUUUCUUGCAUUUUUAUUAAAAACAUGUUCAAACAUAUUCUUAUAUGAUCUACUUGAGUUCCUAAAAUAAUUACAAACUCUAUUUAAUUUUUAUUUUAAAAUUUUUUUACCUAAGGGUGGAAAAUUCCUCCUCAAAUUAUACAUUGAUAUGAAUUAUUUGGAUGAAAAUUGGAGCUAACAUCCAUAUCAUAAGAAUAACCUAUUUUAGUGGAAUAUAUAGUUAUUAUAAGAUAAAUCUCACCCAACUAUCUCUUUACUUAUAAGACAAAGUUCAUUGCCUUGUAUAAUGGGAUGCAAAAAUACAUGAGUGGACACUUUUGACUUAAAGUAUAAUGGGAUGUAAAAAUACAUAUGAGUGGACACUUUUUACUUAAGAACGUGUUUCACAAUGACAUGUGUCUUAAAUUUAAGUUCAAAGAAAAGUACCACUUAAACCUCCAAAGAACCCUUGAACAUAAUAAUUGAAAAUAAAGAUGAACUCCCUCAUAUGAUAAUAAAAAAUAUUUUUCAAUUGUUAUAAAUUGUGAUCAUGUUACUUAUUAAGUUAAAUAAGAAGUAAAAAGGAUUUUAUAAAAAUGGUAUUUUAAAUGUGAAGUAAAUUUUAAAUGUGCUAAAAGUUUUAGGUCCUCUUUGGAUGUGUUUUCUAAUGCUGGUUGAAAAGUUGUUUUUAUGUUAAAGAAUAAAAGAUAGUUAUUUAGUAUUUUAUAAAAAUAAGGAUGUUUGACAAGUUUUUUUUAAAAAAAGUAAAAAAUAAAAAACUUUUUUGGAUAGGUUGUUUAUAAAAAUAAUUUUUCUAUUUUGAUUUUGUAAAAACAUUAUAAAAUUAAUUUAUGUAAUAUUAAUUAAAUUUAAUUAAAGUUUUAUUGAAAAUAAAAAUAGUUUUUAAUUACAAAUAAAUUAAAAAAUAAAUAGUUUUUAGUAAAAUAUGAACAAUAAUAUUAUAAUAAAAUCAUUAAAAAAUAUUAUUUUAGUAUAUUUUUCAUGCUAAAGCUCCUAUGAAAUUUUAGGUAGAUACAUGUCUUCUAGUGGAUAAUUAUAGUCUUUUUCAACUCGGAGAUCCUUCACGACAUGAGCCACCAACCAUUCCUCAUACAAAAUCUUGCCAAAUUAACCUUGAGAAUAUUCCUCAACAUCCUAUUCCUCUUCAUCUCAACCAUCCUCUCCCUUUGUCUCCUCCACCUCUCUUGAACACCACUCCCCUCCGCCCCAAUCUCCCACCCUCUCAUCUCAUGGUCCAGGUGCUAAAGUCAUUGAAUACAUCUUGUAUUGUAUUCAAUCCCAUGUUUUUCUGGCCUCAUAAAUUCUAAACCCUAUCUAGGUUUUCCAAUUUUGUGAAAAAUUAUAUGGAUUAAAUUCAAUGUUAGAGACAAAAUUUUGAACAAAUCUGCAAAAACGCUCAACAGUUGUGGUCAUAGCUCAUGACCAAGAUGGGAGUCUACAAUGUAAUAAUGCUGAUGAAUGAUUCAAAGACUGCUCCAACUAGAUUUUGAAAAUUGUCUAUUUUCCAACAUUUUUGUAUUGAGCUAUUCUCGUAUAAACGGAUUGAAAACAGUUUUUUGAAAAUUUGUUUAAAAAUAAGAGGACUUUUCAUAAAAAAAUUCAGGGUGUUUUAUUAGAGCAAUAGGAGACAUGGAGAAUAUGCCGAUAACUUUUGCAGUGUACAUCAAUGCAUAAUACUUUCAUAGAGAAGAGACUUUUAUUUAAAAAAAAAAAAAAAAAAUUGACUCCUAAUAGAAUUUUAUUACUCCAAACAUUCAGGAGCUAUUCUUAAAAAUCGAUUUGUAAAAAUUAUCGAGCAGACCCACAAUCUGUUCGAGUAACAAAUGGAAAACUUACCAUUUGAUCUUAUUCCAACUACAAUUUAAAAAAAGAAAACAAACAAACAUAUAAAUCCUUAGACAGGACCGAGCAACAAGCAUUGUGGUUUUGUUGUCUGUGGGUGGUCAAAUUUAUCAGUAACCCAAGACUUCCAUGCUCACAAAAGCUCCAUUUUAAUCAAAGGUUGGUGAGAAAAUUACUAACAGGCUCAAGUCUCAUCUUAAAUAGAAGGAAAACAAAAACAUUAUUUACAUGCUUCACCAAUGAAACAUUCAAGUUAUGCAUUGAUAACCAUAAUUUCUGGGGAUAUAACGCUGUUCAACAAGAUUAAUGCAUUUGUGAAGCUCAGACGAAUCGCAAAGAUCAUAGAUGAAAAUCUCUCUAGCAUUACCAAAUAAAAGGUACAACGAAGAAAAAGUUGAUGUAUGUGAUCUUGCUUGGGACUGAGGUGGAUCAAUGUUCAAUAUUUUCCUAAAAUAAGCAGACUAAUUAGUGUAAGAAAUAUUGAUUCAUAUAGAACUUUAACCACAAAAUUCAGAAUUAACUAGGAAGAAGAUGAAAAUACAGAGAAAACUUGAGGGAAGGAGCUAAGACACAGAUGGAGGGAUUGGCUUCACAGCAUUUUGGAUCCGCUGGAAUGCCACUCUCACUCUUUCCUUGAGGCCUUCAUUUUCGCUCUCAACAUUCCCACUCUGUUUAUCAAGAUGCACCACAUUUCCAUCAACGCUUAUCACCAGGUUCCCAUUCCCUUCCAACUUCACAUCUCCAAACAGAGAAACAAGGAGUGCGUGGAUAACCUUUUCUGCUUUCUUCCCAUUUUCUUCUUCAGUUUUCAUGGCCUCUGAUUCAACUACUACCUUGGGGAUCUCAAGACUGAUAUUUAAAACUAGAGCCACAAUGGAGUCAGAGACCAUGUCACUAAUUGGAUCUGAUGUCCAACGCAAUGAAAUAUGCUUCUCCGACUCAUGCUUCACUGUCACCCGUUCAUGGACUUGAAAAGCUGGAACCUCAGAUUCUUCAUCUGGCAAUGACUCAACACUCUCAUAUAUCUGCUUCAGCCUGUGCUUUAUUACACCAAAGGCACCAGUGUAAGGAAUAGUAAUCCUCUGGGUGACAUUUGCCGUGGAUAGCUGUGAGAAGACAUGGAGAUCAUCAGGUGCCAUUAUCUGAUAAGUGAACCCUUUCUUUACCAGUAAACCACUGACAAUUUCACCAACUUCUGGGGUCUUUUCAGCCAGCCUCUCAAUGGUUUUUGCCAUUUUUUCAGAGUUGAAAUACAUUUCAACUGACUGACAGUUCUUUGGGGAAAUAAUUUUGGUGUUGCAGUCAGCAAACUGGGUGAUAAGCUUCUGUUUGAGCCUCCCCAUCUCAUUAGCUUCUCCAUGAACAAGAAUGAUGUUAGGUGGCAUGAGCUCCUUCAAGAAUGUACUUGUCUGUGCAAAAUCUGCAUGGGCAGAGAAAGAAAUGUAAUGGACCUGCAUGUUGAGGGGAGCAGUAAGACCAUUCAUUAAAGUAACUUCCUUGGGUUCAUUAAUGAUGGUUUUUGCCAAUGUCCCUCCCACGACAUACCCAGGUAUAACACAUGCAUUUUUCUUAUCAGAGCACCACAUAUCAAACAGUUGUCUUGACAACCCACUCUGAAGCCCACCCGGGCUCGCCAUCACCACUGAUGGACCUACAUCAUUAAAAUUCUCAAUGCUCUUUAAGGGUGAUAUGUGCUUGAAGUCAAAGGGAUUCGAAUUUGCAAAUUGGUUGCGGAUCCUCUCAUUCAUGGAAUUGAUAUAUGUCUGGUAAACAGCCAUGCACCUUUUUGCAAGGGGGGAAGCAUAAAAUAUGGGAUGUUAUGGAGCUCAGGAUGGUUAGACCAAUACUCAUCAAGGAUAAGAAGGAGUUCUUGGGCACGACCUAGAGCAUAUGCAGGGAUUAGAACACGGCCCCCUUGAGAAAUGGUUGAGUGGAUGACAUCUGUGAAGCGUUUUUCUCGCACAUGCCGAGGCUGAUGGAGUUGGACACCAUAAGUGGAUUCAAUUAUGCAAAUAUCAGGGCAGAACUGUGGAAUCUCAGCAGCACGGAGAUGACGAUCUUCUUCGCUAGAAUAGUCUCCAGUGUAAAGUACUCGGACACCAGCAAUAUCAACCAUAAACAUGGCAGCACCAAGGACGUGGCCAGCUGUGUAACACCAAAAUCGUAUACCAUUUACUUCUAAAGUCUGAUGGAAAUCAAUAACCUGCAGAAGGGAGAUUUAAUUACAGUUACAGGAAGAUUAAAUGAGAUAAGAAAAUUAAGCUACAUAUCUAAAGUCAAUUGUUGUAAAUGGCCCAACAUUCUGCAAUAGAUCAGGAUUAUAUGCAACCAAUAUUUUGGCAUAUGAGAUACACACACACACACACACACCAUAUUGCUUUUUUUAGUGAACAAGUUUUAUAUUUUAUUAGAUUAGUUAUGUAACAAUUUUGAAACUAAAUUCAGAAACAAUAGAAAAAAUGUUGUUGUGGAACACAAAACAUGAAUUAAUAUUAGAAGUAUAGCCAUUUAAAUCUUAAUAGACUAAUUCCUACUAUGUUAGUUUUAUUUGUCCAGAACUGAAGACAAAACUCAUCUGCUCUCAUGGAAGGUGAAGUACAGAAAGCCCACAGAUGUUAUAGAGAUCUAAAACAGUAGUACUUACACUCAGGUAGAAUCUAUGAUUCAGGUAUGAAUGUCUAUGGUAGAAAGAUUAAGGCUUUAGGACAAGGUAGUAGACAUUUGUGGCACUAUUAAUUUCAAAUAAGAGUCCCAAGAUAGAACAUUAGAGCUAUUCGCAAAUUUAAAUAACCAGAUUUAAGCUAAUCUGUGAUACAUGGACCAUUGUGACCAUAACUUUUGUGUUUUUUUUUUUUUUUUUGAUAGUUAUUGUAACCAUAACCUUUUUUUUUUCCUGAUAGACAUUGUGACCAUAACUUUUCAGGCCUUUAAAAAAGGAAGUGCAAGAGAAGGAUUUCUCAUCCUUCCCUACUUUACAAAACCUGAUUUAAAAAUGGAAGUGCAACUGUGCAAGAGAAGGAUGAGAAAUCCUUCCUUACUUUACAAAACCUGAUCAAAACAGAGGAAAAGAAAUACUCUCCAAUAAACAUCAAAACAACUCGACAUUGCAAUUUUAACACUUCGGAUCUACAAGUCGACAUCCAAUCAAGUUGAGUUAUGUUGAGAAAUUCAUGCCUUAAAACAGAUAGUUACAUUAAAGGCACAACCAUAAUCAUAAAUCCAUUUACUGAGAAGAAAACAAUGCUGAGAAAAGCAAUGGGAACUUCAACAUAAUCAAAGAAAGUGAAUGAUUGGGGUUUUUCUGAAGGAAUUUUAGCUGAUAGAUUCAAUUAUUUGUAACCUCUCGCACUCUUACAUAUGAAAGUACAUGUUCAAGUUUGUGUAUGGACACUUUAUGCAGAGAAUGGGUAGGUCCAUUAACCCUUUCAUCCCUCCAGAACCCCAGAAAAGGAACCUGUAAUGGCCAACGGCCUUUGUAUAGAGUGAUCCCUCUAAUACAGCUACAGAGAAUACUCUCAAAACCAUGCUUAUAGUAGUAGAUCACUAACUAUUGAUGUGCUUUCAACCAUUUCAAGAGCACUCAUCAGCCAUGCAGUCAGAAUUUCAACUGGAGUAAAGUUGGGCUCAAGAAAGUCUACUCAAAGCCGAAAAAAUCUCAAGGCCAGACAAGAGCCCAGGGACAGAUUUCAAUUUUAGGAAGCUAUUUCAUACGAGGAAAGGAAUCUCCAAGAGUUUAUUCCUUGAGAAAAAAGAAAUAUUAGCAAACGGAAUGAAGAAGCCAUUGAGAAGCAGGAGAUAUUCAGAUAAUGACUUAAAAUUUGGGUGGUAGAUGUAGUCUCAUUACUUUAAAAAUAUAUCUGCAGUGCUCCUAAUAGCACCAGAUAUUGAUAAGAGAAGGUGCGGAUGGAGUACUUGCAGCUGGUCCCAGUCAAAUCUUUAUAUGCUUUAACAAUAGUUGUUUGGUCACUUUUUCUAAGUAAGGCCAUUCAGGACAGAAUUCAUUCAAUGAUUUUUUUUUUUUUUUUUUUGGAAGAAAUAUGUCCAUACCCAGGUAUAUAGUACAAUAUAAAAGAACAAUCAUGAUAUUCUCUAAAUUUCAUUUCUCAAUUCAGCAGAUCAUUAAGUUAUAAAAACAAAUAACAUUACAAUAUUCAACAAGGAAAAAGAAUAUACUGUGUCACCAAAAGGACAUCAAUGGUUGAAGGAUCAAUCUCAUCAAAGUAUGGCAAAGCAGCCAUGACUGAGUAUGCGGGAUGAAUUCCACAGUCAAACUAUCAUCACAGAACAGGAACAUAAUAGAAACAAACAAAUUAAAAAAAAUAUCGAAAACAAAGUAUAAAAACUAGCAACCAAAAUAAACGAAUAAUGCAUUAUGGUAUACCAAUAUGGUUUUCCCUUUAUAGGACAUGUAGACACAGGAACGGCCCACUUCAUUUCCAGCACCUAGAGGGGUAAUAAUCAGCUGGUCUCCUCUUGUUAAUGAGGAAUCUGGUCUCUUCAAAGACUGCGAUGGCCCUGUAGAUGCCAUUCUUCAACUGAACAAUUCUCAGACCCCUUCAAUUAACACCACUCUAUUUUCAUGCAAAAUGCUCUGCAACCGAUUAAAAAAUACAAAAAAAAGAUUCAAAAAAAAAUAAAAAAACGCUUCAUCAUAAAUAAAAUGAUACCCAAAAAUAAAUACAAUUCCAACAAAAGACAUUUUUUCUCUGGGAACUCCAGUUAUUUUGGUGAAUAUAUUUCUGUUAAGCUUGGGAAAAAUAAAUUUUGACUUUCAGUAAAAUAACUCUGUACAGUUGAAAUUUAUAUUUCCCUGAGAACAUCUUCAAUAGAAAUAACCUAUCUCCCCAAUUGAAGCUCAAAAUUCAAAAUCCAGUACGAGAAAGCACUGUUUGUUUGCUGAGAAAUUGCAGAACCAAAAAUUUAAAUCUUACAGCUCUCAGCACUCAUCCCCCUAGAAAGCAACAUAAAAGCGCAAGAUUCAAUUGCUUCAUUUCCCUCUCUUCUCCUCACUUUUCUCAGCAACCAAACACAACAACCUUAUAUAAAUAAGGAGAGAGAGUGAAGUAGAAGAAAGAAGAAACUCGAAACUUAUAAAAAAAAAGCAUAGUAUGAAGGCAAUUAUAAGAGAUUCAAAAUUUUCAACUCACUUGGUUGCAUUCCCCAGGACUUUCUCGGGAACCAAACAGACGGGAGGAAGAAAAAACAUAAACUUCAGAACAAAGAAAGAAGAAAUGCAUAGAAAAUAGCAGAGGGAGAAAGUUUCGAGAGAGCUAGAGAGGUUACAGUUAUGAAAUGAUUUCAGACCAUGCAGAGGAAGAGAUUGAACUAAAACCCCAAUUUUGAGAAGAUGCUUCCCUCUUUGCCUCACCCUCUGAAAGAUUGAUAAAUACCGGGCUGGAAUGGUCGGUCCGGACAGUCUUCAAGGAGUUCUUGAAAAAGAAUCUGAAGUACAUCUAUGAACAAUCACAUAUGCAUUUGGGCAAUCUAUAGGUUCUCCAUCUGCUCUCAUCGCUGAACUACCACAUUCCUUCAGAUAAAUGGACCUGCCACCUCUGGUUUAUUAAAGACUAAAACAAUUUCCGUUGAACAGGUCUUUGCAUAAACCUUCUUUGGGGCAGGAGACUGAUGUGGAGUAUACUUAAGUCGUUUUCAGAUUAGUAUUUGAAUUGACCUUCUGAGGGGUGCCAAGUGCAAUUCACCAAAAUCCCAAACUGGAAUUAGUCCAUCUCCCAUUUCCUUUGAAAUACUCAACAAUUUAGUUUCUUUUUCUAUCAAGUUUGCCUUCAACUUUUCAAUAUCAGCCUACAUUUUCUCUAGUUUCGUCUGUGGUUCAGCUUGUAUUGGACUGGGUCUAGAUUUUGCGUGUUCUACAUGCUCAUAAGUGCUUCCAAACUACACCAUGUCCUGAACAUAUUCUUUCUGAUACCUGACCUUGGCAUCAAGAGCAGAUUUUAAAUGUCCCAUCUUUAAGACCAGAUUACUACUUAUGAAGUAGUCUAGGCUCUCCUUCAAACGGCUGAGACAGUGAGCAUUGUAACCACUGCCAAAUACUUUGUUAGUUGCUGAAAGAAAGCUUGGGUUCCUAUCUGAAAUUAGAACCACAUGACAAUUCAUCAGUAAAUACUUCAGAUGCUCUAGGAACCACAACCAGUUUUCUUCAUUAUCAGUAUUAACCACCCCAUAAACUAGAGGAUAUUAGUCAUCAUCUACAUCUAAGGCAGAUGCAGACAACAAAGUGUCUUUAUGUGGCCCACUCAAGUGAUAGGCGUCAACAAACAGCAACUCCCUGGAAUUGACUUCAUAAGUCGCUUGCACAUCCAUGGAAUUAGCUUGUAAGAGUCCUCUGGCUUUCCAAAAUUCGCUGUGCUGGAGAAAGUCCAAUAGUGAGGGCUGCUGCUGAGCGAAUGCAAUAGUUCCUUUACAUGCAGUUGAGCCACCAGCCUGUUAAUUUCUCAGCUCAUGGCGUAGGUGAACAUUAAGCUGCUGAAGAUAGACUGGCUCUCUACAUCAGAUCACAUUGAUUUGUUUGGAGUUGCCCAAUUUCUUUGGCAAAUCUUCAUUUUCGUGUCUCGAAUUGUGGUUCAGUUUCCUUACUUCUUCUACCUCUGGACAUUCCAAAACAAAACUUGCAAAGGCUUGAAUGGCUUCUAAACUUUCUGCCAAUUCAGAAUUUUCCAACUGCAGGUUCACAUUAGAGUUCUUCUAACUCCUCUGCUUCAGCAGCCUCAAAGCAUUCCUUUUUAGCAGCUUCACGCUCUUCUGUUGCAAAUCCUCUUUGAUCACUCUCAAUAAUUACCAAUAAUUUUUGCUUGGGUUGAAGAACAAACCUUCUUGGUGUAUACCUUAAAGGAAUCGCAGAUUCAUUAAAUGUUUCACCCAGUCAUUCAAUAGUGAAGACUAUGCAACCAUGAAGGAAAGUGAGUCAAUGCAUGAACUAAUGGGUCGGGCCUUGUGGUGCCUAAAGUGGGCCUAGGUGGGCCAAAGUAAACCUAAGUGAGCUUAGAAAAGUGCUCUAGUGACCUAGAGUGAACUAAGUGGAAUUUAACUUAAAGUGCACCCAAAGUAAAGCCUAACCUAAACUCAAAGGAUGACUAAUGUCACAAUGAGAAGCCAGAUAAACCCUCAACCAAAGUCUCUAAGGUGGCUCAGAGAAGGCAAAUUGCAUAGUAGUAAUUAGCUACAAAUGAACCAUUGUAAAAUACUAAACGAGCCCUCAAUAGAACAUGUGUUAAGGGGACAAAAUGGAGGGUCUACAGUAAUAGAACAAAAAUUCUAAAAUCUUCAAAUCUCAACUUUUAAACCAACAUAUCAACCAUAAUAUUUUUGUCUGAGCAAUUUCAAACUAAAACAAUAGCUAACAAUAAUUAAAUUCUAAUAUUUAACAAAAUCCCAAAAAGAGAGUUUAAACAAAUAUCCUAAUAAAGCCAAAAUUUUCAUUUCUCACCCGAACUUAGGGUACUUGAAAAAUUAACAACAAAGGGGGAUGAACUCAAAACUCAAUAAAAAACAUUAAUAUAGUUUCAUAGAUCAAAUAUUUUCAUUCAUGCUUCCAAAUAGGAGAUAUAGGGUAUAAUCAUUUUCAUAAAACGUUUGAGUUCAAACAUGCUAAUACAUUUUAAACAGUUCAACCAAACAUUUUCAUAUAUAUCAAAACCAUUUCAUAUCAAAUCCAAAUCAAAUACAUUUCAAUUAUUUUUAUUCUAGUUACCAAACAAUAAAUGGCGCUUAGUUAAGUGAAACUUUACAAAUGGGUAGUUAGCCUCAAAUUUGUUCCUUUUAAGGUGGACAGAAUCAAAAGUAACCUCUAAUCAAAGCCCUCAAGGUUGGGGUCUAAAUCAAUUAUAUUUUUCACCACAAAAAUGAAAAGGUCAACUAUUAUAUUUCGUUGACAAGGGCCGAAAAGUCAAUUAUUAUACUCCAUUGAUAAGGACCAAAAAAAUUAAAAUCAAAUUCUUUGUUUUAUUUAUUCAAACUUACGGAAACAUAAGACCUCCAUAUAUUCUAUUAUAAACAAAAGAAAUGUUAUAAUAUAUUUUUCAUGCAAAAAUAUAUUUGAUCCAUACAUAAAAGCAAAAAUAACAUUUACAUAUAUAUAUAUAUAUAAUUAUCUUCUUUUGCAAAGUUUGUAUUAAUUUCUCUUAGCUCAAAAGAGUCCUAAAAAACCUUGGAGAGAAAUAAUUAUGGAAAAUCUAUUCUUCACUUAACAUAACAUAAUAGAAAUAAAUAUUACUAUUUAUCUACAAUUUAAUUAAUCUAUUCCGUAUUUAAAUAAAAUUAAUAAAUUUCUAAUUUGAUUCUAAUAACACAUUACUAAUUUAAUUAAAUUGCAAUUUUAUUUCAUUAUAUAUAUAUAUAUAUAUAUAUAUUUUACUAAAUCUCUCAUUCUAUUUAUUACAUUAAACCAUUAUUACUAUUAUCUUAUUUAUUAACCUAGACCUAAAUAUUAUUAUUUUAUUAAUUAUCAAAUUCAAUAGCCACCCAAACCAUUACCCACUUGUCUCCGGGACACACAAAACCAAUAAAACAAAGCAAGUUCUUUCAAUUGUCAUCAUCAUUAUUAUGAUGAUUCAUUAUUUAUUUAUUUAUUCUUGGUUUUCCAAGUUCUUCCUUCCAUCCAAUGCACAUGCCUCUUUUUUAUUCUUUAUUUCUUUCUUAACCCUAACACGUCUUUUUUUUUUUUUUUACUUCUAGGAAUGUGCACACAAAUACAAUGCCUCAAAACCAUAAAUACAAGUAUCUAUAUAUCACCCCUCCAAAAUCCAGAAAUCAUGUAAUUCUUCUUAUUAUUUAUUUAUUUAUUUUCUUUUCAAUCUAAAGUCUCCACUAACGACUUAUUUAUUUAUUAUCUAAAUCUAAAAUUUCUUUUCUUCCUCUGUUUUUUUUCAUUUUAAAUUUAUUUAUUUAUUUUUCUAUUCCAUUGAAAUUUUUGAAAUUUUCCUAUCUUCAUCAAUAAAUCAACCUAUACUUGCAAUUUUUCAAACAUUUUGAUCUAAAAGUUUAAUAAACAAACCCUAAUCUAGAUUUAGAUUUUCCAAAAAAAUAUCUAAUAUGUUUUAAAGUAACUAACGAAUCUAAAAUAUUAAUCUAGGGGUUAGAAUCUUAUCGGAAAAGUAUGGACUUCAAACCUUAAACCUUCAAACCUUCACCCCUAUGUUCACCAAUUCUCUAAUUUUGGUUAAUAAGGUUUUUGGAAUAGAGAAGACAAGAAAAAAAAAAUCUAAUUCAUACCUAGGACUAUUAAUGGAAAAAAUGACAUUUUUCCCCUAAUGAAUUUAAUUAAUUUUUAAUUUACUAUUUUACCCUUAAAAUUAAUUUGGGGUGUUAUAGUAUCAAUGGAUGAAAAAAAAAAAUCAAAAGGCUUAGGUCAUAAAUUUUAUUUCAAAAUCAUUUAAGAAUUAAUUAAUUAAAACUCAAUUUUUAAGUUUUUAAAUUUUAAAUUCCUCCCUUAUUCAUUAUUGGAUUGAAUUCUUUUAACUAUUUUUCCCUCUUUUAACUUUAUUAUUUCUUUCAUAAUUUUUAUCAUUAGAACAUAUAAGCUUUCUUGUUUCUCUUAAGAUUUUGUAAAUCAUUUAUGUGAAAUUUUAAAACCAAAUUAGCUAUCAAUAUUUCUUCUACUUUUUUCUCAAUCAAAUGCAUGGUUUGUUGUUGAUACUUAUCUUGGUUCAUCUAUAAGUGAGACCAUACUUUUUUUUCCAUUUGGAAGUCCUAAGGAAUCGACAUGUAGCCUAUAACAAGGACUACCAAAUUAAUCAUUUAUAGUUUACAAUAAAAUAGAAUGCAUAUUAAAGGGGCUCUAGACUCGCAACUGUGAAUAUAUUGUUUGUUCUAGGUCCAACAGGUUUUCAAAAUUUCAAAAUAUGUUUACAAGGCUAAGAGGAGUCCAUACAAAUAUAAUAUAUAUGUAAAAUUGCAAGGUUAAACGUUUUUAGAGAAACACUUCAAUUAAAAGCAUUUCCAAUAAAAACACUUUCAAUCGAUCAUUAAUUAUCUUUAGUUAAUUAUCAUCAAUUCCUAAAUAUAUAUUUAUUCUCCUUAUCGGGGAUUUUACUAAAAUGCUUUUUUUUUUUUUUUAUCAAACUAAACUAUGCAAGUGUAGGAAGUAGUUCUGUUUAAUAUGCUCAUAUGCUCUUUAGAUCAUGUUCUCCUUGAGUUGCUUGUUUCUUCUUAACAAAAAAAAUACAGUUUGUCACCCAUUUUGAAGGGAGAUAAUAACGAAAAACUCAUAGUUAAAAAAAAAAAAAAAAAAAAGUGAUUUCAACAGUUUUGGGAAUUAUCACUCUCAACAAUCUAUUAAAAAAUUGUAAAGAUUACAUGUUGGCUCUCCCCAGCCCCAAGGACGCUUACUGUCACAAGAAACCCAUAUCCUAUCUUCCACCCCAAGCCUGCUUCUGCCACUCAAAGUCCAAUCACAAUAUUCAGAGCUCCCAAGAUGAGAGCAAGUCUCCCUACCAAGUGAUGUUACUAGUUCCAGUACUUGCGCUGUUUGGAUGUCUUGUCCGGCCUUAGAAUCAAUGCCAUUACCCAAGAAGAAGAAAACUUAGUUUUCAGCAUGCUUGAAGAAAUAUAUUUAGUUAAUGUCGAGUGAACGCCCAGGGAGAGUGAAAACAAACCUGAAGAAUGCCAAGGAAAAACACCAAGGAUCCGAGGGGUCUGUGAAUCUUGAAUUUGGGAAUGCGAUAAGACUCCAGUCCAUUGUAGAGUGUCCUUCCUGCGACGACAGUAGCAAGACCCGGAAGAAAACCCACAAUCUGGAUCGAGAUAUGAAGAUAAAACCAUUGAGGAUCAUGAUGCUUGAAGUAUCUAGGGAUGAUUGCCCCAGAUGGAAGGAGCACGUCCCAUGCAAUUAGGCCCAUGUCUCCAUGACGCGUCUCCAAAUCUCCAGUGUUAUUGACACCAGAGUUAUAUCCUGUGAGACACACAACAGAAAUUUUCCAUAUCAGACUUCAAAGAGUUUUAUCUGAAGCUCCCACUUUAUUUCCUAGAUAUAAGCCCCUCACGUCUAGAAUGUAAAAUCCUCUGUUCUCUGUUCAAAUUUCAGCUUUGCAAUUGGAGUCAAUACAUCUCGUAUUCAAUUCAAUCCUCAUCUUUUUAUGGCCUCCUAAAUUCUAUGACCCAGUUUUGUGAAAAACUACAUCAUGGGGACCCAAGAGGAUGGGAUUUGAUUCAAUGUUAGGUACAAAAUUUUGGAAAAAUCUGCAAAACCCUCAACAGUUGUGACCACAGCUCAAGACCAAGGUGGGAAUUUACAAUCUAAUAAUGCUGAUGAAUGCUUCAUAGACUGCUCUACGAAACUAGAGUUUGUUAGAAUGCCUGUCCUUUGUUGAAAGACAUGAAGAUCCUCACAUUCUCGAGCAGGAAGAACCUUGGCCGAAAGUAGUCGGCAAAGGAUAAGAAGGCUGGGAUCAUUUCACACUGAACUUUACUCCAACUACUCUGGUUAAACGUAUUCAUCCUAGAGAAAACCUGUGAAGAUAUUAACCAUGACAUAGACUUAAAUGUGAUACAUCCAACAUUCCCAUUAGUUGGUGUUGACAUCCAACUACCUCUUUGUCUACAACGAAUGGAAUUGAAAAGGAUUAUAUAAAGAAUUUGAUAAAUGUGUGAACUUCAUAUUUUCAUUAAAAUCAAAUCGUAUAAAUAAUACAUUGAAGCAAAACAGAAAGCAAUAACUAUAUCCUAUAUUUCAGCAAUAUUCAAGCUGACCUAUUCUUAAAGAAUACUAACAGAAAAAUAUUUGGAGGACUACAUUCAUCCCAGAGAAACCCUGUGAAGAUGGCAGCCUUGUUUUAGCUCUUUGAAUAGAGUGAAAUAACAUAGCAGAAGCUGAUCAAACCUGGCAUGGAGGGCCCCCCAUUAAUAAAAUCAACUUGUCCAAGCAUCCGGUGAUGCAGAUUGUUUGGCAGCCUCAGAAGUAGAGACACGGUCAUCGGCAUUCCCGCACUCCUCCACGACAGCCCUGCAUCACAACCAAUUUACGGGUCUAUUACAAAUGAGAGAGAGAAAAAGAGAUUUUCAUGUUAAUGAAAUCAUUCACCUUAGGAUCGAACUGAAACGAUAAACAUCAAUGAUUCCGGAUGAUUGAAUUUGAGUGCAUCCCCAGCAGGCUCUUCAUAUUCAGUAGCCUACUUGGUUACUGAUACACCUGCAAAGUUGAAAGCAACAGGAGGUAAAAUCAUCACAUUCUUUAAUAAAAAUGUCAUCACAUACGACUCUUUAGCUGAUAUAGAUACAAAUGAAGUACCUGCUUGAGGGGCCCUUCAAAGGAAAAUAUAUUCCAAAGGUUGCAAGGACAUCACAUGGUGGCAGAUCAUGCUUCUGAAUAACCUGCACAUUCCACCCUUCAAAUAUAUUAGAAAAAUAAUAUAAUUGUAGUUUUAUAUUAUAAUAGAAGUUCAAAAAAACAAGAGAAAUUAUGCACGAUUGCUUGCGCCCACCUCAUGGAUGUCAUAACAGUAUGCCUUCUUGCUUUUACAUUUUUCAGUAAUAAUUGAUCGAUAACGAAUUUACAUGGAGAAGUGAGAACCCUCAGCUAGUUUCAUCCCCAUGACCAUGACCCAGCAGCUCACCCAACGUAAUCACAGAAAACGGUUUUGGCAAUGGUGGCCACUGUUUUGAGAGUGCUCGAGCAACUUGUUGCAUAGUUGGCCGAGAUUGGGGAUUAACGCACAAACAUGCAAAUGCCAACUUCACUGCAACCACUACUUCCUCUGCCACUUGAUUCACAGGAGGUGAGGGGCGCUGGUCUAUCACAUCAUUCAGCAGGAAAUGGCCGACCGUUGAUGGUGAUGCAGAUGAGGAGGACGCUGAUGAUAACAGGGAUGAGAUAAGCUCUCCGGGAUGCCUUCCCAUAAUUACUUCUAAUGUCACAACACCGAAGCUGUAAACAUCGGUUUUAUUAUCCACCUUCAUUGUGUAAGCAAGUUCUGCAAAAGAAGAUUAGAUCAUGCUCUGCUCUGCUAAGCAAUUAGAAACGUUACAUAUGACGUAUAGAGGCCAUUUAGAGAUAAGCAAGGCACUAAGAAAAAUGUACCUGGAGCUGUAUAACCAAAAGUUCCUGCAAAUGAAGUCCAAUUAGAUGAGUCUGACUUUAAAAGCCUAGCCGUGCCGAAGUCAGAUACAUGAGCUUCAUAUUCUGAAUCUAACAAAACAUUGUUGCUCGAUAUGUCUCGAUGAAUUACAGGAGGUGAGCAAUCAUGGUGCAUAUACGAUAAAGCUUUAGCCACGCCUUUAAUAACGUUUAGCCUCACAAUCCAAUCUAAUCUUUCUGCUUCUUCGUCAUUGCAUAGAAUGUUUUGCAAACUCCCCUUUUCCAUAAACUCAUAAACCAAAAAUGAGUUCUCUGCAAAUGAACUGAAGCCAUAAAGCUUGACGAUGUUGCGGUGCCUUAUCUGUGUUAAAGCAUGAAUCUCGCUUUUGAAAGCUUUCAAAUCAGCCAUAUCUCCAUCUUCUGAUGAGUGAAGCUUUUUCACAGCAACAACCCGACCUGUUGGCAACUCAGCCUUGUAAACAGUACCAUAUCCUCCAGUGCCAAUACACUGUUUCGAACUGAAAUUGUCGGUCCCCUGUAUGAUGUGCUCAUACAACAAUUCCCCAUCAUGGCCCCAUAUUGCAAAUAGAUCUUCGACAUCUGCUUCUGGAGACUUGUUUUUUCUCUUCCUCAAUUUUUGGAAAAGAAAAAAAAUGCCAAUAACAAAAGCAAGUAAGAACAAUAGACUGCUCACAAGUAGGAGUAUUACUAUCAAAACAGAAAACUUGUUGGCCUUCUUUCGACUAGCACUGCAUGGCUUGAGAUGAGUGACAUUAUUACCACACAGACCUUUAUUAUUUUUGAAUGCCUCAAAUGGAGCGAAGGCUUUGAUGUUGGGGAGAGGACCUUCCAACUGAUUGUAGGAUAUAUCAACAACUGUCAGGCUUAUCAGAUCAUCAAACGUGUGUGGGAUGGUGCCAGAGAGCCCGUUAUGGGAGAGAUUCAACGUUUCCAGGUACUGUAAUUCUCCAAGUAGCGGUGGUAUCUCUCCUAUUAGCAUAUUUUGACUAAGAUCGAGACUUUCAAGAUGAUGCAACUUUCCAAUUUCAUCGGGAAUGCUAUCCACAAAUCUAUUCUCGCUCAAGUUGAAGGACCUUAAUUUCCAGAAGUUUCCCAGUUGUUUGGGAAUUGAACCGCUUAUGUUGUUUGAUGCCAAGUCAAGAAUUUCAAGAUUGGAUAAGUUUCCCAAUUCCAAAGGAAUACUACCUGAAAGACUGUUGUUUCCUAAUAACAAUUUGAACAAUAAUGGCAACAUACCCAACUCUUUCAGGAUCUUCCCACUUAGAUGAUUGGCGGAGAGAUCAAGCUGUCGCAGCUGAGUUGCUUUCCCAAGUUGAGGCGGUAUAGCACCAGAAAUAUUGUUGUUGGAGAUGUUCAGGUUUGUGAGCAUGUGGCACUGCCCCCAUUUCUCAGAAAGCUCACCAUAAAAAUUGUUGCUGCUUAGAUCAAUAUAAUUUAGAGUUGGGUACACACCAAAACUUUCGGCUAUGUCCCCUGUCAAUUGAUUUCUUUCAAGCCUAACUCUGAAUAAGCUAGUGCAAUUUUUCAAGCCUUUUGGAAUAGGACCAGUGAAAUGAUUUCCAGAGGCUGUAAAGUUUUCAAGAACACUACCAAGGCAUAUCUCUUGUGGUAGUUGGCCAAUGAAGUUAUUCUCAACUAACUGUAAAGAUUUCAAAUGAGUGAUAUUAUUCAUUUCAAGAGGAAUCGCACCACUAAGCUUGUUGUGAUCAAGGAACAAAAAGGUUAAGCUGGACAAGUUUCCUAUGGAUGGAGGGAUUGGACCACUGAGACUAUUAGCUGCCAAGUCAAGAUCAUAAAGUGAUGUCAACAAUCCAAUUUCUUGAGGGAUGGAACCAGAAAGCUUGUUCUCAAAAAGAUAUAAAGUGGUUAAAUUUCUCAAGUUUCCAAUGGAUGGAGGGAUCGAACCAGUGAGACUAUUAGUUUCCAACUCAAGAUCUAUAAGUGAUGUCAACAAUCCAAUUUCUUGAGGAAUAGAACCAGAUAGUUUGUUUGUAUGAAGGUACAAAGUCGUUAAGUUCCUCAAGUUACCUAUCGAAGGAGGGAUUGGACCGAUGAGAUUGUUAAAUGACAAUUGAAGAUCAUUAAGAGAUCUUAACAAUCCAAUUUCUUGAGGGAUGAAACCAGAAAGCUCGUUCUCAAAAAGAUAUAAAGUGGUUAAAUUUCUCAAGUUUCCAAUGGAUGGAGGGAUCGGACCAGUGAGACUAUUAGUUGCCAACUCAAGAUCAUUAAGUGAUGUCAACAAUCCAAUUUCUUGAGGAAUAGAAUCGGAUAGUUUGUUUGUAUGAAGGUAUAAAGUGGUUAAGUUCCUCAAGUUACCUAUGGAAGGAGGGAUUGGACCAGUGAGAUUGUUAGUUGACAAUUGAAGAUCAUUAAGAGAUUUUAACAAUCCAAUUUCUUGGGGGAUGGAACCAGAAAGCUUAUUCUUGAAAAGAUGCAAAGUGGUUAAGUUCCUUAGGUUUCCUAUGGAAGGAGGGAUUGGACCAGUGAGAUUGUUAGUUGACAAUUCAAGAUCAUUAAGAGAUCUUAACAAUCCAAUUUCUUGAGGGAUGAAACCAGAAAGCUCGUUCUCAAAAAGAUAUAGAGUGGUUAAGUUUCUCAAGUUUCCUAUGGAUGGAGGGAUUGAACCAGUGAGACUAUUAGUUGCCAACUCAAGAUCAUUAAGUGAUGUCAACAAUCCAAUUUCUUGAGGAAUAGAACCAGAUAGUUUGUUAGUAUGAAGGUAUAAAGUGGUUAAGUUCCUCAAGUUACCUAUGGAAUGAGGGAUUGGACCAAUGAGAUUGUUAGUUGACAAUUGAAGAUCAUUAAGAGAUCUUAACAAUCCAAUUUCUUGGGGAAUGAAACCAGAAAGCUUGUUCUUGAAAAGAUGCAAAGUGGUUAAGUUCCUCAAGUUUCCUAUGGAAUGAGGGAUUGGACCUGUGAGAUUGUUAGUUGACAAUUGAAGAUCAUUAAGAGAUCUUAACAAUCCAAUUUCUUGAGGAAUGGAACCAGAAAGCUUGUUCUCAAAAAGAUACAAAGUGGUUAAGUUCCUCAGGUUUCCUAUGGAAGGAGGAAUUGGACCAAUGAGAUUGCUAGUUGACAAUUGAAGAUCAUUAAGAGAUCUUAACAAUCCAAUUUCUUGAGGAAUGGAACCAGAAAGCUUGUUCUCAAAAAAAUGCAAAGUGGUUAAGUUCCUCAAGUUUCCUAUGGAAUGAGGGAUUGGACCAAUAAGAUUGUUAGUUGACAAUUGAAGAUCAUUAAGAGAUCUUAACAAUCCAAUUUCUUGAGGGAUGGAACCAGAAAGCUCAUUCUCAAAAACAUACAAAGUAGUUAAGUUUCUUAAAUUACCUAUGGAAGGAGGAAUUGGGCCUCUAAAAUUAUUAGAAGACAAUGCUAGAACACUAAGAGAUGUUAGAAAUCCAAGUUGGGGAGAUAUUACACCAGUGAAAUGAUUGAAAGCAAAGUUAAGAUUUGUGAUUCGUUUGGAAAGAUUACCAAUGUUGAUUGGAAUGGUUCCAUAAAGGGAGUUGUUAUAAAGAUUAAGAGUGAGAAGGUUAGGGAGUGAUGAGAAAUUGAGAUUGUGGAGUGUACCUCUCAAACCGCAAUUGUCAAGUUCUAAAUUGGAGACACUUCCUGACUUGUGACAAGUUAAUCCAAACCAAUGAUAGCAAGAAUUGCGUCCAGACCAAGAAGAGAGGAAAGAUUGGGUUUGAUUAUCAAGACUGGCUUUCCAUGUUAGAAGAGCGAGUCUUUCUUGAUCUUUUUCAACUUUUGAAAGAGAAGUGGUAGGUGUAGAGGCAGAUAUAGAAGUGACAUGGAAUGAUGAUAUUGAGUAUAGAAGGACAAGGAGAAAUAUGAAGUAGUAAGGAGUGAUAAAGAGUCGAGAGAGUAAGGAGUAGGAUGAAGAAUAUUCAAAGGCCAUUGUUGAAUUGGUAGAAAUGAAGUUAUUAAGAGGUUUACAUGGAGGGAAGGAUGAAGAUGAAACACUUAUUUAUAGACUUAAAUGUGAUACAUCCAACAUUUCCAUUAGUUGGUGUUGACAUCUAACCACCUCUUUCAUCUACAAAUAAUGGAAUUAAAAAGGAUUAUAUACAUGAGCUCAAUUCCACACAUAUUUUAUUUCAUUUUAUCGAAAUGCUCUGAAUUUUUCAAUUAAAAUUUACACCUACAAUUACAUAUGAAAUAAUUAAAAAUAUUUCUUUUCCACUCUAUGCACUUUUAAAUAUAACUUGUUUAAAAUUAAUAAUUACAAUUCAUUUUAAGAAGUAAGGACCAAAUAUGCCCACGUCAACAACCUAGUUGAUACAGGAAGUUCACUUUAACCAACAUUACUCCUUGUUUGGAUUGAAUUCUUUUAACUAUUUUGCCCUGAGAGAAAUAAACUUUUUUAACUCUAUUAGUUCUUUCAUAAUUUUUAUCCUUACAAUAUGAACUAUCUUAUUUCUCUUAAUAUUUUAUAAAUCAUUUAUGUUAUAUUUCAAAACCAAAUUAGUUGUCAUUUCUUGUACUUCUUUCCUAGACAAAUGCAUAAUUUGUGGUUGAUGUUUAUCAUUUUUAUUAAAGGUGUUCACAAUUUGUAAGUGAGACCCAUCAUCUAUGAAAAAUAUAGACAUGCUUUUUUUUCAUUUGGAAGUCUUAAGGAACUAGUAUUUGAACCACAACAAGGACUAAGGACUAACAAAUUUUCACUUUGUUUUUCAUCCAAAUAAGACACACAAUUGUUUUUGUAUUAUCUAUUCUAAGCCAAGGGGCUUUCAAGGCUUUAAAAUGCAUCUCUAAAGUUAAGAGGAGCCCAACAUAUAUAUCAUCAUGAGCUUUUUUCCCUAUUCAACGUGAGAUGUCACAAAAAUUGUUCAACAAGAUUAAUGCAUUUGUGAAGCUCAGAAGAAUCACAAAAAUCAAAGGAAAAUAUUUUGGGAAUUACAACAUAAAACAUGCAGGACCCAUGUACACAUGCAUUUUCCUUAUCAAACAGUUGUCUUGAAAAGCCAUUCUAAAGCCCACUUGGCUUCCCAUCACUAGUAAUGGACCAACAUCAUUCAAAUUCUCAAUGCUCUUGAAAGGCCAUAUGCACUUGAAGUAAAAAGAGAUUGAAUUUUUGUUAGAUAGUUUGUUUUUGCUAUUUGGGAACAUAUUUUUCUUUUCUUUUUUUUGUUCUUUUUUCUUUUUAAUAGAACGUUUACAUGGUAGCCUGCUCCAAUCCCCUUACGAAACUUUUGUUAUUAGGUUAGCCAUACACUUCACAUGUUUGUUUCUAGCGAUUCACAUGGUAUAAUCAAAUGAUACAAGUCUUGGAUAAGAAUCUACAAUGCACUAGAACACCCUUGUUGAUGAUCCUUUACUCCGAUAGUGUCUAGAGUUCCUCGAACAAUAUGAUAUCUCACAUUGGGUAAAUCCUUAACCCUUCCCCCUCUUACUAAGACUACAAAAUGUUCUUGUGAAUUAUGGCCAAUACCAGGUAUAUAAGUAGUGAUUUCAAAUCCAGAGGUUAAUCGUACUCUGGCAACUUUACGUAAGGCAGAGUUUGAUUUUUUUGGGGGUGAUAGUAGAAAAGUUGACAGAUAAGUCACCCUUACUAGAGUGUAAAAUCCUUUAUUUUUUGUUCAAAUUUUAGCUUUGCAAUUAGAGUCAAUACAUCUCGUAUUCAAUUCAAUCCUCAUAUUUUCUGGACUCCUAAAUUCUAAACCCUAUCUGGGUUUUCCAGUUUUGUGAAAAAUCACAUCAUAUGGACCUGACAGGAUGGGAUUUGAUUCAAUGUUAGAGACAAAAUUUUGGAAAAAUCUGCAAAACCCUCAACAGUUGUGGCCAUACCAUAGCUCAAGACCAAGAUGAGAAUUUACAAUCUAAUAAUGCUGAUGAAUGCUUCAUAGACUGCUCUACAAAACUAGAGUUUGUCAGAAGGCCUGUCCUUUGUUGAAAGACGUGAAGGUCGCAGGAAGAACCUAGGCCGAAAGUAAUCAGCAAAGGAUAAGAACACCAGGAUUAUUUCACAUUGAAACACUUUACUCCAACUACUCUGGUUAAACGAAUUCAUCCUAGAGUAAGCAUGUGAAGAUAGCAACCUUGUUAUAGACUUAAAUGUGAUACAUCCAACAUUCCCAUUAGUCGGUGUUGACAUCCAACUACAUCUUUGUCUACAACUAAUGGAAUUGAAAAAUUAUAUAGCUCAAUCCUGCACUUAUUUUAUUUUAUUUUAUCAAAGUGCUCUUGGAAUUGAAAAGGAUUAUAUAGCUCUUAAGUUUUAUUAACAUGAGUGCAAAUUAAUUUUAAUUUUGAAAAAGUUUUACUAAUUGGUGGAAAAUUCUUCCUCGAAUUAUAUGUGGAUAUGAAUUACUUGGAUAAAAUUUGGAGCUUUGUUGAUAUCAUGUUAGUGACUUAUUUUGUUGAGAUAUAUAGUUAUAAGACAAAUCUCAGCCAACUUUCUUUUUUUCUUAGAAAGACAAAGCUCAUUGCAAUGAAUAAUGGGAUCCAGAGAUGUAUAAAAGUGUGCAUUUUUACUUAAAAAAAAUGUGUUCCAUGACUAGCAUGUAUUUCAAAUUUAAGCUCAAACAAAAAGACCACUCAAUCCACUAAGAGCUCUUUAGAGAUGAAAACAACAUAAUAAUUGAAAACAAAAAUAAACUCAUUGAUAUGAAAAUAAAAAAUAUAUUUAUUUUGUUAUAAAAACUAUGAUAUCACAGAUUAAUUUGAAUGUGAAGUGAACUGGACUAUUGACUCUUUAAUUAAUAAAUCAAUUAAUUUUUAUAGUACUUUUUUUAUUAAAACAAUUCCUUAAUUGUGAAGUAAAUUUUACUUAUCUAUUCAUAUGUAUUUGAUAAAAUUAACCUUAAUGGGAUAGAAACAUCAUGCAAUUCAUUUUGUUUUUAUCAACAAUUCUUAUAAAGAGAUCACUUAAGGGAGAGAACUCACAUCAUCAAUGCUGAGUAGUUAUCACAAAGUGAUUAAAAUUUUUUUCCUAAAAAAAAAAUAUAUUUUUAUGAAAAUUGCUUUUAUUUAAAAUCAAUCAUAAUAUAAAUCAUGUUUUUAUUUUUUUUAUUAAGUUAAUAAGAUUUAAAAUUAAAAUAAAUUUUACAAAAUCAGUAAAUGUUUAUAUAUAUAAAAAAAUCAAAUGGCUCCACUCAUCCAUUAUUCAUGAUUGAUUGAACAAUGUAAAGAUGACAGUAUCUUCUAUGUAUAAUUUAAACACUCUCACCCUAGACUUUUAUACAUGAAUAGCUAUUAGAAAAUACAAAAUUUAAUGCAAAAAUUGGACUGAGGGAGUAACAUAACCUCAUCAAUGCUUGUAGUUGAUACAUAAAUAGAUUGAAGAGGAUACAACUACCAUCACAAAUAAUAAAUGAAAAAUAAUUAAUAUAACCAUAAUUUAGUUUUUCUUUUGUUUAAAUAAUCAACUAUUCUAGUUGGGGAAUGGAUCAUAUAUGGGGUCCAUGAAUUAAAUUAUUGUACAAAAUGUCUUACAAGAAAAAUGUUACUUAGCUUACGAUUUAUACAUUUGCUUUCAAUUAACUAAUGGUUCUAAUAUAUAAGUGUUCAUUUGGAUAAAGUUCUUAUUUUCCAGUUUUAAAAAUAAAAAAUAGUAAUAACUUCUAUUGAAAAUAUAAAAAAUCAUCUAACUCUUAAGACACAACUACCAUCACAAAUAAUAGACAAAAAUAAUUAAUAUAACCAUUGUGAGGUUGUUCUUUUGUUCAAAUAAUCAACUAUUUUAGUUGGGGAAUGGACCACACAUAUGGGGUCCAUGAAUUAAAUUAUUGUACAAAAUGUCUCCAAGAAAAAUGUUAUUUAGAUUAUUAUUUAAACAUUUGCUUUCAAUUAAUUAAUUGUAUUAAUAAUUGAGUGUCCAUUUGGAUGGAGUUCUUAUUUUCUAGUUUUAAAAAUAAAAAAUAGUAAUAACUUCUAUACAAAACAUAAAAAGUCUUCGAGUCUUAACACACAACUACCAUCACAAAUAAUAGACGAAAAACAAUUAAUAUAGUCAUUAUGAGGUUGUUCAUUUGUUCAAGCAAUCCACUAUUCUAGUUGGGGAAUGGACCACAUAUGUGGUCCAUGAAUUAAAUUAUUGUACAAAAUGUCUCACAAGAGAAAGGUUAUUUAGCUCACUAUUUAUAUAUUUGCUUUCAAUUAAUUAAUUUUUACUAAUAAUUAAGUGUCCAUUUGGAUGGAGUUUUUAUUUUUCUAGUUUUAAAAAUAAAAAACAGUUACAACUGCUAUAUAAAAGACAAAAAGUCUUCUAGUUUUAAGACACAACUACCAUCACAAAUAAUAGAUGAAAAACAAUCAAUAUAACCAUAAUGAGGUUGUUCUUUUGUUCAAAUAAUCAACUAUUCUAGUUGGGGAAUGGACCAUACAUGGGGUCCAUGAAUUAAAUUACUGUAUAAAACAUCUCACAAUAAAAAUGUCAUUUAGCUUACUAUUUAUACAUUUCCUUUCAAUUAAUUAAUUAUACUAAUAAUUAAGUGUCCUUUUGGAUGGAGUUAUUUUCUAGUUUUAAAAAUAAAAAUAGCAAUAACUUCUACAUGAAAUAUGAAAAGUCUUUGAGUCUUAUAUCCAAAAUGUAGUGCCUUUUAAACUUGAUUUGAAAAAAAAAAUAUUAAAAAAAAUUACUAUUUGGAAUUUUAAAUUUUUUGAAAAAUAUUUUUCAAAAUGUAAGGUAAGUCUAUAUUUUUUGUAUAUGAAUAUAUGUUUUUUAGAUAAAGUUUUCUUUUGUAAAAGAUAAAAAAUAGAAAAUAUAUCUAAAUGGAACAUAAAUGCUUACAUAAAAAUUAUCAAACAAUGAAAUGUUACUUAAAUCUGUAGUUAAAAAAUUAUAAUAGAGAACUCGUAAGCAAAAAAGUAUAUAUACUUAGUAAAGAGAAUUAAGACUAAUUAAUUGCAAAGAAAUUGUGACACAUUCAUGGGUAAAUCCAACACAUGUUUAGUGCAUGGCCCAAGUUUGUUAAAAUACUAUCAAAUAAUAAAGUUAUUAUGAACUCAAGAACUUCGGAUUACCAAAACCAACCUAAAUAAUUGGUCAUGCAUGACCUAUUUUAAAGUCUUUGCCAAUCCUGAAGUUAACUUGAAAAUUGUGUAAACAUGUUUCUUAGAAAUACACAUUUCAAACUCUCUCAAUCUUUCUUUACCAAAAACUCAAUACACCCUUUUUGUACCUCUCUUUACUCUUUGCUUAGUUUUUCCUUCUCUAUAAAAAUACUAAAUAAAGUCACAUAUUUAUGGAGUCCUAUUGGUUAACCCUAGACCAAUAGUUUCCCAAUCCUUUGUUAAGUUCAAAAGUAACUUACCAAAACAUACACACUAUAAAUAUUUACUCUCCAAAAAAUAAAUAUUAAAAUAAUUUGAGUCAAUGCACUCAACUGAAUCAUCGAUAACCAUAAUUUCUAGGGAUACAAAAUUGUUUAACAAGAUUAAUGCAUUUGUGAGGCUUAGAUGAAUCACAAAAAUUAGAGGAAAAUCUUUUGGGCAUUACCACAUAAAAGAUGUAGGACCACAUAUGCAUUUUCCUUAUAAAACAAUUGUCUUGACAAGCCACUUUAAAGCCCACUUGGGCUUGCCAUCACCAUUGAUGGACCUACAUCAUUACAUCAUUCAAAUUCUCGAUGCUCUUAAAGGUGGUAUCCACUUGAAGGUAAAAGGAUUCCAAUUUUUGUUAGAUUGUUUGUCUUUUCUAUCUGGAAACUAUUUUUCUUUUCUUUCUUUUUUAUAUCACAUUUACUCUCCUAGAAUGUAAAAUUCUCUGUUCUCUGUUCAGAUAUCAGCUUUCCAAUUGGAAUUAAUACAUCUAGUAUUCAAUUCAAUCCUCAUCCUUUUCUGGCCUCCUAAAUUCUAAACUUUGUCUAGGUUUUCCAGUUUUAAGAAAAAAUACAUCAUGAGGACCCAACAUGAUGGGAUUAGAUUCAAUGUUAAAGACAAAAUUUUCAAAUAAUCUGCAAAACCCCUCAACAUUUGUGGCUAUAGUUCACGACCAAGGUGGGAAUUAACAAUCUAAUAAUGCGGAUGAAUGCUUCAUUGACAGCUCUACCAGACUAGACUUCGACGGAAUGCAUGAUAACAAAUUUACAUGGAGAAGUGAGGACCCUUGGCUAGUUUCACCCCCAUGACCAUGGCCCAGCAGCCCAGCAGCUCAUUCAAUGUAAUCAUGGAAAACGCUUUUGACAAUGGUGGCCAUUGUGUUGAGAGUGCUCUGUCAAUUUGUUGCAUAGUUGGCCGAGAUUGGGGAUUAACAUGCAAGCAUGCAAAUGCUAAUUUGACUGCAAGUGCUACUUCCUUAGCCACUUAAUUCACAGGAGGUGGGAGCCGCUGGUCCAUCACAUCAUUCAACAGGCAAUGGUCCACAGUUGAUGGUGAUGAGGAUGAUGAGGACGCUGAUGAUAACAGGGAUAAGAUGAGUUCUUCAGGGUGCUUUCCCAUAAUUACUUCCAAUGUUACCACUCUGAAGCUAUGAACAUCGGUUUUAUUAUCCACCUUCAUCUUGUAAGCAAGUUUUGCAAAGAAGAUUAGCUCAUGCUCUUCUCUACUAAGCAAUUGUGAAAGUUACAUAUGAUGUAUAGAGGUCGUUUAGAGAUAAGCAAGGCACUAAGUAAAAUGUACCUGGAGCAGUUUAACCAAAAGUUCCUGCCAUUGAAGUCCAAUUAGACGAGUCUGACUUUAAAAACCUAGUCGUGCUGAAGUCAGAUACAUGAGCUUCAUAUUCUGAAUCUAACAACACAUUGUUGCUCGAUAUGUCUUGAUGAAUUAUGGGAGGUGAACAAUCAUGGUGCAUAUAGGAUAAAGCUUUAGCCACGCCUUUAACAACAUUUAGCCUCACCAUCCAAUCUAAUUUUUCUGCUUCUUCGUCAUUGCUAAGAAUGUUUCUCAGGCUCCCCUUUUCCAUAAACUCAUAAACCAAAAAUGAGUUCUCUACAAAUGAACUGAAGCCAUAAAACUCGAUGAUAUUGCGAUGCCUUAUAUGUGUUAAAGUAUGAAUCUCACUUUUGAAAGCUUUCAAAUCAGCCAUAUCUCCAUCUUCUGAUGAGUGAAGUUUUUUCACAGCAACAACCCGACCUAUUGGCAUCUCAGUCUUGUAAAGAGUGCCAUAUCUUCCAGUGUCAAUACACUGUUUCGAACUGAAAUUGUCAAUGCCCUGUAUGAUGUGCUCAUACAACAAUUCCCCAUCAUGGUCCCAUAUUGCAAAUAGAUCUUCAACAUCUGCUUCUGGAGACUUGGUUUUUCUCUUCCUCAACUUUUGGGAAAAAAAUAAAAUAAAUGUCAAUAAUAAAAGCAAAUAAGAACAAUAGAAUGCUCACAAUGAGGAGUAUUAUGAUCAGAACAGGAAACUUGUUGGCCUUGUUUCUACUAGCACUGCAUGGCUUGAGAUGAGUGACAUUAUUACCACACAGACCUUUAUUAUUUUUGAAUGCCUCAAAUGGAGGAAAGGCUUCGAUGUUGGGGAGAGGACCUUCCAAUUAAUUGUAGGAUAUAUCAGCAACUGUCAGGCUUAUCAACUCGUCAAAUGUGUGUGGGAUGGUGCCAGAGAGCCUGUUAUGGGAGAGAUUCAACAUUUCCAGGUACUGUAAUUCUCUAAUCAGCAGUGGUAUCUCUCCUGUAAACAUAUUUUGACUAAGAUUGAGACUUUCAAGAUGAUGCAUCUUUCCAAUUUCAUCAGGAAUGCUAUCCACAAAUCUAUUCUCGCUCAAGUUCAAGGAUAAAAAUUUCCAGAAGUUUCUUAGUUUUUUGGGACUUCAACCGCUUAAGUUGUUUGGUGCCAAGUCAAGAAUUUCAAGAUUGGAUAAGUUUCCCAAUUCCAAAGGAAUACUUCUUGAAAGAUUGUUGUUGCCUAGCAACAAUUUGAAUAAUAAGGGCAAUAUACCAAAUUCUUUGGGUAUCUUCCCAAUCAGAUGAUUUGUGGAGAGAUCAAGUUGUUGCAGUUGAGGUGGUAUAGCACCAGAAAUAUUAUUGUUGGAGAUGUUCAGGUUUGUGAGCAUGUGGCACUGCCCCCAUUUCUUAAAAAGCUCACCAUAAAAAUUGUUACUGCUUAGAUCAAUAUAAUUUAGGUGUGUGUAGACACCAAAACUUUCAUCUAUGUCUCCCAUGAGUUGGUUUCUUUCAAGCUUAACCCUAAAUAAGCUUGUGCAAUUUUUCAAGUUCUUUAGAAUAGGACCAGUGAAAUGGUUUCCUAAGGCAGCAAAUUAUUCAAGAACACUACCAAGACAGAUCUCUUGUAUAAGUUGGCCAAUGCAGUUAUUCUCAGCUAACAUCAAAGAUUUCAAAUGAGUGAUAUUAUUCAUUUAUGGAGAAAUGCACCACUGAGUCUAUUGUAAUGAAGGGCCUAAAAGGUUAAGCCCGACAAUUUCUUAUGGAAGCUGGUAUUGAACCACUAAGAUUGUUAAAUGACAAAUUAAGAUCAAGCAAUCUCAACCAUUGAAUUUCUUGAGGGAUUGAACCAGGAAGCUUAUUCUCAAAAAGAUACAAAGUGGUUAAGUUUCUCAAGUUUCCUAUGGAAGGAGGGAUUAGACUAGUGAGACUAUUUGUAGUCAACUAAAGAUCAUUAAGUGCUAUCAACAAUCCAAUUUCUUAAGGAAUAGAACCAUAUAGUUUGUUUAUAUGAAGAUACAAUUCCUCAAGUUUCGUAUAGAUGGAGGGAUCAAACCAGUGAGAUUGUUAGCUAAUAAAUCAAGAACAUUGAGAAAUCUCAACAAUCCAAUUUCUUAAGGGAUGGAACCAUAAAGCUCAUUCUUAAAAAGGUACAAAGUGGUUAAGUUCCUCAAGUUACCAAUGGAAGGAAGGAUUGGACCAAUGAGGUUGUUAGUCGAUAAUAGAAGAUUAUUAAGUGAUUUCAAUAAUCCAAUUUCUUGAGGGGUAGAACUAGAAAGCUCAUUCUAAAAAAGAUGUAAAGUGGUUAAGUUCCUCAAGUUUCCUAUAGAUGAAGGGAUCAAACCAAUGAGAUUGUUAGCUAAUAAAUCAAGAAAAUUAAGAUAUCUCAACAAUCCAAUUUCUUGAGGAAUAGAACCAGAAAACUCAUUCUUAAAAAGGUACAAAGUGGUUUUUGAAGGAAAGAUGAGUUUUCAGUUCUAUGCACCAAAGGAAAAGAAUGAAAUAGAAGAAGAAGAUGAAAUUUUUUUUCUCGAUUUCUGAAGGAAGAGAUAAGGAGUUGUUCUGUAAAUGAAGCAAAAGAGGAGAAGUUGUAAGUGUUGGAGGAAAAUAAAAGGAGGGGUAUUUUUGUCUUAAUCGAGUCAUUUUUUGUAUUUUUGAACGGUGGGUAUUUUUACAAAUAUGGGGGUUAUUUUGACCCCUUUAACCAAAUAACACAACAAAAAAUAGGAAAUCAUAUUUGACAACUAAAAACUAUUUUUUGUUUUCUGUUUAGAAAACAUAGUGUUUUUAGAUAACAUAUUUUAGUUGUUUUUAAUUAUUUUCACUUGUUUUUUAAAGGUUGUUUUAAAAAUAAUAAUUAUACAAACAUGUAGAAUGAUUAAAAAUAAAAUAUGAGAUAUAAAAAUUAUUUUUAAAACAUAUUUAAAAUUAUUAAAACCAUGUUAAAAACAAUUCAGGUUCUCAAACAAACUUUUGUUUUAUAAAACAUUAGAUAAUAGUUUUCAAAAAUUGCUCUAAAAAAAAUGUUUUUCAAACUAUUUUUAAAAAUAGUUGUCAUGUCAAAUAGGGCCUAAACUUCUUUCCUUAAGUACAUUUAUCUAUAUGAAAACUUCUUUAGAUAAGGUAAAAUCAAUUUAGGAGAAUCAAAUUUGUUUUAUAUCCAUAUGAAAAACAAAAUCAAUUUAUGAGAUUUAAAUAUGAGGUCCUUUUGUUUAAUUAAUCAACUGUUCUAAGUUGGGGAAUGGACUAUACAUGGAUCCAUGAAUUAAAUUAUUGUAGAAAAAGUCUCAAAAGAAAAUGUUACUUGGCUUACUAUUUAUAAAUUUGUUUUCAAUUAAUUCAUUUGUACUAAAUAAUUAAGUGUCCAUUUAGAUAUAAUUCUCAUUUUCUAUUUUUUUUUAAAAAUAGAAAUAACUUCUUAUAUAAAAUACAAAAAAUUCUUGAAGUCUUACACAAAAAAAUAGUGGUUUUUAUAAAUUGAGGCAUGAAAAAAAUUUACUAUUUCAAAUUUUAAAUUUUUUUAAAGUAUAAGUUAAGUUCAUACUUUUUGUAUUAGAGUUUCAACUUUUUAUAUAAGAAUUUCUAUUUUUAGAAACAAAAAAACAAAAAAUGUAUUCAAACAAAAUAUAAAUACUUAAAUAUAAAAUGUAUCAAGUACCGGAAUUUAACUUUAACUAAUAAUUAAAAAUGAUGAUAAUAACUUAUGAGCAAAAAACUAUACUUAGUAAAAAGAUUUAAAACUAAUUAAUUUCAAAUUAAUAAAUUGUGAAACAAAGAGCCUAGUAAUUCAUGGGCAAAUUUAACACAUAUUUACUACAAGGCCUAAGUUUGUUCACAUCUUAUUAAAUAAUAAAUUGCCAUCAACUCAAUAACUCCCAAAUAAUGAAACCAUUGAAAUCAUUCAUUUGACCAUGCUUAACCCAUUUUAAAGUUUUUGCCCAACUUGAAGUCAUCUUAAAAACCUUGUCCCAUAGUUUCAUGUGAAUGUUGACUUGGAUAGGUGUUGUCUACUUUUGAAUACCAACAACAACUUAAAUAAUUCCUCAUGCUUGAUCCAUUUUAAAGUCUUUGCUAACUUCAAAUUAUCUUAAAAGGUUUGUCUCAUAGCUUUACAUGCAUUUAUGACUUUGAUAGAAUGCAUGACUUUGAUGUGUGGUACCAAUUGAAAAUACCAAAAACCAUCGAAAUAAUUGCUCAUGCUUAACCCAUUUUAAAGUCUUUGCCCAAUUUGAAAUCAUCUUAAAAAAACUUGUCCCAUAGUUUUCACAUACAUUCAUGACUUUGAUAGGUAGUGUCAACUUUCAAAUAAAACAAAUGACCAAAAUAAUUGCUCUUGCUCCACCCAUUUUAAAGUCUUUCCCUAAUUUGAAAUCAUCUUUAAAAAACUUGUCUCAUAGUUUCACAUGUAUUUUUUACUUUGAUAGGCCAUGCCAACUUUGUGCUUAACCCAUUUUAGAGUCUUUGCCCAACUUGAAAUUAUCUUAAAAAACUCGUUCCAUAGUUCUCACAUGCAUUCAUAAAUUUCAUAGGUAGUGUCAACUUUUGAAACAGAAAAAUGAUUUGACCCAUUUUAAAGUCUUUGCCUAACUUGAAAUCAUCUUGAAAAACUUGUUCCAUAGUUUCACAUGCAUUCAUGACUUUGAUAGGUAGUGUCAACAUUGUGCUUAACCCAUUUUAAAGCCUUUGCCCAGCUUGAAUCAUCUUAAAAAACUCAUCUCAUAGCUUCCCAUGCAUUUAUAACUUUGAUAGGUAGUGUUAACUUCCUGCUUGACCCAUUUUAAAGUCGUUGCCAACUUCAAAUCAUCUUAAAAGACUUGUCUCACAGUUUUACAUGCAUUUAUGACUUUGAUAGAAUUUAUGACUUUGAUAUGUGGUACAAACUCAAAAUGCCAAAAUCUACUAAAAUAAUUGCUCGUACUUGACCCAUUUUAAAGUCUUUGCCCAACUUGAAAUCAUCCUAAAAAACUUGUCCCAUAGUUUUCACAUGCAUUCAUAACUUAGAUAGGUAUUGUCGACUUUCAAAUAACAAAAAUGAUGAAACUAAUUGUUCCUGCUUCACCCAUUCUAAAGUCUUUGCCUAACUUGAAAUCAUCUUUAAAAAACUUGUCUCAUAGUUUUACAUGUAUUUUUUACUUUGAUAGGCCAUGUCAACUUUGUUUUUUUUACCCAUUUUAAAGUUUUUUCCCAACUUGAAAUCAACUUUAAAAACUUGGUCCAUAGUUCUCUCAUGCACUCAUGAAUUUCAUAGGUAGUGUUGACUUCUAAAAUAGAAAAAUGACUUGACCCAUUUUAAAGUCUUUGCCUAACUUGAAAUCAUCUUAAAAAGCUUGGCCCAUAGUUUCACAUGCAUUCAUGACUUUGAUAGGUAGUGUUAACUUUGUGCUUGACCCAUUUUAAUGUCUUUGCCCAACUUGAAAUCAUCAUAAAAAACUUAUACCAUAGCUUCAUAUGCAUUCAUAACUUUGAUAGGUAGUGUUAACUUCCUGUUUGACCCAUUUUAAAGUCUUUUCCAACUUCAAAUCAUCUUAAAAGACGUGUCUCAUAGUUUUACAUGCAUUUAUGACUUUGAUAGAAUGCAUGACUUUGAUAUGUGGUACCAACUAAAAAUACCAAAAACCAUCGAAAUAAUUGUGCGUGAUUGACCCAUUUUAAAGUUUUGGCCAAUUUGAAAUAGUUUUCACAUACAUUCAUGACUUUGAUAGAUAGUGUCUGACUUUCAAAUAACAAGAGUGACCAAAAUAAUUGCUCUUGCUUCACCCAUUUUCAAGUCUUUGCUUAACUUGAAAUCAUUUUUAAAAAACUUGUCUCAUAGUUUCAUAUGUAUUUUUUACUUUGAUAAGCCAUGUCAACUUUGUGCUUAACCCAUUUUAGAGUCUUUGCCCAAUUUGAAAUCAUCUUAAAAAACUUGUUCUAUAGUUCUCACACGCAAUCAUGAAUUUCAUAGGUAGUGUCGACUUUUGAAAUAGAAAAGUGACCCAACCCAUUUUAAAGUCUUUUCCUAACUUGAAAUCAUAUUAAAAAACUUGUCCCAUAGUUUCACAUGCAUUCAUGACUUUGAUAGGUACUGUCAGCUUAGUGCUUAACCCAUUUUAAUGUCUUUUCCCUACUUGAAAUCAUCUUAAAAAAAUUAUCCUAUAGUUUCGCAUGCAUUCAUAACUUUGAUUGGUAGUGUUAACUUCCUGCUUGACCCAUUUUAAAGUCUUUGCCAACUCCAAAUCAUCUUAAAAGACUUGUUUCAUAGUUUUACAUGCAUUUAUGACUUUGAUAUGUGGUUCCGACUCAAAAUGCCAAAAACAAUUGAAAUAAUUGCUCAUACUUGACCCAUUUUAAAGUCUUUGCCCAACUUCAAAUCAUCUAAAAAAACUUGUCUCAUAGUUUUCACAUGCAUUCAUAACUUUGGUAGUGUCAGCUUCUAAAAAAAGAAAAAAAACCAAAAUAAUUGCUCUUGCUUGACCCAUUUUAAAGUCUUUGCCUAGCUUGAAAUCAUCUUAAAAACUCAUCCAAUAGUUUCACAUGUACUUAUGACUUUGAUAGGUAUUGUUUUUAAGUUUGUGCUUGACCCAUUUUAAAGUCUUUUCCUAACUUAAAAUCAUCUUAAAAAACUUGUCCCAUAGUUCUCACAUGUAUUUAUGAAUUUGAUUCACAUGUAUUUAUGAAUUUCAUAAGUAGUGCCGACUUUCGAAUAAGAAAAACAACCAAAAUAAUUGCUUGUGCUUGACCUAUUUUAAAGUCUUCACCUAACUUGAAAUCAUUUUUAAAAAACUUGUCCUAUUGUUUCACAUGCAUUCAUGACUUUGAUAGGUAGUGUCAAUUUCGUGCUUGACCCAUUUUAAAGUUUUUGCUCAACUUGAAAUCAUAUUAAAAAGAAAAAAAACUUGUCCCAUAGUUUUCACAUGCAUCAUGACUUUUUUAGGCAGUGUCGACUUCCAAAUAACAAAAAUGAACAAAAUAGUUGCUCGUGCUUGACCCAUUUUAAAGUCUUUGCCUAACUUGAAAUCAUCUUAACAAACAUAUCCCAUAGUUUCACAUGCAUUUAUGACUUCGAUAGGUAGUAUCAAGUUCUAAAUACCGAAAACAACCAAAAUAAUACUCAUGCUUGACUCAUUUUAAAGUCUUUGCCCAACUUGAAGUCAUCUUUGUUUGAUUGUGAUCUUUGUUUGAUUGUAAAGCCUUUAUCAGUCUUAUAGCACUAUGCAAAGGCUAUUGGGGGGUUGAGCUCAACUUGUUAACAUUUUCUUUUUAUUUCUUGAAGGAUGACUUUUCCCCUAUAGUUGUUAUAUUUAACUCUCUUAUAAUUUAGGAUUUCGUGUGAAAGUUUAGAAGAAAAGGAGAGUAUUCACUAUUGUAACCUUUGUACCUUCUUUUGAUUAGUGGAUUAUUGAGUGUUAGUACACUCUCUAUUAGUGCACUCUGUAGAAGUAGGGAUCAUAUUGAUCAUUGAACCAUACUAAAAUUUCAUUUAUUUUUCUUUAUUACUACUCAUGUGUGUGGUUGCAUUAAGAAUCUUAAAAAAAGCUUGACUCAUAGUUUCACAUGAAUUCAUGACUUUAAUAGGUAGUGUAAUGAUGUCACUUAUCUCCUUGAAUUUCUUUUUGGAAAACAUAUUCUAGAGGUGACAAGAAACUUAUCAAAUUUCAAUCUGACCUCACGUUUAGACAAGGCAAUCACCUAAAGCCCUCACUCCAUAAAAAGCUCCAAAUUUUUGUUAUUAUUACUUUAUUUAUUUUUCUGGUUUUUAUUAGCUAUUUUAAAUAAUUAUUCAUAGUUCUUUAUUUUAAUUAAAUGAUAAAAUAAAAAGAAAAGAAAAAUGAAAUAAAUGUCCAAACUUGUAUAAUUAUCUAGAUAUUUGUUUGCAUUGGGACAUUGGUUCAACUAAACAUUUAUAGUCAUUAGAAUUUAUCAUUUUAAUUGUAUUAUUCUAAAAAGAGAAUCUAUUGAUUUCAUUUUGAAAACCUACAAGUUUUAAUAAGCCCUUUUGUCUUUCUCAAUUCCAUAAAUUUUAUCUCAUGCUAUCUUUUUCACAUAGUAGCAAAAGAAUUUUAAUUGAAAUACACAAAAGAAAUAAACUAUAUGUCCUACAUACAAGUCUAAUAAGAAAAACCUUUAGAGUUGGAUGCCCACUAACUUCCUCUCUAAAGAUGAUUCUACCUUUCUAAUUGGCACACAAGAGUCUUCACUUAAAAAUAUUAAAAUAAAUUGGAUUAACAUAAGAUCUAGUGAAUAGUUGUAAUACACAAGAGUUAUGAUGAACAAAAUAGAUUUAGAACAUGUCAAAAGUCAUAAUAGGAUUUAAGGAAUAUAUGACAUUUAAAAAUAUGUAAUCAUGAUUUUAAACAUAUCUAUGGUCAAUCUACUAGUUAUACAUAAUUAAGCCUUUACUACUUGUGAUAGUACCUCAUCAACACCAUUUUUAGGGUCUCAUUAUCUUGGAUCACACUACCAAGGAACUCAUGUCCUAGCCAUCCAUCAAGGGCACAAUGGAGCAUAAUUUACCACUUCAAACUCUUCCAUAUAGCCCAGUAUCGAAACCCACAAUACCAGUGUAUGAUCCAUCCCAUCCCUUACUACAUAAGUGGUGUAAAGUUUCAUAUCAAAGAAAAAUGAAACACCUCAUUGAUAUAUGUGUUAUGUAUGAUACCUGUUAUAUAUAAAUCUCCAGAACUUUAACAAUUAAUUUAAAAUUUAACAAAGUAUGUAAUUGCAUUAUUGUACACAUAUGCAAGGUAUUAAAUGAUUACUUGAAAAAGAAGUGGUAUUUAUUUUUGCAAACUUAAUAUUAAUCAUAUGUGUUUUGACCAAAUAGAAAUUUCACAUGUCUCAUACUAAUAAUCAAAUUGAACAAGUAAUGUAUAAUGCAUAUAAGAGAGAUUUAUUUUAGGAAAAUUUACUAAAACCAUUUAUAUUUUAACUAUUCACAAAAAUCUUUGUAAUCAAAAUAACAACAGAAUUUGCAGUAUAAUGGCACCUGAAACUAUGGAUCCUCUCCUAAUUAACAAAUGAAUACUUUUAGAUUUGGAAAUUUCAUAAAAGAUGGCUAAGAUCCUAUACCCCUAAUUGUCUUCUUUCACAUGAAUGACACCUAAUAGUCUUCUGUCACCUAGACAACACCUUAGACUAAAAUUGAUGAACUUGAAAAUAAGAAUUUAGGAAAAUGGAGUCCAACUUGUGUAAAACUUGAACCAAUGAGUCUAUCAACGGUAUAUAUACUUUGAGAAUUGAUAACUAAGUCAACUUAGUCUCAGCCUCUAUUAGUUCCAAAUUUGCAUAAAUAGCACAUGCUAAAACACACUUAUUUUCUCGUUUUUUUACCAAAUAAUCCAAGUUCCAUAAAUUAUUAAACUAUCCAUGUUUACUCAAUGACAAGUCUAAAAAUUUAUAAAAAUAAUUUAGAAGUCUAAAACUAACUCAAAUAGUAAUACAAUCCAAAACCCAAAACUUUCUUAGCACAUAAUGUUGAAAAUCUACCAAACUUUACCAAAUCUUUUUCCAUACUAACAAAAUUUGAAUCAAGUUGAAUUGGAUUCUUUAGUUUCUUUUCAAAUAUACUAAAAUUAUUAAAAAUAACUAGAGGUAAAGAUUCUUAAUGAAAACAUUGCAAAAUUGAAACUAUGUUUGAAAACAUUAUUAAGUGAACCCACAAUCUAUUGAACUAACAUAUGGAAAACUUACCAAUUGGUCUUGUUUCAACUUCUUAUUACAAUUUCAAAAAAAAAGAAAAUAAAUAAAUAAAUCCCUAGAUGGGACUGAGGAACAAGCACUGUGGUUUUGUUGACCAUGAAUCAAGACUUCCAUAUAUGCUCACAUAAGCUCCAUUUUAAUCAAAGGUUGCUGCGAAAAUUAGUAACAGUUAGCAGGACCACUCAAGUGAAGCAUCGAUAACCAUAAUUUCUGGGGAUAUAAAGCUGUUCAACAAGAUUAAUGCAUUUGUGAGGCUCAGAAAAAUCAAAAAAAUCAGACGAGAAUCUUUUGGGCGUUACUACAUAAAAGAUGCAGGACCACACAUCCAGUUUUCUUAUCAACCAGUCAUCUUGACAACCCACUUUGAAGCCCACUUGGCCUUGCCAUCACCAUUGAUGAACCUACAUCAUUCAAAUUCUCAAUGCUCUUUAAAAUCAAUAUAUGCUUCAAGUCAAAAGGGAUUGGAAUUUUUGUUAGAUAACAGCCUUUGCUAUUCAGGAACAUAUUUUUCUUUUCUUUUUUUAUUUUUUAUUUUUUAUUUUAUUUUAUUUUAUAGAAUGUUUACCCUCCUUGAAUGUAAAAUCCUCUGUUCUCUGAUCAGAUUUCAGCUUUGUAAUUGGAAUCAAUAGAUCUUGUAUUCAAUUCAAUCCAAGUGUUUUUCUGGCCUCCUAAAUUCUAAACCCUAUCUGGGUUUUCCAUUUUUGUGAAACAUUAAAUCACCGAGUCCGGGAUCCAACACGAUGGGAUUGGAUUCAAUGUUAGAGACAAAAAUUAGUAAAAACAAAUCUUCAAAACCCUCAACAGUUGUGGCCAUAGCUCAAGACCAAGAUGGGAGUUAACAAUUUAAUAAUGCUGAUGAAUGCUUCAUUGACUGCUCUACCAUACUAGACUUUGACUGCUGUCGUUUGUUGAAAGACAUGAAGUUCCUCACAUUCUUGAGUACGAAGAAUCUUGGCCAAAAGUAAUCAACAAAGGAUGAGAAGGCCAGGAUCAUUUCACACUGAACUUUGCUCCGGCUACUUUGGUUAAACAAAUUCAUCCCAGAGAAACCUUGUGAAGAUAGCAGCCUUGUUUUAGCUCUUUGAAUAGAGUGAAAAACAGAACAGAAGUUGAUCAAACCUGGCAUGGGGGCCCCACAUUAAUAAAACCAACUUGUCCAAGCAUCUGGUGACGCAGAGUAUUUGGCAGCCUCAGAGGUAGAGACAGUCAUCGCAUCACAACCAAUUUAUGGGUCGAUUACAAAUUUAGAGACAGAAAAAUAUAUUUUCGUUUUAAUGAAAUCAUUCACCUCAGGAUCGAACUGCAAUUCUUAAUACACAUCAAUGAUUCUGGAUGAUUGAAUUUUAGUGCAUCCCCACCUGCAAAGUUACUGAUACACCUGAAACCUUCUUACUCUACCCAAUAUAAGCUUUUACAGAAAUAAUCAAUUUAUAAUAAAUUUACAUGGAGAAGUGAGGAUCCUCAGCUAGUUUCACCUCCAUGACCAUGACUCAUCAGCUCACCCAAAGUAAUCAUGGAAAACGGUUUUGACAAUGGUGGCCACUGUGCCAACUCAGCCUUGUAAACAGUACCAUAUCCUCCAGUGACAAUACACUGUUUUGAACUGAAAUUGUCAGUCCCCUGUAUGAUGUGUUCAUACAACAAUUCCCCAUCAAGGCCCCAUAUUGCAAAUAGAUCUUCAACAUCUUCUUCGGUCGACUUGAUGUUUCUCUUCCUCAAUUGUUUGAAAAGAAAACAAAUGCCAAUAAAAGCAAAUAAGAUCAACAGAGUUCAAGAUUAUGCAUCUUUCCAAUUUUGUCGGGAAUGCUAUCCGCAAAUCUAUUCUCGCUCAAGCUCAAGGAUGAUAAUUUCCAGAAUCUUCCCAGCUGUUUGGGAAUUGGAAUGCUUAAGUUGUUUGAUGCCAAGUCAAGGGUUUCAAGAUAGGAUAAGUUUCCCAAUUCCAAAGGAAUACUUCCUGAAAGAUCGACUGUUGUUGCCUAGCAACAAUUUGAACAAUAAGGGCAACAUACCCGAUUCUUUUCGGAUCUUCCCACUUAGAUGAUUGGUAGAGAGAUCAAGUUGUUGCAGUCGAAUUACUUUCCCAAGUUGAGGUGGUAUAGCACCAGAAAUAUUAUUGUUGGAGAUGUUCAGGCUUGUGAGCAUGUGGCACUGCCCCCAUUUCUCAGAAAGCUCACCAUAAAAAUUGUUACUGCUUAGAUCAAUAUAAUUUAGGUUCAGGUAUACACCAAAACUUUUAGCCAUGUCUCCGAUAAGUUGGUUUCUUUCAAGCUAAUCUCUGAAUAAGCUAUGCAGUUUUUCAAGCUCUUUGGAAUAGGACUGUUGAAAUGGUUUCCAAAGGCAGAAAAGUUUUCAAGAACACUACCAUGACAUAUCUCUUGUGGUAGUUAGCCAAUGAAGUUAUUCUCAACUGACUACAAAGAUUUCAAAUAAGUGAUACUAUUCAUUUCUUGAGGAAUGGCACCACUGAAUCUGUUGUAAUGAAGUACCAAAAAGGUUCAGCCGGACAAGUUUCCUAUGGAAGCUGGUAUUGAACCAUUGAGAUUGUUAAAUGAUAAGUGAAGAUCAUCAAGCAAUCUCAACCAUCCAAUUUCUUGAGUGAUGGAACCAAAAAGCUUGUUCUUAAAAAGAGGCAAAAUGGUUAAGUUCCUCAAGUUAUGCAUGGAAAGAGGGAUCAAGCCAAUGAGAUUCUUAGUUGACAAUGCAAGAAUAUUAAGAGAUUGCAACAAUUCAAUUUCUUAAGGGAUGGAACUAAAAAGAUCAUUCUCAAAAAGAUGCAAAGUGGCUAAGUUCCUCAAGUUUCCUAUAGGUGGGGGAUUGGACCAAUGAGAUUGUUAGCCGACAAAUUAAGAACAUUAAGAGAUCUUAACAAUCCAAUUUCUUGGGGGAUGGAACUAGAAAGCUCAUUCUAAAAAAGAUGCAAAGUAUCUAAGUUCCUCAAGUUUCCUAUAGGUGGAGGAAUCAAACCAAUGAGAUUGUUAGCUGACAAAUCAAGAACAUUAAAAGAUCUUAACAAUCCAAUUUCUUGAGAGAUGGUUCCAUAGAGGUAGUUGUUAUAAAGAUUAAGAGCACAGAGAUUGGGGAGUGUUGUGAACUUGACAUUGUGGAGUGUACCACUCAAACCACAAUUGUCAAGGUCUAAAUUGGAGAUACUUCCUGACUCGUGACAAAUCAUUUUGGACUAAUGAUGGCAAGAAUUGCAUCUAGACUAAGAAAAGAGGAAAGACUGGGUUUGAUCCUCAAGACUAGCCUUCCAUUUUAGAAAAGCAAGUGCUUCCUAAUUUUGUUCAAUAUUCAAAAGAGAAGUGGUAGGUGCAGAAGCAAAUGUAAAAAUGACAUGGAAUGAUGGUAUUGAAUACACAAUGAAAAUGAGAAAUAUGAUGAAGCAAGUAAUGAUGAUGAAUUGGCGGAGUGAGGAAUAGGAUGAAGAAUAUUCAAGGGCCAUUGUUGAAUCGGUAGAAAUGAAGUUAUUAGGGGGUUUAGUUGGAGUGAAUGAUGAAAAUGAAACACUUAUUUCUAGACUUAAAUGUGAUGCAUCCAACAUUUCCAUUAGUUGGUGUUGACAUCCAACUACCUUCUUAUCAUCUACAUUAAAUUGAAUUGGAAAGGAUUAUAUAUAUGAGCUAAAUUUCAAACAUAUUUUAUUUUAUUUUGUCAAAAUGAUCUUAGUUUUUUAAUUAAAAUUUACACUUGCAAUUACAUAUAAAAUAAUUAAAAAUAUUCAUUUUUCACUCUAUGUACUUUUUAAAUAUAACCUGUUUAAAAAUAACAAUUCUAGACCAAAUAUGCCCACCUCAACAACCUAGUUGAUACCGAAAUUUCACUUGAUCAACCAACAUUACUUGUACAUAUGCCUUUAUAUAAACCACCUAAUAUGUUUGUUUUUUUUGUCAAAAAUAAAUAUUGACUUCAAUGGGAGCAAUACAUAAAAAAUUUGCCAUGAAUAUUUUUUUUUUUUUUGGUAGGCUUACAUUCUGUAUAAGAUAAAUAUAUUUUUUAUUUUGUAUCAAGAAAUUGAAAAAAAAAUGAUUUAUUUGUUACUCAUCAAACAAUUGAGAUGGAAUCACAUCUCAUUAAUUCUUCAUGAAGAUUUGGCUUGUAAGAGUUUGAUAUUUAAUUAUAAAUAUGUAAUAUUUACUAAGUUGAUUACAUUUUUUCUUUGAUUUGGUUUAGGCUUAUAAAAUUAUUAGUUCUCAAAUAUCUUAUUUUAAUUAUAUUAUAUAAGAAUAUGUAUAAUUAUUAUUUUCACAAUAUUUUUAAAUUACAAAUUUUUAGAAUUUUUAGUAUGCUAACAAAUGUUAAUAGUUUGAAAUAUUUGAAAAUAUGUUCAUUACCAUUUUUUUUGGUCAAAUUAUUAGCCUUCAAAUAUUUUUAUCUUAAUUUUAUAAAAUAAAAUCAAAUAUAAUAAUUGUUUUAAUACAAACAAAGAUAUUUAAUUACUAAUUUUUAGUCUUAGCUUGUAAAAAGCUUAACACUUAAGAACAUUUAGGUAAAUAAAUACGUCAUUCAAAAUUACACAUCUAGCUAUUGCAUAAAUAAAGUGUUAACAUUCAUAUUAAAAAAAAAAUGUUACCUAAGAGUGUGUAAUAACUAUGAUAUUAUAGCAGAACACAAAAACAAAUUUCUACUCUAAGUAGAAUUUAUAUGAAAACUUCAUUUAUUUUUCAGAUUGUAUUCAAGUAAGGAUAUGUUGUGAAUUAAUUAACAACUAAAAAAAAUUGUAUGUAUUGUUUAUUAUUAUUAUUAUUAUUAAAAGAGAUUUCUUACUUCUCAAUUAAAAUUAGAGAUGUAGAUAUGAACAUAAAAUGCUCUUUUUAAUUGAAUGUGUUUUUAAUCAAAACUUUUGUUGUCUUCAAUAGAGCGGAAAAGUCAUUGCUUUACUAGUUUUUAUCAAUAAUUGUUUUCAAGGAAUCUAGACCCAAUAUUUAUAUUAUCAAUGGUAGGCAUUAGUGAUCCUAGUUGAUGUGAGUGGUCUAAUCAAAAUGAAGUAUAUAUGAGCUUCAUGUAUUAAAUCUUACUAUUAAAAUAAAAAGAAACUAUUGAAUCCAUUGUAUUAAGGUUAAGUAAUAGCUAUAAGAAUAGUGGAACCUAUAUUAAUUUUUCUCCUUUUAAAAAGUGAAAUUUGUAUUGGAACUUCAUCUAUGUUAAGGCAUAGCACAAAUGAAGGGACAUGCUUUCAUGUAGAAAUAAAAUAGAAUUUCAUUUUCUAAAUAGAGCUAUUUUACCAUUAUUGUAAAUAAUUUCUUUUACUUCUUCCUUCUCAUGAUUCAAGAUUCGAGAACUCAAAGAUAUUUGCUUCACAAUAUUUCCCAUCCAAACAUUCCAAAAAUUCUUCAUGAACAAUUGGCUUGUAAGAGAUUGAUAUAUAUAUAUAUAUAUAUAUAUAUAUAUAUAUAUAUAUAUAUACUUUUUCUUUAAUUUGGUUUAGGUUUCUAAAAUCAUUAUUUAUCAAAUAUCUCAUUUUAAUUAUAUCAAAUAAAAAUAUAUAAUUAUUAUUUCUUAAGAUAGUACUAUUAAAUUACUAUUCUUUCAAAAUUCUAUUAUGGUAACAAAUGUUAAAAAAAAAUAUUACUAUUUUUUUUCAAACUAUUAGUCUUGAAAUAUUUAAUUUGUUUUAAUUAUAUAAAAAGAACAAAUAUGAUAAUUAUUUUUGUAUAGACAAUGAUAUUUAAUUAGUAAUUUUUAGAUAUUCUUAACAUGUAAAAAGAAGAAGACUUAACAUUUAAGAAUAUUUUGAUACCACUUUAAACAAAUAUAUUAUUCAAAGUUAUACAUCUAGCUCUAUUAGAUUUAAGUUAAAUAAAGUUAUAGUCAAAAUUCAUGUUAAAAAACAAUUGUUACCUAAGAGUAAUUCCUAUGAAAUUGUAGCAGAACUCCAAAAAAAGGAAAAAAAAAAUCCUUUAAGUAGAAUUUAUAUGAAAACUUCAUUGAUUUAAGUGUGCAUUAAAAAAAUGAGUUGUGUUGAAUUAAUUAAUAAACUUAAAAAAUUAUUUGUUAUGUUUUAUUAGUAUUAAAAAAAGAUGUCUUACUUGUCAAUUAAAAUUACAUAUUUAGAUAUGUAUAUAGAAUUCUUUUUCCAAUUGUAAGUUCUUAGUCAAGAGUUUUGUUGUCUUUGACAGAGUGGAAAAUUUGUUGCAUUCCUAAUUCAUAUCAACAAUUGUGUGGAAAAAUCGUUGCAUUCUUAAUUCUUAUCUACAGUUAUUAGUCAAGACUUUUAUUGUCUUUAAUAGGGUGGAAAAGUUGUUGCAUUUGUAAUUCAUAUCAACAACUGUGUGGAAAAGUCACUUUAUUCUUAAUUCUUGUCAACAGUUGUGUGGAAAAGUUGUUGUAUUACUAAUUCUUAUCAAUAAUUGUGUGGAAAAAUUGUUACAUUAAUAAUUCUUAUCUACAAUUCUAAGUUCUUAGUAAAGACUUUUGUUGUCUUUGAUAGGGUGGAAAAGUUGUUGCAUUACUAAUUCAUAUCAAAAAUCGUGUGGAAAAGUCGUUGCAUUCUUAAUUCUUGUCAACAGUUGUAUGGAAAAGUUGUUGCAUUACUAAUUCUUAUCGAUAAUUGCAUGGAAAAAUUGUUGCAUUACUAAUUCUUAUCAACAAUUGUUUUCAGAAUUUAUACCCAAUAUUCACAUUAUCAAUAGUAGAAGUCAAUGAUUCUAAUUGAUGUGAGUAGUCUAAUCAAAGUGAAGUAUAUACGAACUUCAUUUAUUAAAUCUUAGUAUUAACAUAAAAAGUAACAAUGGAAUCCAUUGCAUCAAGGCUUGAGGAAUAACAAUAAUAAUAUUGGGGAUCUAAAGUAAUUUUCUUUACAAGAGUCAAAGAACUCGGAGAGACUUGCUUUACAAUGUUAAACAAAGGUGCAUUUAUUUAAAAGUGGCUUGUGCUUUUUACACUAAGUAUUAAGAUAAAGGACAUGUUCAAAAUGUAAAUUAUGUUAUUUCAUUCUCUUUUUUUUUUCAAGUAAUAUUGCAUUAUUUUAAUUUAAUUUUCAAGUUAAUUAAGUAGAAAAAUUAGAUCAUGAGUUGGACAUAAUGACAAUAAUUUUUUCCUAUUCAUAGAUUUAACAAUAAAAAAAGGGGUUUUAUUUUUUUCAAAUACAUCUAUAAGAGAAUUUAUACUAUGUUUUUCUUAUAGAUAUGAAGGAAAUGAAAACAAAAAAUAAAAUAAAAUUCCAUCAUUGAAUGUACUACCCAAUUCAAUUUAGAAAAUUUAUUUUUGAAUAUUUGUCGUUUAGUUUACAAAUCUUAAAGAAAUAAAUAAAAGAUGGCUAAACAUUCAAGGCAAGAAAAAUUGAUCCAUUCAAUUACCCAUGGAAAUGAUAAUUGGCCAUGUUUAAUGGGUUUUGAAGUCUUAGUGAAACUUGAUGUAAUACUUCAACUACCAAAGAUAAUAAAUAAAUUUAUAAUAUUGACUAAGAGCUUAUUUGGAAAGUAUGGCUGAAAAUGAUUUUAAAUUCUUAUAGAGUAUGCCUUAUUAAAAAUUAAUAAUUUGAAAAAAGUAUUAAAGUUAGAAAAUGAUUCAUAAUGUUUCUUAAAUAAACACUUGAUAAAUAUUUUUUUUAAAUAUUUAAAAAAUUAUGAAAAAAUUAGAAUUUCCAAUAAAUGUUUAUGUUAAGAAGGUACAUUUUUCUAGAAUUUUUAUUAAAAACACUUUCAAACAUACCUAUAUCCCUUUUUGUUUGGAGUAUAACCUAUGAAAACACAUUUUUCAACUCUAGGAUCAAGUUAGAUCAAAAUUUGUUGGGUAUGUGAACAAAUACCAUGCAACCCAAAACUUGUAAAGAGAAAUUAGAUUAUAUUCUAGAUUCUAGAAAUUUUUGGGGUGCUCCAAAGGUGUGAUAUAUUUUAAAACUUAGGUAGGCAUCCUAUUAAUUAAAUAGGAUAUUGUUCAAACAACUUCUCCCGAUAAAUAGUUUGGAACAUGCAUAAAAAAACAUUAUGGCAUGGACCACUUCAAGUAAAUGUUUUUUUUUUCUCUAAACAACUCCAUUUUGUUAAAGAAUAUCAUGACAUGUAGAUUGAUGUUGGAUAUUUUUUUCUUUUUAAAAAAUUUUCAAGCAUUUAUUAAAAUUUUCAUUCUAUUAUUAAAGUCAAGUAGACUGAUUUUUAUUUGAAAGUGAUUUUUAAUUUAUUGUAAAAAUCUUUGAACAACUUUUCCACUUCAAAUAUUUAAUAGGUGUGAUCAUUUAUAAAAGUCACAAACCCGUUUUUUCCUAGAUAAAAUGGUAACCUUUAAAGGACUCCAAACAUCACUAUGAAUCAAAUCAAAUAAUUUCGAAGCAUCAUAAGGUUUCGAGAUAUAAGUAGCACGAUGAAUUUUGAUAAACGACAACUCUCACAUUCUAAUAUAAUAAUGUUUAUAAAUACAUAUAUACAACAUUGUACGAUUUAUUUUUCUGUUUUCAUUUUUUUUCACCACACGAGACUAGAAACCAAGGGAGAAUAAGUCGGUGUCACAAGCGAUGUGGCCGUUACAAGAGAAGAAAUCGUUCCCCGGGAAAAGAGCAGGGCGGUUGGUUUGUACCUACCUCCCGGGAAGUAAAACGCGUCGUUUUGGGCUUGGGCUUUUAAAGUAAAGGGCUAAAACCACUGUUAGAAACUGGACCUGGCCCAGUUUGAGUAAGCAGAGGCAUCUUACUCUUUUCUUUUGCUACAUAAAUAAUUACUUCCAUGCUAAUCCAUUUUAAAAUUGCUUUGAUUCAAAACAAAAAUAAUUUUAAUAUUUAAAAAAUAUUUUAAUUAAAUAAAAAUAUUUGCAUGGACAAAGUAUUGGUCUCUUUAUUCAUUUAUUUUUUCAAUAUCUUAAAUACCUAAAUAUUUUAAAAUAUUAAUUUUUACCGUUAAUUUUUACAUUUGAAAUAUAUACUCCCAAAAACAAUAAUACUUUUUUUUUUGGGUAAUAAAAUUGGAUUCCUGUUUUUUAUUUUGCAAAGUUAUUUUCCUUUAUUGUUUUUUUCCUUUUUUUAAAGUUUAUGAUUUUUGUUAUAAAAAUUAUUACUAAUAAAAAUUCAUCUAGUAUAUGAUGUUAAUUCAUUGAGAUGACGUAUUAACAUAGACGGUAGUAUGGUAGGAUAAAAUAAAGUUUUUAACGUUAUUAGAUUUAUUGCAAAAGGUAAGCACAACAUUUAUAUAUUGAACUUAAAACAUAAAUACGCUAAAAGUAUAAUGCACUAUGACAAGCCUUAAUUUUACUUUUUAAAAAUUAUAAAACAAAUAUUUUAUUGUACUAUUUUCUUAAUAGUUAUAUUACAAAAUUAAAUAUUUUAAAAUUUAUGAAAUCUAUAUAAUAAAAAUUAUAAUAGCUUUAUAUUUUUAAUUAUCAAAAUGAAACAAUAAUUUGUAAAUUUAAUAUAUUAUAUAUUAUAUUAUUAUUAUUAUUACUAUUAUUUUGGAUAAGUUAUUGAUAAUUUUUUAAAAUAAUAAUUAAUAAAAUUGUAAUUUAUAAUAAAUUUUUAUAUUAUAUAUAUGGAUUAGUAUUAAUAUUAUUCUUUUUAGAUAGGUUAUUAAUAAUAAUAAUAAUAAUAAUAAUAAUUAAAAAAGAAAAAGAGAAAAUAGAGAAAAGACAAGGGAGGGAUACGUUUGAUUUUAAAGUGAAAAGUAUGAGGGUAUACUUAACUUUUUGUAUUUUGUGUCACGUGGAAGACUUAUUAAAGUUGGUGACCCAUUUGGGACAUUAUCACCCAUAACUCAUCCUAUAUGGAAAUUUUCCUUAAAAUGUUUUACUAAUGGGCAGAAAAUCCCUCCUCAAAGCACAUGAGGAUAUUUAUGAACUAUUUGAAUGGAAAUUGGAGUUAAAAUCAACUAUAAGAGUGACUUAGUUUAGUGGAAUAUAUAGUUAGAAGAUAAAUCUCACUCAACUAUCUCUUUACCUAUAAGACAAAACUCAUUGCCUUGUAUAGUGGGAUAAAAAAGCAAAUAAAUGGGUUCUUUUUAGUAAAAAAUGUGUUCCAUGAUCAUAUCACAAAUUUAAGUUAAAUAAAAACUAAAAAUUUCUAAAUAAAUUUUUUAUUAAAAUGAUUUCUCAAUGGUGAAGUAAAUUAAUCUUACAUAUUUUUGUACCCCAAUUUUUUUAUUUAUUUUUUAUUUUUAUUAAAAUAGGUGGAGGUGUUUAACAAUUCUCCUUUUCAAAUCCUAGUCCUAAACCUAAUUCUAAUCAUUAUUAUUUCUCGUUUCUUUUCUUUCCUUUCCUUCAAUUCUAUUAUAUUUAAGUACUUAAAUUAAAUCAUUAACUCAAUUUAUCAAAUUCAUCAUAAGGAUCAUGUAAAAAUCUUUUAAACCACUUAGUGGAUCCACUCGUCCAUUAUUCAUGAUUGAUUGAUCAAUGUAAAGAUUACAAUACCAUUUAUAUGUAAUUUAGAGACUCUCCCCCUAGAUUUAUACAUAUGAAUUGCUAUUAGAAAAAGAAAAAAAAAAUUCAGCUCAGAAACUGGGACAAGGGGUAAUAGAAACUCAUCAAUGCUUAUAGCUAGUGCAUAAUUAGAAUGAAGAGGACACUAUUAAAUAGAGCAGGUUGUCCUUUUUGUUCAAUUAAUCGAUUAUUCUAGUUGGGAAAUAUACCAAACAUGGGUUCUUGAAUUAAAUUAUUGUACAAAAUGUCUCAAAAGAAAAUGUUACUUGACUUGUUUUAUAUACAUUUGUUUGCAAUUGAUUAAUUUGUACUAAUAAUUAAGUGUUAUUUCUUUAGAGCUCUUGUUUAUUUUUUAAAAAAUAAAAAAUAGUAGCAAUUUCUACAUAAAAUAAGAGAAAUAUUAAUAUAGUGUUUUUUUAAAAUUGAUUAAAUAAAUUAAAAUAUUAAAAAAUUAUUAUAUCAAAUUUUAAAAUUUUUGAAAAAGAUUUUUUAAGAAUAUAUAGUAAGUUUAUACCUUUUAUAUAAAAAUUUCUAUUUUUUACCAAAAAAAAAAGUUAUAUUUAAAAAAAAUAGGAAAUGUAUAGAAAUGAAACAUAAAUGCUUAAAUAAGAUUUAUCGAAUAAUGACAUUUUACUUAAACCAAUAAAAAAACAAUUCAAAUAUUAGUUGUCUAUUGAAACAAUUGUUUUCAUCAAACCCUUCACAACCCAAUUAGUAUAUGAAAUGGAAUAGGCACAUAUAACAAGAAUCUUCUCAAGAAAUUCAAUCUUUGUUAGAUUUAGAAACAAUAUCGCAAAUCCACUAAAAUGUUCCAUCAUGUAUCAUAGAACAAAUUUAAAAAAUAAAUAUAUUAAUAAUCCAUGAAAAAUCCACAUACAUGCUCAUAUGCACCUCGAAAAUGGAUAAAUUUAAUUCCCAAAAUAGGGAAAAUUAGGAUUAUGUGUAAAAGAUAAAAAAAAAUAUUUUUAAAAAUAUGACUAACUUUUCAUAUUUUUAAUCUAAAAGGAUAAAAACAUAUUUUAUUUCAUAUGAAGAAACUCUUCACUCAAAAUUACACUUACCAUUUUCACUACCUCUGACUCGACCUCUUCACCUUCCACCGUCUCUGUGGUAAAUUACAGGUGUAUGACAUUUGCUGUUGAAAAUGCUUUUAUCGCUACUUGUAAACAAAACCAUCAAUGUCUUAAGCUUAAGUUGAAUUUGCUCUUUCUCAUGCAAGGUGUUUUGCUGUUAGUUACCAUAUCAAGUUACAUAUGAUGUAUAGAGGUCGUUUAGAGAUAAGCAAGGCACUAAGAAAAAUGUACCUGGAGCGGUAUAACCAAAGGUUCCUGCAAAUGAAGUCCAAUUAGAUGAGUCUGACUUUAAAAGCCUAGCCUUGCUGAAGUCAGAUACAUGAGCUUCAUAUUCUAAAUCUAACAAAACAUUGUUGCUCGAUAUUCAUCUGCUCUUUGGAUCAUGUUCUCCUUGAGUUACUUGUUUCUUCUUAACAAAAAAAUAUGGUUUGUCACCCAUUUCAGAAGGGAAUAAAUAAGAAAAACUAAUAGCUCAUGCUAAUAAGCAUCCAAAAAAAGAAGUGAUUUCAACAGUUUGGGAAUUAUCACUCUCUCAAAAGCCUAUGAAAAAAAUGUAAAGAUACAUGUUAGGGUCCUAAAAAAGGUGCAGACACAUGAACGAAAAACCUAAUUGCAUCCAAAAAAAAGGAGUCGCAUCUGCCUUCUUGGAUCUCCCCAGCCCCAAGCACACGUCCAAAACGGUGACUGUCACAAGAAUGAAGGUUACAAGAAAUCCAUAGCCUGUCUUCCACCCCAAGCCUGCUUCUGCCAUGCAAAGUCCAAUCACAAAAUUCAGAGCUUCCAAGAAGAGAGCAAGUGUCCCUACCAAAUGAUGUUACCAGUUCCAGUAAUUGCGCUGUUCGGCUGUCUUGUCCGGCCUUAGAAUCAAUGCCAUUACCUGAGAAGAAGAAAACUUAGUUUUCAGCAUGCUUGAAGAAAUAUAUUUAGUUAAUGUCGAGUGAAGGCCCAGGCAGAGUGAAAACAAACCUGAAGAAUGCUAAGGAAAAACACCAAGGAUCCGAUGGGUCUGUGAAUCUUGGAUUUGGAAAUGCGAUGAGACUCCAGUCCAUUGUAGAGUGUCCUUCCUGCAACGACAGUAGCAAGACCCGGAAGAAAACCCACAAUCUGGAUCGAGAUAUGAAGAUAAAACCAUUGAGGAUCAUGAUGCUUGAAGUAUCUUGGGAUGAUUGCCCCAAAUGGAAGGAGCAUGCCCCAUGCAAUUAGGCCAAUGGCUCCAUGACGCGUUGUCAAACCUCUAGUGUUAUCGACACCAGAGGUAUAACCUGUGAGACACAGAACAGAAAGUUUGCAUAUCAGGCUUAAAAGAUUUUUAUUUGAAGCUCCCACUUUAUUUUCCUACAUAUAACUAUAUAAGCCCCCACGUCUAGAAUGUAAAAUCCUCUGUUCUCUGUUCAAAUUUCAGCUUUGCAAAUCUUGUAUUCAAUUCAAUCCUCGUCUUUUUAUGGCCUCAUAAAUUCUAAACCUUGUCUGGGUUUUCCAGUUUUGUGAAAAAUUACAUCGGGGAGCCAGCAGGAUGGGAUUAGACUCGAUGUUAGAGACAAAACUUUGGAAAAAUCUGCAAAACCCUCAACAGUUGUGGCCAUAUCUCAAGACCAAGAUGAGAAUUUACAAUAUAAUCGUGAUGAAUACUUCAUAGACUGCUCUACAAAACUAGAGUUCGUCCGAAUGCCUAUCCUUUCUUGAAAAGACAUGAAGGUCCUCACAUUCUCGAGCAGGAAGACCCUUGGCCGAAAGUAAUCAGCAAAGGAUAAAAACACCAGGAUCAUUUCACACUGAACACUUUAGUACUCCAGCUACUCUGGUUAAACGGAUUCAUCCCAGAGAAACCCUGUGAAGAUAGCAGCCUUGUUUUAGCUCUUAGAAUAGAGCAAAAAACAGAGCAUAAGCUGAUCAAACCUGGCAUGGAGUCCCCCCAAUUAAUAAAAUCAACUUGUCCAAGCAUCCAGUGACGUGGAUUAUUUGGCAGCCUCAGAAGUAGAGACACAGUCAUCGGCAUCCCCACACUUCUCCACGACAACCCUGCAUCACAACCAAUUUAUGGGUCAAUUACAAAUUGAGAGAGAGAAAAAGAGAUUUUCAUCUUAAUGAAAUCAUUCACCUCAGGCAUUGCAAUAGUUAAUAAACAUCAGUGAUUCUGGAUGAUAACAAAUAUCAUGGAGAAGUGGGGACCCUCAACUAGUUUCGCCUCCAAGACCAUGGCCAAGCAAUUCACCCAAGACAAUCAUGGAAAACGGUCUUGACAAUGGUGGCCAUUGUGUCGAAAGUGUUCAAGCAAUUUGUUGCAUAGUUGGCCGAGAUUGGGGUUUAACAUGCAAACAUGCAAACGUUAACUUCACUGCAAGUGCUACUUCCUCAGCCACUUGAUUCACAGGAGGUGAUGGGUGUUGGUCCAUCACAUCAUUCAGCAGUAUGUAGUCUACGGUUGAUAUUGAUGAGGAUGAGGAAGCUGAUGAUGACAACCAUGAGAUGAGUUCACCAGGAUGUCUUCCCAUAAUUACUUCCAAUGUUACCACUCCAAAGCUAUAGACAUCAGUUUUAUUAUCCACCUUCAUCGUGUAAGCAAGUUCUGUAAAGAAGAUUUGAUCAUGCUUUGUUCCGCUAAGCAAUUAUAACAGUUUUAUAUAUGAUGUAUAGAGGAAGUUUAGAGGUAAGCAAAGGCACUAAGCAAAUUGUACCUGGAGCAGUAUAACCAAAAGUUCCUGCAAAUGAAUUCCAAUUAGAUGAGUCCAACUUCAAAAGCCUAGCCGUGCCCAAGUCAGAUACAUGAGCUUCAUAUUCUGAAUCUAACAAAACAUUGUUGCUCGAUAUGUCUCAAUGAAUUAUAGGAGGUGAGCAAUCAUGGUGCAUAUAGGAUAAAGCUUUAGCCACACCUUUAACAACAUUCAGCCUCACAAUCCAAUCUAAUUUUUCUGCUUCUUGGUCGUUGCUUAGAAUGUUUCUCAAGCUCCCUUUUUCCAUAAACUCAUAAACCAAAAACGAGUUCUCUGCAAAUGAACUGAAGCCAUAAAGCUUGAUGAUAUUGUGAUGCCUUAUUUGUGUUAAAGCAUGAAUCUCGCUUUUGAAAGCUUUCAAAUGAGCCAUAUCUCCAUCUUCUGAUGAGUGAAGUUUUUUCACAGCAACAACAACCCGACCUGUUGGCAACUCAGCCUUGUAAACAGUACCAUAUCCUCCAGUGCCAAUACACCGUCUCGAACUGAAAUUGUCAGUCCCCUGUAUGAUGUGCUCAUACAACAAUUACCCAUCAUGGCCCCAUAUUGCACAUAAAUCUUCAACAUUUGCUUCUGGAAACUUGGUUUUUCUCUUCCUCAAUUUUUGGAAAAGAAAAUAAAUGCCAAUAAUAAAAGCAAAUAAGAACAAUAGAGUGCUCACAAGGAGGAGUAUUAUGAUCAAAACAGAAAACUUGUUGGCCUUCUUUCGACUAGCAAUGCAUAGCUUGAGAUGAGUGACAUUAUUACCACACAGACUCUUAUUAUUUUUGAAUGCCUCAAAUGGAGCGAAGGCUUUGACGUUGGGGAGAGGACCUUUCAACUGAUUGUAGGAUAUAUCAACAACUGUCAGGCUUAUCAGAUGGUCAAACGUGUGUGGGAUGGUGCCAGAGAGCCUGUUAUGGAAGAGAUUCAACGUUUCCAGGUACUGUAAUUCUCCAAGCAGCGGUGGUAUCUCUCCAGUCAACAUAUUUUGACUAAGAUCAAGACUCUCAAGAUGAUGCAUCUUUCCAAUUUCGUUGGGAAUGCUAUUCACAAAUCUAUUCUUGCUCAAGUUCAAGGACAAUAAUUUCUAGAAGUUUCCCAAUUGUUUGGGAAUUGGACCGCUUAAGUUGUUUGACGCCAAGUCAAGGAUUUCAAGAUUGGAUAAGUUUCCCAAUUCUAGAGGAAUACUUCCUGAAAGUUUGUUGUUGCCUAGCAAUAAUUUGAACAAUAAGGGAAACAUACCCAAUUCUUUUGGGAUCUUCCCAAUUAGAUGAUUUGAGGAGAGAUCAAGUUGUUGUAGUUGAAUUGUUUUCCCAAGUUGAGGCGGUAUAGUACUAGAAAUUUUGUUGUUGGAGAAGUUCAGGUUUGUGAGCAUGUGGUAUUGCCCCCAUUUCUCAGAAAGCUCACCAUAAAAAUUAUUACUGCUCAAAUCAAUAUAAUUUAAAUUAGGGUAUACACCAAAACUUUCGACUAUGUCUCUUGUAAGUUGGUUUCUUUCAAUCCUAACUUUGAACAGGCUAGUACGAUUUUUCAAGCUCUUUGGAAUAGGACCAGUGAAAUGGUUUCCAUGGGUGGAAAAGUAUUGAAGAACACCACCAUGACAUAUCUCGUUUGGUAGUUGGUCAAUGAAGUUAUUGUCACCUAAUUGCAAAUAUGUCAAAUGAGUGAUAUUAUUUAUUUCUUGAGGAAUGACACCACUCAAAUUGUUGUGAAAAAGGGUCAAAUUGAUUAAGCUAGACAAGUUUCCUAUGGAAGUUGGUAUUGAACCACUGAGAUUGUUAAAUGACAAGUCAAGAAUAUCAAGCAAUCUCAACAAUCCAAUUUCUUGAGGGAUAGAACUAGAAAGGUCAUUUUCAAAAAGAUACAAAAUGGUUAAGUUCCUCAAGUUUCCUAUAGAAGGAGGGAUUGGACCAGUGAGAUUGUUAGUUGACAAUUUAAGAUCAUUAAGAGAUCUUAACAAUCCAAUUUCUUGAGGGAUGGAACUAGAAAUCUCGUUCUCGAAAAGAUACGAAGUGGUUAAGUUUCUCAAGUUUCCUAUGGAUGAAGGGAUUGAACCAGUGAGACUAUUAUUUCCUAACUCAAGAUCAUUAAGUGAUGUCAACAAUCCAAUUUCUUGAGGAAUAGAACCGGAUAGUUUGCUUGUAUGAAGGUACAAAGUGGUUAAGUUCCUCAAGUCACCUAUGGAAAGAGGGAUUGGACCGAUGAGAUUGUUAGUUGACAAUUCAAGACUAUUAAGAGAUCUUAAUAAACUAAUUUCUUGUGGGAUGGAACCAGAAAGCUUGUUUUUAAAAAGAUACAAAGUGAUUAAGUUUCUCAAGUUUUCUAUGGAUGGAGGGAUCGGACCAGUGAGACUAUUAUUUCCCAACUCAGGAUCAUUAAGUGAUGUCAACAAUUCAAUUUCUUGAGGAAUAGAACCAGAUAGUUUGUUUGUAUGAAGGUACAAAGUGGUGAAGUUCCUCAAGUUACAAGAGGGAUUGGACCAGUGAGAUUGUUGGUUGACAAUUGAAUAUCAUUAAGAGAUCUUAACAAUCCAAUUUCUUGAGGGAUGAAACCAAAAAGCUUAUUCUUAAAAAGAUGUAAAGUGGUUAAGUUCCUCAAGUUUCCUAUGGAAGGAGGAAUUGGGCCUUUGAAAUUAUUAAAAGCCAAUGUUAGAGAGCUAAGAGAUGUUAGAAAUCCAAGUUGGUGAGGUAUUAUACUAGUGAAAUGAUUGAAACUAAAGUCAAGAACUGUGAUCAAUUUGGAAAGAUUACCAAUGUUGAUUGGAAUGGUUCCAUAAAGGGAGUUGUUAAAAAGAUUAAGAGUGAGGAGGUUGGGGAGUGAUGAGAAAUUAAGAUCGUGGAGUGUACCUCUUAAACCACAACUGUAAAGGUCUAAAUUGGAGACACUUCUUGACUUGUGAUAAGUUACUCUGAACCAAUGAUGACAAGAAUUGCGUCCAGACCAAGAAGAAAGGAAAGAUUGGGUUUGAUUAUCAAGGUUAGCCUUCCAUGUUAGAAGAGCGAGUGCUUCUUAAUCAAGUUCAACUUUCAAAAGAGAAGUGGUAGGUGUAGAGGCAGAUGUAAAAGUGGCAUGGAAUGAUGAUAUUGAGUACAAAAGGAAAAGUAGAAAUAUGAAGAAGCAAGGAGUGAUGUUGAGUUGGGGGAGUAAGGAGUAGGAUGAAAAAUAUUCAAGGGUCAUUGUUGAAUUGGUAGAAAUGAAGUUAUUAAGAGGUUUACUUGGAGGGAUGGAUGAAGGUGAAAUACUUAUUUAUAGACUUAAAUGUGAUACAUCCAACAUUUCCAUUAGUUGGCGUUGACAUCUAACCACCUCCUUAGUCUAUGAUUAAUGGAAUUGAAAAGGAUUAUAUGCAUGAGCUCAAUUCCACACUUAUUUUAUUUUAUUUUAUUUUUAUCAAAAUGCUCUUAAUUUUUUAAUUAAAAUUUACAUAUGCAAUUACAUAUGAAAUAAUGAAAAAUAUUCCUUUAUCUCUCCAGGCACUUUUAAAUAUAACUUGUUUAAAAUUAAUAAUUACAAUUCAUUUUAAGAUCGUGAGGACCAAAUAUGCCCACGUCAACAUCCUAGUUGAUACAAGAAGUCCACUUGACCAAGACUACCUAUACAUAUGCCUUUAUAUAAACCACUUAAUAUAUUUUUUUUCAGAAGCAAAGAGAAUUGGACACAUAUUUUAUUAUUAAACUAUAAUAAAUCUACCAUGAAUUUUUUGGUAGGCCUACAUUCUACGCAAGAUAUUUUUAUUAUUUUGCAUCAAGAAAUUGAAAAAAAAAUAAUUGAUUUAUUUGUUACUCAUCAAACAAUUGAGAUUCAUGUUAGAAUUAAUUGUUUCUCAUUAAUUCUUCAUGAAGAAUUGACCUAUAAGAGAUUGAUAUUUUUAAAUAUUUAAUUAGAAGCAUGUAAUGAAAUAUUUACUGAGUUUAUUAUAUACUUUUUUAAUUUAGUUUAGGUUUCUAAAAUUACUAGUUCUCAAAUAUCUUAUUUAUAUAAUUAUUAUUUUCAAAAUAUUGUUAAAUUACUAAUUUUUGGAAUUUUCAUUAUGGUAAUAAGUGUUAAUAUUUUGAAAUAUUUGCAAAUAUGUUAAUUAUCAUUUUUUUUGGUCAAACUAUUAGUCUUCAAAUAUUGUUAUUUUAAUUAUAUAAAAUCAAAAUAUAUAUAAUAAUUAUUUUAAUACAAAGAAAGAAAUUUAAUUACUAAUUUUUAGUCUUACCUUGUAAAAGGAAGUAGACUUAACACUUAAAGAGAACAUUUAGAGACCACUUUUCAACAAAUAUGUUAUUCAAAGUUAUACAUCUAGUUCUAUUACAUUUAAGUUGAUGUGAGCGGCAUUUAACUACCAAUGAAAAAUAAAUAAACACAUGUUAUUGACUAAGAACUCAUCUGGAAAGUAGGAUAAAAAAUGGUUAUAAAUGCCUUAAAAAGUGUAUUUUACUAAAAAAAAAAUAUCAUUUGAAAAAAAAUUAUAAUCGUUUUAAAGUUAGAAAACAUGAAUAAACACUUAUAAAUACUUCUUCUAAAAGUCAUUAAAAGAAAAACAUGAAAAAUCUUAAAAUUUCAAAUAAAUGUUUAUGUUUGAAAAACAUAUUUUUCUAGCAUUUUUAUUAAAAAAAUACUUUCAAACAUACCCUUACUUGAUCUACUCUAGUUCCUAAAAUAAUUACAAAUUCUAUUUAAUUUUUAUUUUUAAAAUUUUUUACUUAGGGGUGGAAAAUUGCUCCACAAAUCAUACAUGGAUAUGAAUUAUUUGGAUGAAAAUUGGAGCUAACGUCCAUAUCAUAAGAAUGACCUAUUUUAGUGGAAUAUACUUUACCUAUAAGACAAUGCUCAUUACCUUGCAUAAUGGGAUGCAAAAAUACAUAUGAGUGGACACUUUUGACUUAAAAACGUGUUUCACGAUCACAUUAAGACAAAACUCACUGCCUUAUAUAAUGGGAUGCAAAAAUACAUGAGUGGACACUUUUGACUUAAAACAUGUUUCACAAUCACAUUAAGACAAGCAUAGCCUUGUAUAAUGGGAUGCAAAAAUACAUAUGAGUGGACACCUUUUGACUUAAAACAUGUUUCACAAUCACAUUAAGACAAAACUCACUACAUUGUAUAAUGGGAUGCUAAAAUACCUAUGAGUGGGCACUUUUUACUUAAAAAUGUGUUUCAUGAUCACAUGUGUUAUAAAUUUAAGUUGAAAGAAAAUUACCACUUAAACCUCCAAAGAACACCCUUUGGAGAUGAAUAUAAAAAUUGAAAAUAAAGAUAAACUCCCUCAUAUUAUAAUAAAAUUUUAAUUUUCAAUUGUUAUAAAUUGUGAUUAUGUUACAAAUUGUGAUUAUGUUACAAAUUAAGUUAAAUAAGAAGUAAAAUGUAUUUUGUAAAAAGAAUAUUUUAAAUUUGAAGUAAAUUUUAAAUGUGCUAAAAAUUUUAGGUCCUCUUUGGGCAUGUUUUCUAAUACUUGUUGAAAAGUUUUUUUUUUUACGUUAAAGAAUGAAAGAUAGUUAUUUAGCAUUUUAUUAAAAUAAGGGUGUUUGACAAGUUGUUUUUGAAAAAAAAAAAUUAAAUAAAAAAUAAAAAACUUUUUUGAAUAAGUUGUUUAUAAAAAUAAUAUUUCUAUUUUGAUUUUAAAAAAACAUUAUAAAUUUAAUUUAUGUAAUAUUAAUUAAAUUUCAUUCAAGUCUUAUUAAAAAUGAAAAUAGUUUUUAGUUACAAAUAAAUUAAAAAAUAAGUAGUUUUUUUUUGUAAAAUAUGAAUAAUAAUAUUAUAAUAAAAUCAUAAUUUUUUUUAUAAAAAAAUACUAUUUUAUUAUAUUUUUCCUUCUAAAGCUCAUCUCAAAUUUUAGGUGGAUGCAGGCUUAAGUGCUACUUAUCUCAUUAACAAAUUACCUCUCUUUUAUUGGUAAGAAUUCUUUGUACUUUAAAUUGUUUUCGUUUACACAUCUUUGGUUCCCUGUGCUUUCCAUAUUUAAAAAUCUUAGCAUGCACAAAUUUCAAAAAAAAAAAAAGAAAAAAGAAAAAAGUUGUACCCUACGCUUUCUUAGGAUAUAGUCAUUUACAUAAAGGCUAUGGAUGUCUUCAUCUCAUAUCAAAUGAAGUCUCACUACUACAAAAAAUGUAAUUUAUGAUGCUUUUUUUCUUGACGCUUAUAUAAAGUGCCAUUAUUUAUUCUCAAAAAUGGGUAUUAAUGACGCUUGCAUUAUCUUGGCUCUUUAAUGGGAGAAAUAAUGACGUUUUUAAAUAAUGGCGCUUUUUUAAGCAUCAUUGUACAAUGAAUUUCAAAUAAUGACGCUUUUUUAAGUGCCAUUGUAGGAGAACCUCAACCUUGGCGCUUUUAAAAGCGUCAUUUUCUGUUCAUUUUAUAAUUACUCACAUUUUUCAAUUAAAAAAAAAGAGAUAAAUGUAAUAAAGCCUUUUCCAUACCCGAUGCCCACACUCAAGUUUCAUUACCAAAUCUGUCUCUAACUGAACCAGCAAGCUCCAACCAAUUUCGAUUGAGAAAAUGAAGUUCUUACUCCAAAUCAAGAAGAUAGCAUUCAUGGAUGUUCCACCGAUUUGACUAUUUGGGUGCUGGAUUAAGAGAAAGGAAAUGAAUGGAGAUAUGAGAGAAAGCUAGGGUUUUUUUAGAUCCGUAGGUUGGGAGAGGCAAGAGGCAGCAAAGGCAGGUGCCUUCGGUUGAAGAGGUAAGCAAGGAGGAAAGGUCGAAGAACCAGAGGAACAGAGGAAAGAAAAGAAGGGAGAAGAAAAAACCCAGAAGAGAGAGUUGUCGGGUACGAGCCCAUAUGUUCUCGUUUUCCCAUGGAUUCACAUUCUUCACUAUUGAUUUCUGGGAUUUGAGUGUGAAUGCUUGUAAAUCUAUUGUGGUUUUUGUUUAUUAUUAGUUAUUUUCUUGGUUUGCAUCUCCGAUAAAAAGAUACUAUACCUCUGUUUUUAGGCUCAGUUGUGUCUCUCCUCUGUUUUUGUUCUCUGGUUCUUAUGUUCUCUAGAAGAUUUGGAAAUGGUUCUGGUAUUGUUCCAUUUGUGUACAAUGGUUCAUGCCGAAAGGAGCUUGCUUUCCAUGGAGUUGUAGGUACUACCUAUAACUUGUUUGAUGAAAUGCCAUUUCGAGAUAUGGGCUCUUGGAAUGCAUAGAAAGUUUUUCAACAAUUUUUAUUAAGGGAUGUAGUGUCAUGGAACUCAAUAAUUGCUGCCUAUGAGCAGAAUCAUGUGGCUUUCGAAUUAAAUAAAAAAAAAUUCUUCAGGAGGCGCUGCCCUUUUCAACCCCCGCAAGCUGACCAGGCAGCUCGACCCCCGACAUCCCGAGCGAAGUGCAACAUUUACUACUAAUUUAAGCUUCACAAUCUGACAUAGGCUUCAUUGCUUAUGUUACAAAAGAUGCUAUUCAACUUCAUUUUUAAAUGGGUUACACAACAUGUUAUCUAAUUAAUAAUAACAUCAUGUUUGGUUCAUCUAUUCAAUAAACUAAUUGAGAUUUGACACCCCACUUAUGACCACAAACUAGAAUGGUCACCCCCAACAUAAGUAGAACACAUGUCAAGGUGCGGCUUAGCUCUACGUUAGCCUUACUUGGGAAAUCUACCCAAGUCUAAGCCUAAAAACAAAAUGAAAAAAAUAUCAUGAUAUUAUAUUAAUACAAAUUAUAUGUAUCUAUAUUGAUUAUCUAAUUAAUCAAGACUCUAAAAAAUGAGUAACUUUGAUAAAUCAUUUUGGGGGUUGGAGAUGAACCAAUUUUAACAUGAACUUUAUGUAGUGGGUCUUUAAUGGAUUUAGCCAAGUUUGUGAACUUAGGCCUAAAAUGUGAUGCUUACAAACAAUAUUUUCCUAUUCUCACCAUUGCAAUUGAUAUGAAUAAUUUAUAAUACAUAACUAGAUGUAAUAUUUUAAUAAGUAUUUAUGUUUUAGUUUUAAUCAACUAUGCAUGCAUGAAUCCUUAGAAUUCCCAUUCAAGUAUCAUUGUGAGACAGAAGUUUCUCUUAUUACAUACUAAGACAAUAAGUUGUCAAAAUGUGAAAUGUGGGUAUAUUUAAGCCAGUUUCAAGUUGACAACUACUAAAUUUGUCUUCCAUGUGAUAAAUAUCUUUUCUCUGCAAAUGAUGUUUGAAUUGUCCAGUUGGACAGCAUAGGAAAACAUGAUAUCUAUGAAGUUAAUUGCUUGUUCUUAAUUCAAUUUUUAGAAAAUUUGGUAGUCUUUCUUCUUGUUCUUUGGGUGCAUAUUUGGACAAGGUCACAUAUUGUGCCUUAUCCAUUUUGUGUACUUGGAGAACUAUAGGGAAAUGCUGUCGAAAUUUCUUUAAAAUGAAUUUAAGUAUAUUGGCAAUUGACACAUAGGGAUUAUGCAUUCCUAUAUGGGAUAGGAACCACCACCUAAUUAAGGAUGUUGGAGAUGUUAGAAUGCCUGAAUCAUGUAUAAAUCACUUGUUUCUAUUCAUUCGAAUCUUAGUUCCAUUCGUUAAUUGUUUUAGUUCAUGGUAUCAUUGUCUCAUGUGGUUAUGUGUUUUUAAAAUUUUCAAACUUGGUGUAUUCAAUAAUAUAAGAGAAGACUAAAAGUUAGAUCUUGCUUUUCAUUCCUAUUCAUGAAUAAAACAAACAUCAUGAAUGAACUAAGAUCCAUUUUUUAUGCUAAUAUUGAAUAACCUAAUAUACUAAUUAUGUUUCUUGUCAUAUUGCUUAUUGUUAGAUGACUUGCACAUUGUUGUUUUUUGGAUUGGUCUAAGUUUUGUGACAAUGUGGGAAAUUUUAAUUUGGUAGAUUAUAUAUUUUAAGCCUAUUAAUAGGAUUUUAUUAAUAACUUUAGUUGUUGGUGGUAUCUAGGAGUUGUGUUUAUCUCUUGUACAUCAAAUGGAUUGUUCUUGGAUGUCAAAGGAUAGGAGAUCAAAGGAUUAUGCAGAUGGGGUAGAAAGCUUUAUCGCAUUUGCAUUACAAUAUUCCACAUAUAAAAACUCCAUUAAAUGUCCAUGCCUUCAGUGUGGUAAUAUGAUAUUCCACACUCCUCAAAAAAUUAGAGAACAUUUAUUCUUCUAUGGAAUUGAUCAGAGUUACCAUACAUGGUAUUGGCAUGGAGACGCUGCUCCAAGUGGACCACCAACUAGUAGGGCAGAAUGGCAUCAUACAGUUGAAUUUAACGAUGUGGAUAGUACAAUAGAAAUGGUUCAAGUUGCAUAUGAUGAUCGUAAGAAUGACCCAAAAUUGUUUGAAACAUUACUUGAAGAUGCUCAAAAACCUUUAUAUCCUGGUUGUAGAAACUUUACAAAGUUAUCUGCAUUGGUCAAAUUAUACAACCUGAAAGCACGAUAUGGNNNNNNNNNNNNNNNNNNNNNNNNNNNNNNNNNNNNNNNNNNNNNNNNNNNNNNNNNNNNNNNNNNNNNNNNNNNNNNNNNNNNNNNNNNNNNNNNNNNNNNNNNNNNNNNNNNNNNNNNNNNNNNNNNNNNNNNNNNNNNNNNNNNNNNNNNNNNNNNNNNNNNNNNNNNNNNNNNNNNNNNNNNNNNNNNNNNNNNNNNNNNNNNNNNNNNNNNNNNNNNNNNNNNNNNNNNNNNNNNNNNNNNNNNNNNNNNNNNNNNNNNNNNNNNNNNNNNNNNNNNNNNNNNNNNNNNNNNNNNNNNNNNNNNNNNNNNNNNNNNNNNNNNNNNNNNNNNNNNNNNNNNNNNNNNNNNNNNNNNNNNNNNNNNNNNNNNNNNNNNNNNNNNNNNNNNNNNNNNNNNNNNNNNNNNNNNNNNNNNNNNNNNNNNNNNNNNNNNNNNNNNNNNNNNNNNNNNNNNNNNNNNNNNNNNNNNNNNNNNNNNNNNNNNNNNNNNNNNNNNNNNNNNNNNNNNNNNNNNNNNNNNNNNNNNNNNNNNNNNNNNNNNNNNNNNNNNNNNNNNNNNNNNNNNNNNNNNNNNNNNNNNNNNNNNNNNNNNNNNNNNNNNNNNNNNNNNNNNNNNNNNNNNNNNNNNNNNNNNNNNNNNNNNNNNNNNNNNNNNNNNNNNNNNNNNNNNNNNNNNNNNNNNNNNNNNNNNNNNNNNNNNNNNNNNNNNNNNNNNNNNNNNNNNNNNNNNNNNNNNNNNNNNNNNNNNNNNNNNNNNNNNNNNNNNNNNNNNNNNNNNNNNNNNNNNNNNNNNNNNNNNNNNNNNNNNNNNNNNNNNNNNNNNNNNNNNNNNNNNNNNNNNNNNNNNNNNNNNNNNNNNNNNNNNNNNNNNNNNNNNNNNNNNNNNNNNNNNNNNNNNNNNNNNNNNNNNNNNNNNNNNNNNNNNNNNNNNNNNNNNNNNNNNNNNNNNNNNNNNNNNNNNNNNNNNNNNNNNNNNNNNNNNNNNNNNNNNNNNNNNNNNNNNNNNNNNNNNNNNNNNNNNNNNNNNNNNNNNNNNNNNNNNNNNNNNNNNNNNNNNNNNNNNNNNNNNNNNNNNNNNNNNNNNNNNNNNNNNNNNNNNNNNNNNNNNNNNNNNNNNNNNNNNNNNNNNNNNNNNNNNNNNNNNNNNNNNNNNNNNNNNNNNNNNNNNNNNNNNNNNNNNNNNNNNNNNNNNNNNNNNNNNNNNNNNNNNNNNNNNNNNNNNNNNNNNNNNNNNNNNNNNNNNNNNNNNNNNNNNNNNNNNNNNNNNNNNNNNNNNNNNNNNNNNNNNNNNNNNNNNNNNNNNNNNNNNNNNNNNNNNNNNNNNNNNNNNNNNNNNNNNNNNNNNNNNNNNNNNNNNNNNNNNNNNNNNNNNNNNNNNNNNNNNNNNNNNNNNNNNNNNNNNNNNNNNNNNNNNNNNNNNNNNNNNNNNNNNNNNNNNNNNNNNNNNNNNNNNNNNNNNNNNNNNNNNNNNNNNNNNNNNNNNNNNNNNNNNNNNNNNNNNNNNNNNNNNNNNNNNNNNNNNNNNNNNNNNNNNNNNNNNNNNNNNNNNNNNNNNNNNNNNNNNNNNNNNNNNNNNNNNNNNNNNNNNNNNNNNNNNNNNNNNNNNNNNNNNNNNNNNNNNNNNNNNNNNNNNNNNNUAUGUUUGUGAGUAAAAAAAUUAUGAAAAUUUUUUAUUAUCAAAUAUGCAUGUUGUGUUUUCCAAACUUAAUGUAACACAAACCGAUAGUCCAAAAGCUUUCAUAAGUUCUUAUGGACUUGAUGAACUUGUUGAAACCACGUGCUCCUUCCAUGUUGAUUCUUAUAGGAAAUUCCUACUGCAAAUUUAGCUUUCUUAUACAAAGGCCCUUGGGUUGCUUAAAAUAAAUGAAAUGUUAAACAAAGCGGGACAAAAAAAAGUUUAAAUGAAGUGUUAUCCUUGUUAUAUGAUGAACAAUUCUAAAAAGAUCUAUUGAAUUCAUGAUCUAUUGCAUUUCAUUGUGCAAUGAUUAUGGAUUUGUUUCUUUGAAAAGUUAUGUUUUACAAUUAUUCUUUGACUAGGUUAUAUGCAAUAUAAUUUUAACUAAUCUUUAUCAUUUUUUAUUUUUUUUUGUUACAAGAAUGGAGACAAAGGAAGGAGAAAAACCCAUAAAAAGGAAGUACAGAGGGAUGACACGGAAGCAUAUGAUUAUAAAAAACAGAAGCAAGGGGGUUAAGUUGCCGGUUAAGUACAAUCUUGAUGGCAUUUUCAUAGGAGAAUCAGCAGUUCAUCUAACAAGCUACUUAGGCGUGUUAGCACGCACUAUGGUGCCAAUAAGAUAUAAAACUUGGCAUGUUGUACCUAAACAGUUGAAUGAUAAGUUAUGGGACAGCAUUGAGGUAACCAUUUCUUAUUUAAAUCACUUUGAUGCAAAAUGUCUAUCAUUCUUAACCUCUUGAAAUUACUAAAGUUUGGUAUUAAUGUGCAGACUGCUUUUUCCUUAAAUCAUAAAAGCAGGAGGAAUUGUAUGUUAACAAUGGGAAAAUGCUUUCGGUCCUUUAAGAACUUGCUAACAGUGAAGUACAUUCUUCCUUUCGAAGACCAACCGGAGCUCCUCAAAAGACCACCAAUUCAAUAUACUUUUAUUGAGGAUGAAGAUUGGACAAUAUUUGUCAAAGAUAGAUUGUCUGACAACUUUAAGGUAUAAUUAAGACUCUUUACAUACCUCUUAUUCACAUUCAUUAAUUAUAAAAUUUUAAUUUAUAGGAAUAUCGAGAAAUUCAAAAAGAAAGAAGAAAGAGAAACAUUUAUAAUCACCAUCUAAGUAGGAAAGGAUAUGCCGGUCUUGAGGAAGAGAUGGUAAGUGUAAGCCUAUUAAUUGUUUUUUAUUUAUUUUAUGCAUAAUACAUAAUAGGGUUAUAUGAUAAUUAUAUUAUACAUUGUCCUAUUUUGAAAGAUGGUUGCAAGUGGAUCAAUUGAAACUAUUGAUCGAAGCAUAUUGUGGAAGAAAGCAAGGGAAAAAAAGGACGGCACCUUUGAUGAAGUGGCCAUACCAGUAAUUGAGAAAAUAGUAAGUGAAUAUUUUUCAAUUUUAAUUACAUAUAUUUAUAAUAAGUUAUUUACAAUAACAAAUUUGCAAUUUAACUUUAUAAUUAAUAUUUUUUAAGGACAAGCUAUUGAAAGAGUCUCAAGAGAAUGGUAGAAGUGUUAGUGGAAGUAAUGAUAUACUUGUGGAAGCAUUGGGUACUCCUGAGUAUAGUGGUCGAGUUAGGGCCAAAGGGAAGCACUACACAUCUCGCCAAUAUUUCAAUAGUGUUGCAGAUCGUGCUGUCAGGGAUUUCAUAGCAGCAUCUAAAGAAGAACAAAGAAUAUUUCAGGCAGAAGUGCUAGCAAAACUGUCUCAAGUAGGAGCUGUUACUCCCCAAUCUGAUGUUAGCAGUUCAAACAUGAAGCAAAAACAACUUCUCCUACCAGAAGUAGUGGAUAAGCCAAUCCGUAAAGUUGAAGAUGUGACCCCACCAGAAGCAAUAGAACCACAGAAGAAGGUAUUUAUUCAGUUAAGCUAAUUUGAUGACAAAGUUUCCUCUAAUACGAGAAAUAAUUUAAUUUAAUUUUGUUGUUUGAAUUGACUUCAAAUGUUGGUGGCAACAUAUAUGGUCUUCUUUGAUGUGGCAACAUAUAAUAGGAUAUGUCUAAAUUAUGGGUUGAGUUAUAUGCAAUGGACUAAAAUGUUAUCAUGCAAGUUUGUUGCAAUUGAAUGUAAAUGAAAUUGCAUUUAUCAUUGUAAUAGGAGCUAUAAGGUGAUUGAUGAUGAUAAUGCAUUUACGUUAGUUUUGUAUAAACCCACUAAUAUUGAAGUGAUUAUUGUGAAUUGAGUUUUGUAGGUUAGAAAAUGUGAGCUGGCCAUAGGCACCAAGGAAAAUAUAGUGGCAGGUGGAACAAUUAUACUUGAAUGUGGUCUCAACUAUUUAGUAGUUGUUGAUGCUCCUUAUGAUUCAAGUGCACCCCUUCCCAUUCCUAUUCUUGGACAAACUACUACUGUUGGGGCUGCAAUUGGUUACCAAGUUUUGUGGCCAACUGAUUUGGUCAUCAUCCGUACUUCCAUCUUAGUAAGUAAAUUUAAUUACCAAACUUUAUAGUGACUUUAUAUAUAUAUAUAUAUAUAUAUAUAUAUAAACUAGUUAAUUUGAUUUGUACCAUGGUUCUUAAUUGUACAGGCAUCUAAGAAAGCAAAGAAACAAAAAGUAAAUGAAGUUGAAGUCAAAUCCAAGGGUGAAAAACCACAAGAUAUGAAAAUUUUUGAGACAUUGGUUGGCCUCAUGCUGAGUACAUCAAGAACACACCCUAUAAACUUCCCAGAUGAUGUUUUUGGUGAGAGUUUCGAGACCUUCAUGAUGAAAGAAGAUAUGGAAAUGAUAAUAUCAUCAAAAGAAGUGUCAUCCAAUUGUAUUUUAUACUACAUCUGGUAAGGGAUUUUAUAAUUUUUGAAUGACUUUUCACAAGAUUAUGAGAUAGAAGGUUAUUUUCUAAUGACCUAUAAUGAUUGUUGAUAACUUGUCAUGUGGGUUAUAAUCAGGCAUUUGCAUAGAAAGUUGAUUGAUGCAAAGCAGGCUGAACGAUAUGUUUUUGCCAAUCCAGCAUUGGUCUCAAAAGCUGGAAUGGGAGAGGGAAGCAAGGAAAACAGGUCAAGGGUUAUUGCAGAUCGACUAAAGAAUACAAAGCAUGCUGAAUAUAUGCUUAUUCCAUAUAACCCAGAGUAACCUUUUAUCCUAAAUAUCAAUAUGGUGUUUGUAAGUUAGUUUGUGAUGUUUGAAUUUGUGGAUACUAUAUUACAAUUUUCAUUUCUUUUCUUUAGUUUCCAUUGGGUGUUAGUGGCAUUGGAGAUGAAGAAAAUGAUUGCAUAUUACCUUGAUCCAAUGGCCUGUCAACCAUGUGAUGAUCUUAAGGACAUAGUUAACAUGUAAGUAUAUAUUUUCUCCUAUUUUAAUACAAUUGAUAGUGUCUAAAUAACAUCUUUUUAAUUCUUUUUGUAGGGCAAUGAGAAUCAACCCACUGGAAAAACAGAAAACAUCAAAGAGGGAGCCAACUUGGGUGAAAGCGGUUGUAAGUACUUAUUUGUUUAGAUUAAAAUAUAUUGCUUCACCACUUAAUUUAUGACAAAAAUUAGAAAAUGGAUGGUUAUUAAUAUGAUCAUCAAUAAGAUGCUAAAGAAGUAAGAACAUCAUUCUAGUGUUUAUUGCAAUUGUUGAUACUUUUCCCAUAGUGCCCAAGACAACCAGGUAGUGUGGAAUGUGGGUAUUACGUGAUGAGAUAUAUGAAGGAAAUCAUUGCUAAUCCAAACCAACUAACAUCAAAGGUUUGCACUUGAUUCAAUUCAUAUGGUUGGUCAUUUUACUAUAGCAUUUUUUUUUUCGGUCAAUUGAACUUAGUGAAUUGUAUAUGUCACUCCAAUUCAGUUUUGCGGGAAGAAAUCAUAUAGUGAAAUGGAAAUUAAUGAAGUUCGAUCACAUUGGGUUAUGUUAGUGACUCAGUUAAUCAUUACUCAUGUUUGAAGGUACCUCUUAUAACUUAUAGUCUAAUACAACUUCAUAUUCUUUUAAAGAUGUAGUCAAUCUUUUGUUAAUGUUAAUUUUAUAAUGGAUUUAUUCACAAUGAUAAUUUGUUAAUGUAUAUCUUUGUACUCCUAGUUGGCAGUGUUUUCAAUAUGGAUCAUUUUGGGGGUUGCUCUAUUAUGAUUGAUGUAUAGUUGGCAUAUUGAGAGGUGAAGCCAAGUAGACAUGGUAGGUGUAACAACUUUUGUAUAUUUCCUCUACAAAUUAUUAUCAGUUAGAUUCGAAGAAAUCCUAUAAUAGCAUAGCUACAAAAAUUCCUGCAUGUCCAAGCUCAUUUUCGUGGAGCCUUUAGUUUCAUUACAUGUGCAUGAAUUAGGAAUUUGUCUAUUCUCUACAAAAGCAUUUUUGGUCUUUAAGAUUACUAGCUUUAUAAACUUCUUUAAUCUAAAUUUAUAAAGGUCUCCUACUAUACUAAUGGGUUUAAAGUAUAUAAUAUCUUGUACUUCCAUUUUCUUUUACAUAAAAAAUAGGAAGUUAGUUUAAGACUUCUUACAAAUAAGCCUAUGGAAGGAAAUAGCACCUCUUACUAAUUGGUUGUUAAAUUGUUUAUUAUAUAUUGUUCAGGUUGUACAAAAAGGCAUAGGUCAUUCUAUUAACAACGUCACUACUGCUCUUGAUGAAGGACACCCACAAACAAUUCAAAAUAUAUCAUCAAAAGAAUUUUGAGGUAACAUGUUGUGGUUAUUGUAAGUUUUAUGAAUCAAUUCCAUGUUUAGAGAUCAUUUCAUGCAAGUUCCAUAUUUAGAUAAUAGAUAUCCUCAUAUUAUUAAAUGUUGAUAUACUAAUACAAUAAGAAGAACAUAGAUAUUUUAACACAAUUUUAUAAUUUUACAUAAAUAUGUUAAUUUACAAUUUUAUAAUUUUUCGGACUUCUAGUUUUUUUUGUUUUUUUUUUCAUUCCUUAGUUCCUUCUCAUGCAAAACAUCUAAUGUCUUGUACAACCUAUAAGAAGAAUGAGAAGAUGUUAAUGGUUGAAGUUUCAUAAAUAAGAUAAAAAUCAUACCAAAAUAGUCAAUGAGAUAAAAACUUUUUUUUUUUUUCUGUUUUUUUUAAAAAAUAGAAUAAGAGUUCUAAAAUAUUUAGAAAUUUGGUGUAAUAAAAUUAUUGGAGUUUGUUGAGUUCUUUUGAUAUUUUGAAAUUUAUUGCAAUGGAAGAAAGAUAUUUUGGAAAUUUAAAAAUUGGCAUAUACACAUUUCAUUUACAAAGUUGCUUCUUAACUAUUUGUUAAUACUAAUAAAUAUGUAACCCUCUCAAUUAUUUUGCAGAUUGAGCAUCUAGAAAGUGAGUUACAACCAUCCUUUUGCACUUGGAAGAAAAAUGAUGUAAAACUAGAUGUAGUGAAGGUUAUGAACAAUUCAAAGUUGAAGAAGAAGUUGUAAAAUUGUUGGUUUUAGUUGUUGAUUAUGUAUGAUGUUUAUGGAUAAAUUGUAAUAGUGAAAAAGGAAGACCAUAUUUGAUACUUUUUGUCAAUGGAGAUUCUUAAAUUAAGUUUUCAUUAUUAAUUUAAUUGUUGAUAGAAAAUUAUAAAUAGGGCAUAAUUAGGACAUUUUAAUUUCUGGGCUAUUAAAAUUUUAUAUGAGAUAAGAUGACGCUUUUUUAAAGCGUCAUGCUUUACUUGAAUAAACAGAAGAUGACACUACUCAAAAGCGUCAAGUUUGAUGUUAAAAAAAUAUGGCAUUUUUUUUAGUGUCAAGGUAUAAAAUGCUAUACGAUGACACUUAUUAUGAGUGUCAAUAUUGCUCCUACAAAUAAAAAGCUAUAAGAUGACACUUAUAUUGAGUGUCAAUGUUGCUUCUACUUAUAAAAUGACGCUUUAUUAAGUGUCAACGUUGCUCCUACAAAUAAAAAGUUAUAAGAUGACACUUAUAUUGAGUGUCAAUGUUGCUUCUGCCUAUACAAUGACGCUUCAUUGAGUGUCAAUAUUGACAUGAAUGAAAUUAUUAACAUAUGAUGACACUUAUAAAGCGUCAAUGUUUCAAAUAAUGACACUUACUAUGAGCGUCAUGGUUGACGUGCAAAGAAGAUGACGCUUCUAAAAAGUGUCAACGUAUGCGAUUUAAAAAGAUGACAGUCUAAUAUAUGACGCUUUUAAAAGCGUCAUCUUAUAUCUAUCUUGACACUUAAAAAGCGUCAUCUUUUGACAUUUUCCUUAUAGUAAUCUACAUUUCUCAACAUGUAGUUUUUAAUGAGACAUGUUUUCUUUUUAUCAAAAAUGAAUCUACCUCCCUCUCUCUCUCUCAUAAUCUCUCAAUUACAAGUUUUUCUAAUAUUGAUGAAUGGUAUUCAAGAACAUCAAGUAGAUAAUUACAGUCUUUUCAACUUGGAGAUCCUUCACGACAUAACUCACCAAGACCAACCAUUCCUUCUACAAAAUCUUGUCAAAUUUACCUUGAGGAUAUUCCUCAAGAUCCUAUUCCUCUUCAUCUCAAACAUCCUCUCCCUUUAUCUCCUCCUCCUUUACAUGAGCCCACUCUCUUUUGAACACCACUCCCCUCUACCUCAACCUCCCACUCUCACAUCUCAUGGCCUUGGUGCUAUAGUCACUAAAUACAUCUUGUAUUCAAUUCAAUCCUCAUAUUUUUUUGGCCUCCUAACUUCUAAACCCUAUCUAGGUUUUUUGAUUUUAUGAAAAAUUACAUCAUAGGGACCUAAUAGGGUGGGAUUAUAUUCAAUGUUAGAAACAAAAUUUUGAACAAAUAUGCAAAAACGCUCAACAAUUGUGGUCAUAGCUCAUGACCAAGAUGAGAAUUUACAAUGUGAUAAUGCUGAUGAAUGCUUCAUAGACUGCACUAACUAGAGUGUGAAAAUUUUCUAUUUUCCAACAUUUUCAUAUCAAGCUAUUAUCAUCUAAAUGGAUUAAAAUCAAUUUUUUAAAAAGUUUGUAUAAAAAUAAGAGGACUUUUCAUAAAUAAAAAAAUAAAAAAUUCAAGGUGUUUUUUUAGAGUAAAACAUUUGUCUCCUAAUAGAAUUUUAUUACUCCAAACAUUUAGGAGCUAUUCUUAAAAAUUGAUUUGUAAAAACUAUUUUUCAAAACAUUAUCAAGCAGACCCACAAUCUGUUGAAGUAACAAAUGGAAAACUUACCAUUUGACCUUGUUCCAAUUACAAUUUAAAAAAAGAAAACAAACAAACACAUAAAUCCUUAGACUGGACUGAGCAACAAGCAAUGUAGUUUUGUUGUUCAUGGGUGGUCAAAUUUAUCAGUAACCCAAGAGUCCCAUGCUCACAAAAGCUCCAUUUUAAUCAAAGGUUGCUGAGAAAAUUACUAACAGGCUCAAGUCUCAUCUUAAAUAGAAGGAGACCACUCAUCACCAGAUCUAGAAUUAGCAUCAAAUAAUAACACUACCCAGAAAAAAAGAAACAUUGGUUACAUGCUUCACUAAUGAAACAUUCAAGUUAUUCAUUGAUAACCAUAACUUCUGGGGAUAUAUCGCUGUUAAACAAGAUAAUGCAUUUGUGAAGCUCAGGCGAAUCACAGAAAUCAUAGAGGAAAUCUCUUAAGCAUUACCACAUAAAAGGUACAUGAAAGAAAAAGUUGCUGAAUGUGAUCUAGCUUGGAACUGAGUGGAUCAGUGUUGAAUAUUUUCCUAGAACUUUAACAUCAAAAUUCAGAAUUAAUUAGCAGAAGCUGAAAAUGNNNNNNNNNNNNNNNNNNNNNNNNNNNNNNNNNNNNNNNNNNNNNNNNNNNNNNNNNNNNNNNNNNNNNNNNNNNNNNNNNNNNNNNNNNNNNNNNNNNNNNNNNNNNNNNNNNNNNNNNNNNNNNNNNNNNNNNNNNNNNNNNNNNNNNNNNNNNNNNNNNNNNNNNNNNNNNNNNNNNNNNNNNNNNNNNNNNNNNNNNNNNNNNNNNNNNNNNNNNNNNNNNNNNNNNNNNNNNNNNNNNNNNNNNNNNNNNNNNNNNNNNNNNNNNNNNNNNNNNNNNNNNNNNNNNNNNNNNNNNNNNNNNNNNNNNNNNNNNNNNNNNNNNNNNNNNNNNNNNNNNNNNNNNNNNNNNNNNNNNNNNNNNNNNNNNNNNNNNNNNNNNNNNNNNNNNNNNNNNNNNNNNNNNNNNNNNNNNNNNNNNNNNNNNNNNNNNNNNNNNNNNNNNNNNNNNNNNNNNNNNNNNNNNNNNNNNNNNNNNNNNNNNNNNNNNNNNNNNNNNNNNNNNNNNNNNNNNNNNNNNNNNNNNNNNNNNNNNNNNNNNNNNNNNNNNNNNNNNNNNNNNNNNNNNNNNNNNNNNNNNNNNNNNNNNNNNNNNNNNNNNNNNNNNNNNNNNNNNNNNNNNNNNNNNNNNNNNNNNNNNNNNNNNNNNNNNNNNNNNNNNNNNNNNNNNNNNNNNNNNNNNNNNNNNNNNNNNNNNNNNNNNNNNNNNNNNNNNNNNNNNNNNNNNNNNNNNNNNNNNNNNNNNNNNNNNNNNNNNNNNNNNNNNNNNNNNNNNNNNNNNNNNNNNNNNNNNNNNNNNNNNNNNNNNNNNNNNNNNNNNNNNNNNNNNNNNNNNNNNNNNNNNNNNNNNNNNNNNNNNNNNNNNNNNNNNNNNNNNNNNNNNNNNNNNNNNNNNNNNNNNNNNNNNNNNNNNNNNNNNNNNNNNNNNNNNNNNNNNNNNNNNNNNNNNNNNNNNNNNNNNNNNNNNNNNNNNNNNNNNNNNNNNNNNNNNNNNNNNNNNNNNNNNNNNNNNNNNNNNNNNNNNNNNNNNNNNNNNNNNNNNNNNNNNNNNNNNNNNNNNNNNNNNNNNNNNNNNNNNNNNNNNNNNNNNNNNNNNNNNNNNNNNNNNNNNNNNNNNNNNNNNNNNNNNNNNNNNNNNNNNNNNNNNNNNNNNNNNNNNNNNNNNNNNNNNNNNNNNNNNNNNNNNNNNNNNNNNNNNNNNNNNNNNNNNNNNNNNNNNNNNNNNNNNNNNNNNNNNNNNNNNNNNNNNNNNNNNNNNNNNNNNNNNNNNNNNNNNNNNNNNNNNNNNNNNNNNNNNNNNNNNNNNNNNNNNNNNNNNNNNNNNNNNNNNNNNNNNNNNNNNNNNNNNNNNNNNNNNNNNNNNNNNNNNNNNNNNNNNNNNNNNNNNNNNNNNNNNNNNNNNNNNNNNNNNNNNNNNNNNNNNNNNNNNNNNNNNNNNNNNNNNNNNNNNNNNNNNNNNNNNNNNNNNNNNNNNNNNNNNNNNNNNNNNNNNNNNNNNNNNNNNNNNNNNNNNNNNNNNNNNNNNNNNNNNNNNNNNNNNNNNNNNNNNNNNNNNNNNNNNNNNNNNNNNNNNNNNNNNNNNNNNNNNNNNNNNNNNNNNNNNNNNNNNNNNNNNNNNNNNNNNNNNNNNNNNNNNNNNNNNNNNNNNNNNNNNNNNNNNNNNNNNNNNNNNNNNNNNNNNNNNNNNNNNNNNNNNNNNNNNNNNNNNNNNNNNNNNNNNNNNNNNNNNNNNNNNNNNNNNNNNNNNNNNNNNNNNNNNNNNNNNNNNNNNNNNNNNNNNNNNNNNNNNNNNNNNNNNNNNNNNNNNNNNNNNNNNNNNNNNNNNNNNNNNNNNNNNNNNNNNNNNNNNNNNNNNNNNNNNNNNNNNNNNNNNNNNNNNNNNNNNNNNNNNNNNNNNNNNNNNNNNNNNNNNNNNNNNNNNNNNNNNNNNNNNNNNNNNNNNNNNNNNNNNNNNNNNNNNNNNNNNNNNNNNNNNNNNNNNNNNNNNNNNNNNNNNNNNNNNNNNNNNNNNNNNNNNNNNNNNNNNNNNNNNNNNNNNNNNNNNNNNNNNNNNNNNNNNNNNNNNNNNNNNNNNNNNNNNNNNNNNNNNNNNNNNNNNNNNNNNNNNNNNNNNNNNNNNNNNNNNNNNNNNNNNNNNNNNNNNNNNNNNNNNNNNNNNNNNNNNNNNNNNNNNNNNNNNNNNNNNNNNNNNNNNNNNNNNNNNNNNNNNNNNNNNNNNNNNNNNNNNNNNNNNNNNNNNNNNNNNNNNNNNNNNNNNNNNNNNNNNNNNNNNNNNNNNNNNNNNNNNNNNNNNNNNNNNNNNNNNNNNNNNNNNNNNNNNNNNNNNNNNNNNNNNNNNNNNNNNNNNNNNNNNNNNNNNNNNNNNNNNNNNNNNNNNNNNNNNNNNNNNNNNNNNNNNNNNNNNNNNNNNNNNNNNNNNNNNNNNNNNNNNNNNNNNNNNNNNNNNNNNNNNNNNNNNNNNNNNNNNNNNNNNNNNNNNNNNNNNNNNNNNNNNNNNNNNNNNNNNNNNNNNNNNNNNNNNNNNNNNNNNNNNNNNNNNNNNNNNNNNNNNNNNNNNNNNNNNNNNNNNNNNNNNNNNNNNNNNNNNNNNNNNNNNNNNNNNNNNNNNNNNNNNNNNNNNNNNNNNNNNNNNNNNNNNNNNNNNNNNNNNNNNNNNNNNNNNNNNNNNNNNNNNNNNNNNNNNNNNNNNNNNNNNNNNNNNNNNNNNNNNNNNNNNNNNNNNNNUAUGUAAGAGGCUAAGGGGAUUAUUCAUGUAAGCAAAGUUGAUAACGUUAAUUAAUUUUGUGAAGGUUAUAAUUUCAUUUAUGUUUAUUAUUUAUUGUACGUAUAUAUAAUUUAGAUGUUUUCUACUCUUCCUUAUUUUUAUUUACAGGUUGCAAAGGAAACUUGUUUUCUAAAAGAAGAGAAACCAUUGUGUUAAAGAAGACGAAGUCAAAAACCAUGAAGAUUACAUCAGUGAAGAACUCAUUAGGAGGUGGAACUAUGCUUUUAAAGAUUAUGGUUUAUUUUAGUAGUCUUGGUACCAAUGUUUGUUCUUAUGUUAGAAUUAGAAAUUCUUAUUGAAAUAUUUUGAUAUAAUUAACAAGUUUAUGUGUAAUUAAUAUAUAUAUAUAUAUAUAUAUAUAUAUAUAUAUAUAUAUAUAUAUAUAUAUAUAUAUAUAUAUAUAUAUAUAUAUAUAUGUGGAUAUAUUAACUGUUUAAACUAUGUUCAUGUAUAUCAAUAUAUAUAUAUAUUUUAAAUAAAUAAAUUCAAUUUUAUUUUAUUGGGUGUAAUUGUUUUUUUAAUUUAAUUAUAUAAGAAAUCUAUUAUUUUAAUAACGGAAUCAAAAGAUUAUUUUUUUAUAGAAAUUGUUCAAAGAUGACGUUUUUAUAAACAUCUUUGUAAACAUAAAAUAAAAAAGACAUUUUAAAAAGUGUCAUUAAUAAGAAAAAAUCAAAGAUGGCGCUCGCACAAGUGUCAAGAGUGAUAAUUUUAUAAAAUUUUUUUCAANNNNNNNNNNNNNNNNNNNNNNNNNNNNNNNNNNNNNNNNNNNNNNNNNNNNNNNNNNNNNNNNNNNNNNNNNNNNNNNNNNNNNNNNNNNNNNNNNNNNAGGUUCAUGUAUAUCAAUAUUUAGAUAUAUUUUAAUUAAUUAAAUUCCAUUUUAUUUUAUUGGUUGUAAUUGUUUUUUUAAUUUAAUUAUAUAAGAAAUCAAUUAUUUUAAUAACGGAAUCAAAAGAUUAUUUUUUAAUAGAAAUUGUUCAAAGAUGACGUUUUUAUAAGCAUCAUUGUUAACAUGAAAUAAAGAAGACAUUUUUAAAAGUGUCAUUAAUAAGAUUAAAUCAAAGAUGGCGUUCGCACAAGUGUCAAGAGUGAUAAUUUUAUAAAAUUUAUUUCAAUAAAAAUGUUCAAAGAUGACGCUUUCACAAGUGUCAUUGUUGACAUUAUUCAAGGAUGACACUUCUUAAAGCGCCAUUGAAAGCAUUAAUAAAAUAUGGCGCUUCUUGAAAGUGUCAUUGUUAAUUGUAACAUUUAAUGACAGGGGCGGAUAUGACGCUUCGAGGAAGCGUCAUCUUUUACCUUUCUUGACGCUUAAAAAACGUCAUUAUUUCACUUUUUUCUUGUAGUGACGAAUUCUUUCUUUGUUAGUUUUAUUCGCCAAUAUCUCCUUAUGCCCAGAACUGAAGGCAAAACCCAUCUGUUCUCAUAGAAAGUGAAGUACAAAAAGUCCAUAGAUGUGAUAGAGUCCUAAAACAGCAGUAUCUAUGCUCCGGCAGAAUCUCCGAUUCGGGUAUGAAUGUCUAGGAUAGAAGAAUAAAACUUAAGGAUGGCUUCAUUCAACUGGACUCAAUAUUACUAACAAACCUUCUUCGUUAGGGUAUAUUAGACAACUGAUAAGGAACUAUAGAAUCCGAUUUCUCUUUUUAACUAAGAACAGUUUCCAGAUGAGAUCUUAUAUGAGUUUUGAGAAAACAAGUUCACAAAAAAUUAUAAAUAAGAGGACAUAUCCUGACAAUGUCAAAGGCAUAAAAGACAGCAGCAAAUAGCAUUCACAUAGUUUAUGAGAGACAAAAAUAUUCCACAUGAAAGAGCAAAACUAGUAGCAUUGUAGGAAAGCAGUCCACAACAUAAAAAAAAAAAAGUAGGAAAAUACUAUAUAUAAAAACUAAGAUUAGAAUUUAUUAAUAAUUUUUUAUUAAUUUAUACAAUUUACAAUACAUUGUAAAAGAGAAUAAAAUGAUAAUACCUUUCUAAUGUCUCUUUAAUGUUUAUCGUUUUUUGACUUUUUCAACAACCACACCAAUACCACUACCAUCAAUAUCAUUAUAGAUCAACUCAUCUUCUAUGAAAUGUGAGACUAUGGACCCCGUAUUUCGGCUCAUGCGUUCCCCACUAGAUGGCAAGCUCGAUUUUUAUUUGAAAAAUGGUUUUUAUUUAUUCAAAAAUGACUUGGAGUCGCCAUUUAUUUUUAUUUUAUUUUAAAAGGGUAAACAAAAUAAGAAAGAAAACUCUAAGUGUGACUCCUUAUUUUGGAAAAGGUGAUCUACGAAAAACCGGAUCGGGUUCGGGGGUCAGGUUACUUAUCGGGAAGAUACGGUAAAGACCGUAGCACCCCUCUAAGUCCCCAAAGUUGGGUCUCUACUAAUAAAAUGAAGCUAGCAUGGUAAUCUAUAAGAAAAUCAAUGAAUACCCACAGCGAAUCAUGCACAUAUGAGGGUCAGAAAAUGCAUAUAGACUAACUAGAGUGAGAGUGAGUGCAUACCUGGGCAAUGAACCGUUAUGCGCUAUCAAGAGAGGGGGUUAGUGCAUAAUUAAAGAAUAAUCUCAUGCAUGUCAUAGAGCAAAACAAAUCAAUCAUGUAUGAUAAUCAAAUCAAACAAUCAAUCAAUCAAUCAUAAAGUCACCCAUGUAAGGCCCCCACCACAGCCCAUUUGUUUUGCAUGAAUUAAUAUCACAGAUUCUAUUAUUUCGGAAUUAUGAAAAAUUCAUUUGUGCUUAUUGAAUUCAAGAGGAACAGAAGAUUGUUUGAAGACCAGAAUGGAAUUAAAAUUAUUUGAGAGAAAAUCGGAUUUUUGAAAUUUAUUUGAAAAAUUGGAAUCUCGAAGGUUAUUUAAAAAUUGAAAUUUUAGAGUUUAUUUGGAGGUCAGACUUUUAGAAACUAAAUGUGAGAACGAGAAUUUUAGAAAUUGAAUUUGAACGAGGUUGGAAAUUUGAAAAAUGAUUUGAGAGUUCGGGGUUUAAAAUGAGUGGAUAAGCGGAUGAGCGAAUAAGUAAAUGAAUGGGAUGACGUUAAUAAUGAAAACAAUCAUUAAAAGGCGGUAUAUGAACGAUGGAGCUUUUGAGAUUGGAAAUCAAACUUGAAAAGUCGGGUUCUUAAGAAUUAAACUUUAACGAUUAGAAUAAGUAAAUAAAUAGGGAAUGAUAACGCUAGUUAAAGGAAAUAACAUUUUAAACGGAUGAAAAAAUGAAUAGUGGAAUUUUUAAAGUUUGAAAACUAAAUUAGGGCAUUGAAUUUUUGAGGAAUUGGACUUUAAAAUAAAUAGAUGAGUAUGAGAGAAUGACUCUAAUUGAUAAAAAUAAGAUUUAAACGAAUUGUAAAAACGAUUAAAUUAAGACAUGAGAUUUUUGAAGGAUUAGACUAGAUAAAUAUAGGAUAAUGACUCUAUUUGAUGAAAAUAAGAUUUAAACGGAUUAUUGAAAGAUUAAAUUACUAAAUAAAUAUGGGAUAAUGAUUCUAAUUAAUGAAAAUAAAAUUUAAACAAAUUAUUGAGAGAUUAAAUUAAGACAGGGGAUUUUUGAAGGAUUAGACUUUGAAUAGCUAAAUAAAUACGAGAUAAUGAUUCUAAUUGAUGAAAAUAAGAUUUAAACGAAUAUUUGAAUGAUUAAGUUAAGACAGGGGAUUUUUGAAGGUUUAGGCUAGAUAAAUAUGGAAUAUUGAUUCUAUUUGAUGGAAAUGAGAUUUAAACGAAUAUUUGAAGAAUUAAAUUAAAACAUAGGAUUUUAGAAAGAUUAGACCUUAAAUAACUAGAUAACUACGGGAUAAUAAUUCUAAUUGAUGAAAAUAAGAUUUAAAUGAAUAAGUAAGAGAUUAAAUUAAGAUAGGGGAUUUUUGAAGGAUUAGACUAGAUAAAUAUAGGAUAAUGACUUUAUUUGAUGAAAAUAAGAUUUAAACGAAUUAGUGAGAGAUUAAAUUAAGAUAGGGGAUUUUUGAAGGAUUAAACUUUAAAUAACUAGAUAACUACGGGAUAAUAAUUCUAAUUGAUGAAAAUAAGAUUUAAACGAAUCAUAGAAUUUUUAGGAUUGAAAAAUUAAAUUAAAAUAUGGAAUGUUUGAAGGAUUGGACUUUAAAUAACUAGAUAAAUGUAGGAUUAUAAUUCUAAUUAAUGAAAAUAAGAUUUAGUUGCAUUGUAGAGUUUUUAGGAUUUGAAAGAUUAAAUUAAAACAUGGAAUUUUUGAAGGAUUAAACUUUAAAUAACUAGAUAAAUACGAGAUUAUAAUUCUAAUUGAUGAAAAUAAGAUUUAAACGGAUUAUUUGAAGAAUUAAAUUAAGAUAGGGGAUUUUUGAAGGAUUAGACUUUGAAUAGCUAAAUAAAUACGGGAUAAUGGUUCUAAUUGAUGAAAAUAAGAUUUAAAUGAAUGUUUGAGUGAUUAAAUUAAGACAGGGGAUUUUUAGACUAGAUAAAUAUGGGAUAUUGAUUCUAUUUAAUGAAAAUGAGAUUUAAAUGAAUAUUUGAAGAAUUAAGUUAAAACAUGGGAUUUUUGAAAGACUAGACUAGAUAAAUACGGGAUAUUGAUUCUAUUUAAUGAAAAUGAGAUUUAAACGAAUAUUUGAAGAAUUAAAUUAAAACAUGGGAUUUUUGAAAGAACUAGAUUUUAACUAUUGGAAUUUUUGAAAGAAUUAAACACACAAAUGCGGACUAAUAAUAAUUAUAACAAGAAUAAUAUUUAAACGGAUGAAAGUAAAUAGUCGAAUAUUUGAAAUUGAAAAACGAUUUAGGAAGUCGGAUUUUUGAAGAAUGGUUUUAAAAGACAUAAGUUGUGAAGAUGGGACUUAAAAUUUGGAUGGUAGAAAAUUCAUUGAAGCCAACAUAAAUUAAUUAUAUAAAAUUUUUCAUAUAUGAUGAUUAGACAUGACUAAAGCAAAGAAGAUGAAAUGUAAAUUAUUUUGGGUUUUAAAAAAACAAUAUUCCAUCCUAAUAAUUUAUCUUUUAGUGGUGUUUGAGUUGAGUUAACAUGUUAGGUAAAAAUAGAGGGCCUUUCAUUAGCAACCUUUUGGGCCUGGGCUCCAGCUUAAGCCCAAAGUCCUUGCCAUGGGCAAGCCCAAGGCAUCCAUCCUCAACAUCAACUUGGGCCGGAGAGUCCUCAGACUGGGACACCUACCCACCAGGCGCUCCAGGGCAGAGAAACUCACCCCGGAGGCCAAGCAGGAAAUGUUGAGGGACACCAGUGAUAUGCAAGAAUCAGGGAAAUGGGUGAGCCAAUGUCCACUGAAGUCAUCCACUUCACUCUCUCGCAAGUCCAGCUCUGUCAGAUUCCUGCAAUUUGCGGCAAUGGCAGCGAGUCCAUCCGUACUGAACCCUUCGCACGACGAGAGCACCAAAACCUUGAAAUUCUUGAACGAGCGCGAGAUCAGCUCCAAGCUCUCGUCUGUCAUCACCAUCCUCUUCAACCUCAACUCUUCCAACAUCGGGUAAGCCAUAGCCAUGGCAGCGAUCCACGGAUAAACGUUACCUCCCCACCCAUCCGGCACCAGAUUAAAGUCUGCAAAAUGCGGCUCCCCUUCAGCGCCACUGACCGGAGCUCCGGGAAGCGCCUGAUCACUAUCCCAGGGCUCGCAGCGUAACAGUUCCCGAUGAAGAUCCGUCGCCGGCUCCACCGCUCCACCUCAUACCACGAUUUGCACACCACGGAUAUCGCGUUUCGGUCCUUAUCGGUAUGAAUGAAAGAAAACACAUGCCCCAAAACCUCUUCCGGAAACGAGUACGCCAUUGAAACUUCUUUCUCGGAGUUCCGAAUUCAUAAACAAACCCUAAACCGGACUUUUCGAAGUCUCAGAUCUGAGAUGCCAUUAACAAGCUCAGUUGCAGAGGAGAGAGAGAGAGAGAGAGAGAGAGUGAGAUGCGGCGUGGGUGUGGGCACGUAUGCAUGAGGUUGGAAGGUUGGGUUGCCAGCAGCAGGUUUCGAAGAGAGAAACGUGGGCAUGGUGGUGAAUACGACUGUGGGUAUGGUGAGGUAUGAGCAUGGAAGGUGGCAUGAUGGAGGUGGCUACAUGCAUGAUGAUGAAAGCAAGGAUUACUAGUGGUGAGAUAUUUGCAUGGGAAGAAGGAUAGGAAUCAUGGGUGAUGAGGUGGGUGUUAGAAAAUGGAAACGUGGUGUAGAGAGAGAAAAGGUGAUGGGGAAAUGAAGAUAUGAAUGGGGAUGAAACGAGAUGCUGCAGUGAGUGAGAUAAAUAAAGAAAUGAGUAUGAUGAAGGGUAUGGCAGAGUAUGAAGGUUGAAAGGUUUUAUAAAGGUUUGAUGGGCCAUGCAUUUGCUACUCUGGACUUUGACGUGUGUGCAGGAGAGGAUACUUUGAUUAAAGCCUCCAGUUGGGAGCAAGGAAUCUGACUUGUUGACUGCUAUAGCUUCCUCAUGCUCAAACAUGGAGGUCGGUGGUGAGGAACCUUGUUCAGAAACAUCCUUAAAGACAUUUCUGAAGACUCUCCUUGGACUGAAACUGCAUUUCAAUAGCUGUAACUGUGAUAGCCUCUACUGAAUUUGUAUGUCUUCUUGUUAGUGUUGGCUCUCAAGAAGAUUGAAACAGCAAUAAGAUCGUUGGCUGAGUCACACCUCUCUCAUUAGAUACCGCUGAUGGCCCUUCCGAAACCCACAGUAGUAGCUGAAUAUAUAGGGUAACCAAACUGAAAAUGUGCUUGAAAGGGGUUGCAUAUGGAUUUCAGUGACAAACGUAUCCCAUGAGAAGAAUCUUGGGGUGCCAUCCAACGGGUUUCUAAAAAAACUGUUUGUACUCCCAAAUGGUUUUCAAGAAUAAUGACCAAAGAUUUUCAAGAGCUGGAAAGGGUUCCAAAGAAAACCAAAUAUGUUUUAAACAAACAACCUGUUAGAAUCGACUCUAUUUUAUGCUAUAUUAAAUGGAUCCACAGGUGGGAUGAACGGUAAGCUUUUGCAUAUUUAAUCAAACGCGAAGCUCAAAGAAAGCAAACCACACCUCAGUCAUUUACAAGAGAAAACAGAGAGACUGGAGAGAGAAUAAAGUAAAGUAGAUGUAAUGCGAGCUUAGGUUCAACAAAACUCAACAAACAAUGCUUAAAAUCAACGAUGUCAAGGGAGUAAAACCAGUAAAUCCAAAGUGAAAGUACUCAUGGUAGCCAUACCUGUUCCACUCAAGCGAAGAUGAUUCAGCUUCUCUUCUGCUCGAGCUCUUCCAGGAAAUCCAGCUUGUCUUCUCCCUUUUUCCCCUCUGUUAGCUUUCUUUUUCUCCUCUCUUUAUGUCUUCCUCAGCAAGCCAUCACCAACCCUACUGUUCCUCNNNNNNNNNNNNNNNNNNNNNNNNNNNNNNNNNNNNNNNNNNNNNNNNNNNNNNNNNNNNNNNNNNNNNNNNNNNNNNNNNNNNNNNNNNNNNNNNNNNNNNNNNNNNNNNNNNNNNNNNNNNNNNNNNNNNNNNNNNNNNNNNNNNNNNNNNNNNNNNNNNNNNNNNNNNNNNNNNNNNNNNNNNNNNNNNNNNNNNNNNNNNNNNNNNNNNNNNNNNNNNNNNNNNNNNNNNNNNNNNNNNNNNNNNNNNNNNNNNNNNNNNNNNNNNNNNNNNNNNNNNNNNNNNNNNNNNNNNNNNNNNNNNNNNNNNNNNNNNNNNNNNNNNNNNNNNNNNNNNNNNNNNNNNNNNNNNNNNNNNNNNNNNNNNNNNNNNNNNNNNNNNNNNNNNNNNNNNNNNNNNNNNNNNNNNNNNNNNNNNNNNNNNNNNNNNNNNNNNNNNNNNNNNNNNNNNNNNNNNNNNNNNNNNNNNNNNNNNNNNNNNNNNNNNNNNNNNNNNNNNNNNNNNNNNNNNNNNNNNNNNNNNNNNNNNNNNNNNNAAUUAUUUCAUACAAAAUUCAAGAAAGAUGCAAUGCCCCCCAAAAAGGAUGGGUUUGGACAUCGAAGAUUGAUCAAAUCCUUGUUCAUAAAUUGAUUAAAAAAAAUAAAAUAAUAGAAGUAUCCAAUUUUAAUUGUUCAACAACAAAUUCCACAAUAGGUGUUUCGGAAGAAGACUGAAAAUAAGAAGAAAUAAACUAAGAUUUCUUAAGACUUAAUUUCUAGGAAUUUGAUUGAAAAUAAAUAAAGAUAUAAUAUUAAAUAUAUUCACAUCCUAUGUUCUUUAGGUUCCUAAACAGUGAAAACACAAUCCCUAAGUAAACGAACUUAUGGUUCUACAAGUAGAGGGAUUCAAUCCCAAAUAAAAUAAUAAUAAGCUAAAGUCAAAUAUCUUAAUUCUUUUGUUGUCCUUCAUUUUCCCAUAAACCAAACAUAAUUUCACAAUUCCACUAAAAAAACAAAACUCAACUAAUGCAAACAAUUGUGAUAAUCUCAUUUGAGUAGAAACCUUUAAUCAACUGAUUCCCAAGUAAUAAAAAUAAAUAAAUAAAUAAAUAAAACUAAGAUAAUUGUAUUUCUUUCUUUAUUUUCUUUUCCUAAACCUCCUCACUAGAAAACAUAUUUUUUUUCUUAAUUUUAUUUUAUUUAAAGAGUCUUAAUUGAGUCUAAGUUGCUGAUAAGAAUUUUAACCCAAAAUCCUUAAAUAAAUCAUUACUACAUAGGCAAGAACAAACAUGCAUUCUAACCAACCAAUGUUUUGAGCAACACUUAAUAAGAAAAACAAUUAAUUCUAAUAUUAAUUGUCCAUUGCAACAACUAUUUUGAGCAAACCCUUCAAGCCAAGUAGUAUACAAAUAGAAUGAGCACAUAUAACAAGAAUCUUCCUAACAAAUCUAAUCUUUCUUAGAUCAAGAAAAAAUAUAAAUAAUAUGAUAAAUCCACUAACAUGUUCCAUCAUGUAUCAUAGAACAAAUUAAAAACAUAAAUAUAUUAACGAUCCAUGAAAAAUAAAAUAUACAUGCUCAUAUGCUCUAAAAAUGGAUAAAUUUCCUAAACUAGAUAAAAAUAAAUGGGGAAAAUUAGGAUUAUGUGGAAAAGAUAAAAAAAAAUAUUUUCUAAAAUAUGAUAACUUUUCAUUUUUUUAAUCUAAAAUGGAGAAAAUACGACAACAACAAUUAAGAUUCUUGAUUCUGUAAAAUUGAUUCCUGACUUCAUUGGAUAUGAGACCAUAAUUUAGAUUCUUGAUUCUGCUGCUCUUUUUUCUCUAGCACUCUGUAUUUUCUAAAUCAUCGGGGUAAGAAAUGUUGAAGAAGGAUUCUAAACCAACAUUUAAUUAUUAUGCUCCUUCUAAUUGGUUAGGCAAAUGACUUGGAUUUCAGCCCAUGAAUCUAGAAAUAUACCAUAUGAAAGGUCUGUUCUUUUUUGAAAAACACGAUACAAGCUUUUACAAUAAUAAUCAAUUGGCAAUCCUUUCCUUUUUCUCUCUUCUGAAUUUGCUCUAUCAGUUUUUUCAAAUUAGCAUUUUGUUUCCUGUGCUGAACAAUACUUUGAAGCGAUUGUCCAAAUUAAUAAAACGGAAUGCCAAGUCAAAAUAAAAAAUAAAAUCCAACACAUAUACAUGGAGAAGAGAGAACCCUCAGCUACUUUCACCCCCAUGACCCUCCGCUACUUUUGAUGAAUGCUUCAUAGACUGCUCUACAAAAUUAGAGUUUGUCGGAAUGCCCCUGUUCUUUGUUGAAAGACAUAAAGGUCCUCACAUUCUCGAGCAGGAAGAACCUAGGCUGAAAGUAAUCAGCAAAUGAUAAGAAGGCCAGGAUCAUUUCACACUGAACUUUAGUCCAGCUACUUAGGUUAAACGGAUUCAUCCCAGAGAAACCCUGUGAAGAUGGCAGCUUGGUUUUAGCUCUUAGAAUAGAGUAAAAAAACAGAGCAGAAGCUGAUCAAACCUGGCUUGGAGGCCGCCCCAACCCCCCCAGUUAAUAAAAUCAACUUGUCCAAGGAUAUCCGGUGAUGCAGAUUAUUUGGUAGCCUCAGAAGUAGAGACACAGCCAUCGGCAUUCCCGCACUCCUCCACGACAGCCCUGCAUCACAACCAAUUUACAGGUCUAUUACAAAUUGAGAGAUAGAGAAAAAGAGAUUUUCAUGUUAAUGAAAUCAUUCACCUUAGGAUCGAACUGCAAUAGUUAAUAAACAUCGAUGAUUCUACAUGAUUGAAUUUGAGUGCAUCCCCAGCAUGCUCUUCAUAUUCAAUAGCCCACUUGGUUAUUGAUACACCUGCAAAUUUGGAAGCAACAUGGGGUAAAAUAAUCACGUCCUUUAACAUAGAGACAAAUGAACUACCUGCUUGAGGGGCCCUUCAAAGAAAAAUAUGUUCCAAAGGUUUCAAGGACGUCACAUGAUGGCAGAUCAUGCUUCAGAAGAACCUCACAUUUCCCCUCUGUCAUCUCAACAGGAACAGAAUGGGUCUCUUCGCGGUAGCACACCUAUACAUUCGACCCUUUCACAUAAAAUAUAAUUGUAGCUUUAUAUUAUAAUAAAAAUCUUCUUACUCUACCCAAUAUAAGCUUUUACAGUAAUACUCAAUUGAUAACAAAAUUUACAUGGAGAAGUGAAUACCCUCAGCUAGUUUCACCCCCAUGACCAUGACCCAGCAGCUCACCCAACAUAAUCAUGGAAAACGAUUUUGACAAUGGUGGGCACUGUGUUGAGAGUGCUCGAGCAACUUGUUGCAUAGUUGGCCGAAAUUGGGGAUUAACAUGCAAGCAUUCAAAUGCUAACUUCGUUGCAACCACUACUUCCUCUGCCAGUUGAUUCACAGGAGGUGAUGGGCGCUGGUCCAUCGCAUCAUUCAGUGGUAAGUGGUGGAUGGUUGAUGGUGAUGAGGAUGAUGAGGACGCAGAUGAUAACAGGGAUGAGAUGAGUUCUCCAGGAUGCCUUCCCAUAAUUACUUCCAAUGUCACAACACCGAAGCUAUAAACAUCAGUUUUAUUAUCCACCUUCAUCGUGUAAGCAAGUUCUGCAAAGAAGAUUAGAUCAUGCUUUGCUCUGCUAAGCAAUUAUAAAAGUUACAUAUGAUGUAUAGAGGCUGUUUAGAGAUAAGCAAGGCACUAAGAAAAAUGUACCUGGAGCAGUAUAACCAAAAGUUCCUGCAAAUGAAGUCCAAUUAGAUGAGUCUGACUUUAAAAGCCUAGCCGUGCCGAAGUCAGAUACAUGAGCUUCAUAUUCUGAAUCUAACAAAACAUUAUUGCUCGAUAUGUCUCGAUGAAUUACAGGAGGUGAGCAAUCAUGGUGCAUAUAGGAUAAAGCUUUAGCCACGCCUUUAAUAACGUUUAGCCUCACAAUCCAAUCUAAUCUUUCUGCUUCUUCGUUGUUGCAUAGAAUGUUUUGCAAACUCCCCUUUUCCAUAAACUCAUAAACCAAAAACGAGUUCUCUGCAAAUGAACUGAAGCCAUAAAGCUUGACGAUAUUGCGAUGCCUUAUUUGUGUUAAAGCAUGAAUCUCGCUUUUGAAAGCUUUUAAAUCAGCCAUAUCUCCAUCUUCUGAUGAGUGAAGCUUUUUAACAGCAACAAUCCGACCUGUUGGCAACUCAGCCUUGUAAACAGUACCAUAUCCUCCAGUGCCAAUACACUGUCUCGAACUGAAAUUGUCAGUCCCUUGUAUGAUUUGCUCAUACAACAAUUCCCCAUCAUGGCCCCAUAUUGCAAAUAGAUCUUCAACAUUUACUUCUGGAAACUUGGUUUUUCUCUUCCUCAAUUUUUGGAAAAGAAAAUAAAUGCCAAUAAUUAAAGCAAAUAAGAACAAUAGAGUGCUCACAGUGAGGAGUAUUAUGAUCAAAACAGAAAACUUUGUUUGGCCAUCUUUCAACUAACACUGCAUGGCUUGAGAUGAGUGACAUUAAUUAUCGCAUAGACCUUUAUUAUUUUUGAAUGCGGCAAAAGGAGCAUAGGCUUUGAUGUUGGGAAGACGACCUUUCCAAUUGAUUGAGGAAUAUAUCAUCAGUUAUCACGCUUAUCAGAUCCUCAAACNNNNNNCAGAUCCUCAAACGUGUGUGGGAUGGUGCCAAAGAGCUCGUUAUGGGAGAGAUUCAACGUUUCUAGGUACUGUAAUUCACCUAGCAGCGGUGGUAUCUCUCCUGUCAACAUAUUUUGACUAAGAUCGAGACUUUCAAGAUGAUGCAUCUUUCCAAUUUCGUCGGGAAUGAUGUCCACAAAUCUAUUCUCGCUCAAGUUCAAGGAUGAUAAUUUCCAGAAGUUCCCUAGUUGUUUGGGAAUUGGACCGCUUAAGCUGUUUGAUGCCAAGUCAAGGAUUUCAAGAUUGGAUAAGUUUCCCAAUUCCAAAGGAAUAUUUCCUGAAAGAAUGUUGUUGCCUAGCAACAAUUUGAACAAUAAGGGAAACAUACCCAAUUCUUUUGGGAUUGUCCCACUCAAACGAUUGGCGGAGAGAUCAAGUUGUUGCAGUUGAAUUGCUUUCCCAAGUUGAGGCGGUAUAACACCAGAAAUAUUGUUGUUGGAGAUGUUCAGGUGUGUCAGCAUGUGGCACUGCCCCCAUUUCUCAGAAAACUCACCAUAAAAAUUGUUGUUGCUUAGAUCAAUAUAAUUUAGGUUCGGGUAGACACCAAAACUUUCAGCUAUGUUUCCUGUAAGUUGGUUUCUUUCAAGCCGAACUCUAAAUAAGCUAGUGCAAUUUUUCAAGCUCUUUGGAAUAGGACCAGUGAAUUGGUUUCCAAAGGCGAAAAAGUUUUCAAGAACACUACCAUGGCAUAUCUCUUGUGGUAGUUGGCCAAUGAAGUUAUUCUCACCUAACUGCAAAGAUUUCAAAUGAGUGAUAUUAUUCAUUUCUGGAGGAAUGGCACCACUGAGUCUAUUGUAAUGAAGGGACAAAAAGGUUAAGCCAGACAAGUUUCCUAUGGAAGCUGGUAUUGAACCGUUGAGAUUGUUAAAUGCCAAGUAAAGAUCAUCAAGCAAUCUCAACCAUCCAAUUUCUUGAGGGAUGGAACCAGAAAGCUGGUUCUUAAAAAGAUACAAAGUGGUUAAAUUUCUCAAGUUUCCAAUGACAGAAGGGAUUGAACCAGUAAGAUUGUUAUUUGACAAUUGAAGAUCAUUAAGAGAUCUUAACAAUCCAAUUUCUUGAGGGAUAGAACCAGAAAGCUCAUUCUUAAAAAGAGACAAAGUGGUUAAGUUCCUCAAGUUUCCUAUGGAAGAAGGGAUCGAACCAAUAAGAUUGUUAGUUGACAAUCGAAGAUCAUUCAGAGAUCUUAGCAAUCCAAUUUCUUGAGGGAUAGAACCAAAUAGUUUGUUUCUUUGAAGGUACAAAGUGGUUAAGUUCCUCAAGUUACCUAUGGAAGGAGGAAUUGGACCAGUGAGAUUGUUAGUUGACAAAUCAAGAAAAUUAAGAGAUUUUAACAAUCCAAUUUCUUGAGGGAUGGAACUAGAAAGUUUGUUCUUAAAAAGAGACAAAAUGGUUAAGUUCCUUAAGUUUCCUAUAGAUGGAGGGAUCAAACCAGUGAGAUUAUUAGCUGACAAAUCAAUAACACUAAGAGAUCUCAACAAUCCAAUUUUUUUAGGGAUGGAACUAGAAAUUUUGUUAGUAUGAAGGUACAAUGUGGUUAAAUUCCUCAAGUUCCCUAUGGAAGGAGGAAUUGGGCCUUCGAAAUUAUUAGAAGACAAUGCUAGAAAGUUAAGAGAUGUUAGAAAUCCAAGUUGGUGAGGUAUUACACCAAUGAAAUGAUUGAAACCAAAGUCAAGAACUAUGAUCAAUUUGGAAAGAUUACCAAUGUUGAUUGGAAUGGUUCCAUAGAGGGAGUUGUUAUGAAGAUUAAGAAUGAGGAGGUUAGGAAGUGAUGAGAAAUUGAGAUUAUGGAGUGUACCUCUCAAACCGCAACUAUCAAGGUCUAAAUUGGAGACACUUCCUGACUUGUGACAAGUCACUCCAAACCAAUGAUGACAAGAAUUGCGUCCAGACCAAGAAGAAAGGAAAGAUCGGGUUUGAUUAUCAAGACUAGCCUUCCAUGUUAGAAGAGUAAGUGCUUCCUGAUCUUGUUGAACAUUCGAAAGAGAAGUGGCAGGUGUAGAGGCAGAUGUAAAGGUGACAUGGAAUGAUAAUAUUGAAUACAGAGGGAAAAUGAAAAAUAUGAAGAAAAAAGGAGUGAUGANNNNNNNNNNNNNNNNNNNNNNNNNNNNNNNNNNNNNNNNNNNNNNNNNNNNNNNNNNNNNNNNNNNNNNNNNNNNNNNNNNNNNNNNNNNNNNNNNNNNNNNNNNNNNNNNNNNNNNNNNNNNNNNNNNNNNNNNNNNNNNNNNNNNNNNNNNNNNNNNNNNNNNNNNNNNNNNNNNNNNNNNNNNNNNNNNNNNNNNNNNNNNNNNNNNNNNNNNNNNNNNNNNNNNNNNNNNNNNNNNNNNNNNNNNNNNNNACUUAUUUAUAGACUUAAAUGUGAUACAUCCAACAUUUCCAUUAGUUGGUGUUGACAUCCAACUACCUCCUUCAUCUACAAUUAAUGGAAUUGAAAAGGAGUACAUACAUGAGCUCAAUUCCACACUAAAUUUAUUUUAUUUUAUCAAAAUGCUCUUAAUUUUUUAAUUAAAAUGAAAUAAUUAAAAAUAUUCCUUUUCACUCCAUGCACUUUUAAAUAUAACCUAUUUAAAAUUAAUAAUUACAAUUUUUUUUUAGAAGUAAGGACCAAAUAUGUUGACAUCAACAACCUAGUUGAUACAGGAAGUCCACUUGAGUUAGUAUUACCUGUACAUAUAUCUUUAUAUAAACUACUUAACAUAUUUUUUCAAAAAUUAAUAAAUAUAAAUAUCAAUGGGAGGAGAAUCAGACACAUAGUUUAUUAUUAAACUAUAAAAAAAUCUGUCAUGAAUUUGUUUUUCGUAGGCUUAUGUUCUGUAUAAGAUUUUUUUUUUUUUUUUCAUUUUGCAUCAAGAAAUUGAAAAACAAAAAUUGAUUCAUUUGUUACUCAUCAAACAAUUGAGAUCAUGCAUGGAAUUGCAUGUCAUCAAUUCUUCUUGAAGAAUUGGCUUAUAAGAGAUUGAUUUUUUUAAAUAUUUAAUUAGAAAUAUGUAAUAUUUUCUAUAUUGAUUACAUUUUUUUUCUUUAAUUUGGUUUAGGUUUCUAAAAUUAUUAGUUCUCAAAUAUCUUAUUUUAAUUAUAUUAGAUACGAAUAUAUAUAAUUAUUAUUUUCACAAUAUUUUUAAAUUACUAAUUUCUAGAAUUUUUAUUAUGUUAACAAAUGUUAAUAGUUUGAAAUAUUUGAAAAUAUGUUAUUGACCAUUUUUUUGUCAAAUUAUUAGUCUUAAAAUAUUUUUAUCUUAAUUAUAUAAAAUAAAAGCAAAUAUAAUAAUUAUUUUAAUACAUACAAAGAUAUUUUAUUCCUAAUUUUUAGUCUUAGCUUUUAAAAAGAAGUAGACUUAAUGCUUAAGAACAUUUAGAUACUAUUUUAAAUAAAUAUGUUAUUCAAAGUUAUACAUCUAGCUAUUACGUAAAUGAAGUUAUAGUUAACGUUCAUAUUGAAAAAAUAAAUUUUACCUAAGAGUACGUAAUAAUUAUGACAUUGUAGCAGAACUCAAAUUUUUUUUUCUCGUCUAAGUAGAAUUUAUAUAAAAACUUCACUUAUUUUUAGAUUGCAUUCAAAUAAGGAUGUGUUGUGAAUUAAUUAACAACUAAAAAAAUUUGUCUAUACUAUUUAUUAUUAUUAAAAAAGAUUUUUUACUAAUCAAUUAGAAUUACUAAUGUAGAUAUGAACAUAAAAUUCCCAUUUCAAUUGCACAUGUUUUUAAUCAAGACUUUUGUUGUCUUCAAUAGAGUGGAAAAGUCAUUGUUUUACUGGUUCUUAUCAAUAAUUGUUUUCAAGAAAUACCCAAUAUUCAUAUCAAUAGUUGAUGUGAGUGGUCUAAUCAAAGUGAAAAAAUAUAUGAGAUUCAUGUAUGAAAUCUUAAUAUUUUUAAAUUACUGAUUUCUAGAAUUUUUAUUAUGUUAACAAAUGUUAAUAGUUUGAAAUAUUUGAAAAUAUGUUAUUGACCAUUUUUUUUGUCAAAUUAUUAGUCUUAAAAUAUUUUUAUCUUAAUUAUAUAAAAUAAAAGCAAAUAUAAUAAUUAUUUUAAUACAUACAAAGAUAUUUUAUUCCUAAUUUUUAGUCUUAGCUUUUAAAAAGAAGUAGACUUAAUGCUUAAGAACAUUUAGAUACUAUUUUAAAUAAAUAUGUUAUUCAAAGUUAUACAUCUAGCUAUUACGUAAAUGAAGUUAUAGUUAACAUUCAUAUUGAAAAAAUAAAUUUUACCUAAGAGUACGUAAUAAUUAUGACAUUGUAGCAGAACUCAAAUUUUUUUUUCUCGUCUAAGUAGAAUUUAUAUAAAAACUUCACUUAUUUUUAGAUUGCAUUCAAAUAAGGAUGUGUUGUGAAUUAAUUAACAACUAAAAAAAUUUGUCUAUACUAUUUAUUAUUAUUAAAAAAGAUUUUUUACUAAUCAAUUAGAAUUACUAAUGUAGAUAUGAACAUAAAAUUCCCAUUUCAAUUACACAUGUUUUUAAUCAAGACUUUUGUUGUCUUCAAUAGAGUGGAAAAGUCAUUGUUUUACUGGUUCUUAUCAAUAAUUGUUUUCAAGAAGUACCCAAUAUUCAUAUCCAUAGUUGAUGUGAGUGGUCUAAUCAAAGUGAAAAAAUAUAUGAGAUUCAUGUAUGAAAUCUUAAUAUUUUUAAAUUACUGAUUUCUAGAAUUUUUAUUAUGUUAACAAAUGUUAAUAGUUUGAAAUAUUUGAAAAUAUGUUAUUGACCAUUUUUUUUGUCAAAUUAUUAGUCUUAAAGUAUUUUUAUCUUAAUUAUAUAAAAUAAAAGCAAAUAUAAUAAUUAUUUUAAUACAUACAAAGAUAUUUUAUUCCUAAUUUUUAGUCUUAGCUUUUAAAAAGAAGUAGACUUAAUGCUUAAGAACAUUUAGAUACUUUUUUAAAUAAAUAUGUUAUUCAAAGUUAUACAUCUAGCUAUUACGUAAAUGAAGUUAUAGUUAACAUUCAUAUUGAAAAAAUAAAUUUUACCUAAGAGUACGUAAUAAUUAUGACAUUGUAGCAGAACUCAAAUUUUUUUUUCUCGUCUAAGUAGAAUUUAUAUAAAAACUUCACUUAUUUUUAGAUUGCAUUCAAAUAAGGAUGUGUUGUGAAUUAAUUAACAACUAAAAAAAUUUGUCUAUACUAUUUAUUAUUAUUAAAAAAGAUUUUUUACUAAUCAAUUAGAAUUACUAAUGUAGAUAUGAACAUAAAAUUCCCAUUUCAAUUGCACAUGUUUUUAAUCAAGACUUUUGUUGUCUUCAAUAGAGUGGAAAAGUCAUUGUUUUUCUGGUUCUUAUCAAUAAUUUGUUUUCAAGAAAUACCCAAUAUUCAUAUCAAUAGUUGAUGUGAGUGGUCUAAUCAAAGUGAAAAAAUNNNNNNNNNNNNNNNNNNNNNNNNNNNNNNNNNNNNNNNNNNNNNNNNNNNNNNNNNNNNNNNNNNNNNNNNNNNNNNNNNNNNNNNNNNNNNNNNNNNNUCAAGACUUUUGUUGUCUUCAAUAGAGUGGAAAAGUCAUUGUUUUUCUGGUUCUUAUCAAUAAUUGUUUUCAAGAAAUACCCAAUAUUCAUAUCAAUAGUUGAUGUGAGUGGUCUAAUCAAAGUGAAAAAAUAUAUGAGAUUCAUGUAUGAAAUCUUAAUAUUUUUAAAUUACUGAUUUCUAGAAUUUUUAUUAUGUUAACAAAUGUUAAUAGUUUGAAAUAUUUGAAAAUAUGUUACUGACCAUUUUUUUGUCAAAUUAUUAGUCUUAAAAUAUUUUUAUCUUAAUUAUAUAAAAUAAAAGCAAAUAUAAUAAUUAUUUUAAUACAUACAAAGAUAUUUUAUUCCUAAUUUUUAGUCUUAGCUUUUAAAAAGAAGUAGACUUAAAUGCUUAAGAACAUUUAGAUACUAUUUUAAAUAAAUAUGUUAUUCAAAGUUAUACAUCUAGCUAUUACGUAAAUGAAGUUAUAGUUAACAUUCAUAUUGAAAAAAUAAAUUUUAUCUAAGAGUACGUAAUAAUUAUGACAUUGUAGUAGAACUCAAAUUUUUUUUUCUCGUCUAAGUAGAAUUUAUCUAAAAACUUCACUUAUUUUUAGAUUGCAUUCAAAUAAGGAUGUGUUGUGAAUUAAUUAACAACUAAAAAAAUUUGUCUCUAAUAUUUAUUAUUAUUAAAAAAGAUUUUUUACUUAUCAAUUAAAAUUACUGAUGUAGAUAUGAACAUAAAAUUCCCAUUUCAAUUGCACAUGUUUUUAAUCAAGACUUUUGUUGUCUUCAAUAGAGUGAAAAAGUCAUUGUUUUACUGGUUCUUAUCAAUAAUUGUUUUCAAGAAAUACCCAAUAUUCAUAUCAAUAGUUGAUGUGAGUGGUCUAAUCAAAGUGAAAAAAUAUAUGAGAUUCAUGUAUGAAAUCUUAAUAUAUUUAAAUUACUGAUUUCUAGAAUUUUAUGUUAACAAAUGUUAAUAGUUUGAAAUAUUUGAAAAUAUGUUGCUGACCAUUUUUUUGUCAAAUUAUUAGUCUUAAAAUAUUUUUAUCUUAAUUAUAUAAAAUAAAAGCAAAUAUAAUUAUUUUAAUACAUACAAAGAUAUUUUAUUCCUAAUUUUUAGUCUUAGCUUUUAAAAAGAAGUAGACUUAAUGCUUAAGAACAUUUAGAUACUAUUUUAAAUAAAUAUGUUAUUCAAAGUCAUACAUCUAGCUAUUACAUAAAUGAAGUUAUAGUUAACAUUCAUAUUGAAAAAAUAAAUUUUACUACGUAAUAAUUAUGACAUUGUAGCAGAACUCAAAUUUUUUUUUUCUCGUCUAAGUAGAAUUUAUAUAAAAACUUUACUUAUUUUUAGAUUGCAUUCAAAUAAGUAUGUGUUAUGAAUUAAUUAACAACUAAAAAAAUUUGUCUAUACUAUUUAUUAUUGUUAAAAAAGAUUUUUUACUUGUUGCCCAAUAUUCAUAUCAAUAGUUGAUGUGAGUGGUCUAAUUAAAGUGAAAAAUAUAUGAGAUUCAUGAAUGAAAUCUUACUAUUAAAAUAAAAAGUGACAAUUGAAUCCAUUGUAUUAAGGCUAAGUAAUAGCUAUAACAAUGGUGAAACCUAGAUUUUUUUUUUUCCAUUUUCUAAAUAGGGUAUUUUACCAUUAUUGUAAAAAAAUUCUUCUACUUCUUCGUUUCCAAGAGUCAAGAACUCAAAGAUACUUACUUCACAAUAUUUCCCAUCAAUUCUUCAUAAAGAAAAUGCUUGUAAGAGACUGUUUUUUUUUUUUUUUAACUAUUAAAUUAAAAAACAUGCAAUAAGAUGAUCAUACUUUUUCUUUAAUUCUGUUGAGGUUUUAAAAUCAUUAUUUCUCAAAUAUCUAAUUUUAAUCAUAUCAAAUAAAAAUAUAUAAUUAUUAUUUAUUAAGAUAGUAUUGUUAAAUUACAAAUCUUUAAAAAAUUUAUUAUGUUACAAAAAUUAUUACUAUUUUUUUUUCCAAACUAUUAGUCUUGAAAUAUUUUGUUUUAAUUAUAUAAAAAGAACAAAUAUGAUAAUUAUUUUUGUACAGACCAUGAUAUUUAAUUAGUAAUUCUUAUAUAUUCUUAGCAUGUAAAAAAAAAGUGGACUUGAUAUUUAAGAACAUUUAGAUAUCACUUUAUGCAAAUAUAUUAUUCAAAGUUAUACAUCUAGCUGGACUAUAUUUAAGUUAAAUGAAGUUAUAGUUUGAAAUUCAUAUUAAAAAACAAAUUUUACCUAAAAGUAAUUCCUAUGAUAUUGUAGCAUAACACAAUUUUUUUUUCCUUUAAGUAGAAUUAUAUGAAAACUUCAUUUAUUUUUAGCUUGUAUUAAAACAAUGAUUUGUCUUGAAUUAAUUUAAAAACUAAAAAAAUUUAUUUGUACUGUUUAUUAUUAUUAAAAAAGAUUUAUUACUUGUCAAUUAAAAUUACAUAUUUACAUAUGAAUAAAAAGUUCCUUUUCCAAUUACAUGUUUUUAGACAAGACUUUUGUUGUCUUUGAUAGGGUGGAAAAUUCAUUGCAUUCCUAAUUUUUAUCAACAAUUGUGUGAAAAAGUUGUUGCAUUCCUAAUUCUUGUCAACAGUUGUGUGCAAAAGUCAUUUCAUUCUUAAUCUUAUCAACAAUUUUUUUUCAAGGAAUCUAUACCUAAUAUUCACAUUAUCAAUUGUAUAUGUCAAUGAUCCUAAUUGAUGUGAAUGGUCUAAUUAGAAUGAAGUAUAUAACUACUUCAUUUAUUAAAAUAAAAAUAAAAGGUAGCAAUUGAAUACAUUGUAUCAAGGCUUUAGGAACCACAUUAUCAAUGAUGGGAAUCUAAAUCAAUUGAAAAGAUUUCUUACUUUUCAAUUUAAAUUACAUAUUUAGAUUUGAAUAUAAAGUUUUCUUUGCAAUUGCAUGUUUUUAGUCAAGACUUUUGUUGUCCUUAAUAGGGUGGAAAAGUUGUUGCAUUCCUAAUUCAUAUCAACAAUUGUGUGGAAAAGUCAUUGCAUUCCUAAUUUAUCAACAAUUGUGUGGAAAAAUCAUUGCAAUUGAAUUCAUUGUAUCAAGGCUUGAGGAACAACAUGAUUAUUGCUAGGAAUCUAAAUCAAUUGAAAAGAUUUCUUAUUUGUCAAUUAAAAUUACGUAUUUAGAUAUGAAUAUGAAGUUUCCUUUCCAAUUGCAUGUUUUUAGUCAAGACUUUUGUUGUCUUUGAUAGGGUGGAAAAGUCAUUGCAUUCAUAAUUCAUAUCAACAAUUGUGUGGAAAAGUGGUUACAUUCCCAAUUCUUGUCAACAAUUGUGUGCAAAAGUCAUUGCAUUCUUAAUCUUAUCAACAAUUGUUUUCAAGGAAUCUAUACCUAAUAUUCACAUUAUCAAUUGUAUAUGUCAAUGAUCCUAAUUGAUGUGAAUGGUCUAAUUAGAAUGAAGUAUAUAACUACUUCAUUUAUUAAAAUUAAAAUAGAAGGUAGCAAUUGAAUACAUUGUAUCAAGGCUUUAGGAACCACAUUAUCAAUGAUGGGAAUCUAAAUCAAUUGAAAAUAUUUCUUUCUUUUCAAUUUAAAUUACAUAUUUAGAUUUGAAUAUAAAGUUUUCUUUGCAAUUGCAUGUUUUUAGUUAAGACUUUUGUUGUCCUUAAUAGGGUGGAAAAGUUGUUGCAUUCCUAAUUCAUAUCAACAAUUGUGUGGAAAAGUCAUUGCAUUCCUAAUUUAUCAACAAUUGUGUGGAAAAAUCAUUGCAAUUGAAUUCAUUGUAUCAAGGCUUGAGGAACAACAUGAUUAUUGCUAGGAAUCUAAAUCAAUUGAAAAGAUUUCUUAUUUGUCAAUUAAAAUUACGUAUUUAGAUAUGAAUAUGAAGUUUCCUUUCCAAUUGCAUGUUUUUAGUCAAGACUUUUGUUGUCUUUGAUAGGGUGGAAAAGUCAUUGCAUUCAUAAUUCAUAUCAACAAUUGUGUGGAAAAGUGGUUACAUUCCCAAUUCUUGUCAACAAUUGUGUGCAAAAGUCAUUGCAUUCCUAACUCUUAUCAACAAUUUUUUUCAAGGAAUCUAUACCUAAUCUUCAAAUUAUCAGUGGUAGAUGUCAAUUGCAAAUAAUUUCUUUUGCAUCUUGAUUUGUAAGACUCAAGAAAUUGAAGAUUCUUGCUUCAUAAUNNNNNNNNNNNNNNNNNNNNNNNNNNNNNNNNNNNNNNNNNNNNNNNNNNNNNNNNNNNNNNNNNNNNNNNNNNNNNNNNNNNNNNNNNNNNNNNNNNNNNNNNNNNNNNNNNNNNNNNNNNNNNNNNNNNNNNNNNNNNNNNNNNNNNNNNNNNNNNNNNNNNNNNNNNNNNNNNNNNNNNNNNNNNNNNNNNNNNNNNNNNNNNNNNNNNNNNNNNNNNNNNNNNNNNNNNNNNNAAAAUAAUAUUGCAUUAUUUUAAUUCAAUUUUGUAGUUAAUUAAAAGUGAAACUUACAUCAUGGAUUGGACAUAAUGAUAACAUUUCCUAUUAAUAGAUUUAAUAAUAAAAAAGAUGAGUUUUUUUUUUUUUUCAAAUACAUAUACAUAAAAGAGCAUUUAUGUCAUGCUUUUCUUAUAGAUAUGAAGGAAAUAACAAAAAGAAAAGUUUCAUGACUGAAUAUACCACUCAAUUCAAUUCAGAAAACUUAUUUUUGAAUAUUUGUGGUUUAGUUCAAUUCUAUGACUAAAUUAUUGGCCAUGUUUAAUGGAUUUUAAAGUCUUGGUCAAACUUGAUGUAAUAUUUUAACUACCAAUGAAAAAGAAAUAAAGUGAUAAAUUGACAAAGAGCUCAUUUGGAAAGUAGGGCCAAAAAUGGCUUCAAAUUCUUAAAGAGUAUAUUUUACUAAAAAUUAAUUAUUUGAAAAAAAAAAUCUGUAAUCAUUUUGAAGUUAGAAAACAAUCAAGGGUGCUUCUUAAAUAAACACUUGAUAGAUACUUCUUCUAAAAGAUAUUAUAGAAAACUCAUGAAAAAACAUUAGAAUUUCAAAUAAAUGUUCAUGUUAGAAAAAUACAAUUUUCAAGCAUUUUUAUUAAAAACACUUUCAAAUAUCUUUUUACUUGAUCUCCUUGAAUUGUUAAUACAAUUGUGAACUCCAUUUAAUUUUUAUCAUUAAAAAAUUGGGAAAACAGUCAGAAAUGGUAGGUCAUGGGUGAUAAUUUUUUUUAAGGGUCACCAUGUUUACAAGUUCAUGUUAGUCCUUUUAUCUUUUCCUAAUAAAAAAUGUGUAAUGAUUUGAAAAGUUGACAAUUUCAUAAUUCUAGUUAUACCCUCUUUUUAUCUUUUCCUCUUAUUCCCAUCUAACUUUUGCUUCUUCUUUUUUUUUUUUUUCAAUUAUAAUUUUUUUACUCCUUUUUAUUAUUAGGUAUUAAUAUUAUUAUUUAUAUAUUAGUAUUUUGAAUUAUUCAUGUUAUUAUUAAUAUCAUUCUUAUUAAUAUUAUCUAUUAUUUUUAUAAUUAUUAUGGACUUUAUUAUUCAUAUUUUUAAUAUUAUAUUAAAAAUAAUAUUAUUAUUUUUUAUAUUAGUACUACAAAGAAACCCUAGAAGAUAAUUUAUAUUUUUUAAUUCUUAAGGCUUGUAAGUUUCAUUAAAAAAUUAUUAUUAUUGUUAUUAUUAUUAUUUGCCUUUUAUGCUUUAUAUGCUACAUUAAGACUAAUUAAAUUAUUUUGGACGCCUCAUUAAUAUUAUUAUUUAUGAUAUUAGUUUUAUAUGGUUAAUAAAACUAAUAUUAUAUCCAAGUUAUAGAUAUGACAAAAAUGCAUUGAUCUUACAACAUUAAUAUUUAAAAUAUACAAUAUAUUAAGACAUAACCUGAUUUCAUUUUAAUUCUUUUUUUUUUAAACAAACAAUUGUGAAUACUUGCUCCAUACUCUUUAAAAUUCUCUUUACUAUAAACUAUCCUUAGAUAACAUUAUUUUUUAAAAGUUUAUGAUUUUUGUUAUAAAAAUUAUUACUAAUAAAAAUUCAUCUAGUAUAUAAUGUUAAUUCAUUGAAAUGAUGUAUUAACAUUGACACUACUAUGGUAGGAUAAAAUAAUGUUUUUAACGCUAUUAGAUUUAUUGCAAAAUGUAAGCACAACAUUUAUAUAUUGAACUUAAAACAUAAAUAUGCUAAAAGUAUAAUGCAUUAUGACAAGCCUUAAUUUUACUUUUUAACAAUUAUAAAAACAAAUAUUUUUAUUGUACUAUUUUCUUAAUAGUUAUAUUACAAAAUUAAACAUUUUAAAUUUAUGAAAUCUAUAUAAUAAAAAUUAUAAUAGCUUUAUAUUUUUAAUUAUCAAAAUGAAACAAUAAGUUGUAAAUUUAAUAUAUUAUAUAUUAUAUUAUUAUUAUUAUUAUUUUGGAUAAGUUAUUGAUAAUAUUUUAAAAAUAAUAAUUAAUAAAAUUAUAAUUUAUAAUUAAUUUUUAUAUUAUAUAUAUGGAUUAGUGUCAGCCCCUUAGCCACUUGAUUCAGACCCGGAGAAAUAGGCCUCAUGGGUAGGCCUUACACCCAUGAGAGCCUAGGCGGAAAGCAAGGAAAGCCUGGAGGUUUGGUGGUUCAAACCCCAGGAGCUAAGUGUGGGGAUCGCAGACAAGUCAAGCGCGCACUCCGGAUAGGCGUUACCGAAGGAUCCAGACAUGUCUGCCCGAGGAAGUUGAAUCGUCCUCCUCUCCCAUCCGGCAACAAGGGUGUCGGAUGUGAGAUAUCCGGAGAAGGUGGAACGUCGGCCGGAUAGAAUUCCGGAUAUGAGAUAUCCGGGUGGAAUGAGGGAGAAUUUUCGUUCGGGUGGAAUGAGCGAUGCCACGUGUCGCAAGGGGCCGUCUGCGUGUCCAAGGGAGAGGGAGCCACGCGGCACUUUUAGGGAGGAUCCUACAGUGGGUGGUUGUGCAAGCAGUUCAGGGCGGUUCUGGGCGGUUGCAUAACCACCAAGGGAAAAACUGUAGGGUGAGUCUUUUAAAAGGGCUCCUGCAGCCCUGAGAGGAAAAAAGAAGGGAGAGACAAGAGGGAAAGUAGUCUCUGAAUGCUUGGGAUGUAAGCAUUGCUCUCUGACUCAGGGAAACAAUUUUGUAUCUUGUAGUUGAGAUUAAUACAAGUUGAGAAGGAUUUCUUGUAACCUCGUUGUGUCCCUAUUUCCUUUGGUUUGCUAUUGUUUGUGUGCGUUUUGAGAAGGCUGGGAGAGAAGGUUGGCUAAGGAAGCGUUCUUAGCACUGCGUACCAGGUGAAAAUUUUAGGGUGAUUUUCGAGGGUGUGAUAGUUGGUAUCAGAGCAAGCACCAGAGAUGGCUGGUGGUAGUGCAAUGGAGGCCUUACGGGAGAGGAUGACUCAAAUAGAAGAGGCAUUGGGAGAAUGGCCACGUGAGGAUGGCACAGUGGCUUCGUGGGCAGAGCACACCAAGGGAGAAGUCCAAGUGCAGAGGAGUAUGUUGGAGUCCCAUGACAAUUUCUUUGAGGAGAAAUUGGCUGAGUUCAAAACCGAGAUGCAAUCACGGAUUGAUGACUUCAAGGAGACCCUACAGUCCUAUGGAGAAGACAUCGCCAUCCUUAAGAAGGCGGUGUUGCAGGGAUCUGCCUCAGGCCCUGAAGCCCCUUCCAAAGUUCGAGUCCUAGAGCCUAAAGGCUUCAAUGGCAAUAGAAACGCGAAGGAACUAGAGAACUUCUUGUGGGACAUCGAGCAGUUCUUUAAGGCUUCUCAUGUUCCUGAUGGCGAGAAGGUUUCCAUCAUCAGUAUGUAUCUGACUAGUGAUGCCAAACUAUGGUGGUGAACCAGGAUGGAGGACGAUGCAGAGUCUGGAAGGCCCCAAAUCUCCACUUGGGAGACUCUGAAGAAGGAAUUGAAGGAUCAGUUCCUUCCCACCAACACGGCUUGGGUGGCCAGGGAGGCACUAAAAAGGCUCAGACACACCGGAUCUGUGAGGGAAUACGUCAAGGAAUUCAGUUCCUUGAUGCUGGACAUUAAGAACAUGUCCGAGGAGGACAAACUGUUCAACUUCAUGUCUGGGUUGCAAGGAUGGGCUCAGACAGAACUUAGGAGGCAAGGGGUUCGUGAUCUCCCUAUUGCCAUGCCUGCAGCAGACUGCUUGGUGGACUACAAGAUGGGUGGUGCCAUCUCUACCACACAGAGACCCAGGUCAGAAGGGGGCAAAAAGGCUAAGAUUGAGGGCAAGACUAAGGAGUCUAGGUGGAAGAAGCAGAACAAAAAGCCUGCUGUAGGAGGAAAACCAGUGGAGAAAACCACAAAGGUUGUGCAGCAGACCACUCGGAUGACAGGAUGCUUCAUCUGCAAUGGCCCACAUCGAGCCAAAGACUGCCCCAAAAGAGAGAAGCUCUCAGCCCUGGUGACUGCAGAUGACAAGGGAGACUCUGACCUAGACACUCCUCCUAGAGUCAAUCCCUUGCAACUUCUGAACGUGAUUCAUGGUGAGACUCCAGUCCAGAAGUCUCUAAUGCAUAUUCAUGCAAUAGUGAAUGGUGUGCAGGUGAAGGCCUUGGUGGAUAGUGGUGCCACUCAUAAUUUCAUGGCCACCAAAGAAGUAGCCAGGUUGGGACUAAAGUUGGAAGAGGACACUAGUAGGAUCAAGGCAAUAAACAGCAAAGCUUAGAAAAUCCAAGGGGUAGCAAAGAAUGUCCCCAUGCAAAUUGGUGAUUGGAAAGGUAUGUGUAGCUUACUCUGUGUACCUUUGGACGAUUUUGACUUGAUCCUUGGGGUGGACUUCCUAUUGAGGGCUAAGGUGGCCCUGAUCCCACACCUUGGUGGGUUGAUGGUGUUGGAAGAGAAGCAACCUUGCUUCGUGCAAGCUUUGAGGGCAAAAGAUGGUGGCAAGGGCCAACCCGAGAUGCUGUCUGCUAUCCAGUUGAAGAAAGGAUUGAAGAGGGGCCAGGAGACCUAUGUUGCAGCCUUGAUCGAGAUCAAGGAGAGACAGUCUAUGGAAGUCCCUGAUUCAGUCGUCAGUAUCCUUAAGGAGUUCAAGGAUGUCAUGCCUGCAGAACUCCCCAAGGAACUGCCACCACGGCGACCUAUUGACCACAAGAUAGAGUUGAUGCCUGGAACUAAGGCUCUGGCACAAGCCCCUUACAGAAUGUCCCCUGCAGAGCUGUUGGAAUUACGUAAGUAAUUGAAGGAGUUGCUAGAUGCAGGCUUGAUCCAGCCCUCAAGGUCCCCAUAUGGUGCACUAGUGCUCUUCCAAAAGAAGCAUGAUGGCUCUCUCCGCAUGUACGUGGACUAUAGAGCACUCAACAAGACCAUCAAAAACAAGUACCCGAUCCCCUUGGCUGUUGAGCUAUUUGACAGAUUGUCAAAAACUUCUUACUUCACCAAGUUGGACCUGAGAUCAGGUUAUUGGCAAGUGCGGAUUGCAGCAGGAGAUGAGGGGAAAACGACAUGUGUAACUCGGUAUGGCUCAUACGAGUUCCUGGUAAUGCCUUUUGGAUUGACCAAUGCCCCUGCUACUUUCUAUAAUUUAAUGAAUGAUGUUCUGUUUGACUAUUUGGAUGCAUUUGUGGUAGUGUAUCUAGAUGACAUUGUUGUUUAUAGCAAGACACUAACAAAACAUGAGAAACACUUGAGAUUGGUGUUCUAGAGAUUGAGGGAGAAUAGGCUUUAUGUGAAGCCAGAGAAAUGUGAGUUUGCUCAGGAGGAGAUCACAUUUCUAGGACAUAAGAUCAGUGCAGGACUGAUCAGGAUNNNNNNNNNNNNNNNNNNNNNNNNNNNNNNNNNNNNNNNNNNNNNNNNNNNNNNNNNNNNNNNNNNNNNNNNNNNNNNNNNNNNNNNNNNNNNNNNNNNNAAGGGCAAGGUGCAGGCUAUUAUGGAGUGGUCAGUCCCUACCAAAGUGACAGAGCUACGGUCCUUCCUUGGCUUGGCCAACUACUACAGAAGGUUCAUUAAGGGGUAUUCAAAGAUGGUGUCUCCCCUUACUGACCUAUUGAAGAAGGACAAUCAGUAGGAUUGAAGCAUGUAGUGUCAGAUGGCUUUUGAAAGCCUGAAGGAAGCCAUCUCCACUGAGCCUGUGCUGCGGUUGCCAGAUUUGGACUUACCCUUUCAAGUGCAAACUGAUGCCUUUGAUAGAGCUUUAGGUGGAGUCUUGGUGCAGGAAGGGCACCCUAUGGCGUUUGAGAGCAAGAAGCUGAACAAUGCUGAGCAGAGGUACUCUACUCAUGAGAAGGAGAUGACUGUUGUGGUUCACUACUUACAGCAGUGGAGGCACUACUUGCUGGGGAGUAUCUUUACGGUGGUCACAGACAAUGUGGCCAAUACCUUCUUCAAAACCCAGAAGAAGCUGAGCCCCAGACAAGCAUGGUGGCAAGAGUUCCUGGCCGACUUCAGAUUUGAGUGGUUGCAUCGACCAGGGAGACAUAACACUGUAGCUGAUGCCUUGAGCAGGAGAGAAGUGAUUGCCUACAUCACAGCCCUCUCAGAAGUCAUCUCUGAUUUCAAUGAGAAAAUCAAACAAGCUGCGGAGCAGGAUGCUGCAUAUGGCAGGCUGAAGCAGCAAGUGAAGGAGGGUGUGAUUAGGAGGUAUUGGCUAGAAGGUGACCUCCUUGUGGCAAAAGGAGGAAGAUGGUAUGUUCCUACAGGCGGCCUCAGAAAGGAACUGUUGCGGGAAACUCACGAUGCGAAAUGGGCAGGCCAUCCCGGAGAAGAAAGGACUCUGGCCCUAUUAGCCAGAUCCUAUUACUGGCCUAAGAUGGGUGAGGACGUGCAGGCCUAUGUGAAGUCCUGCUUGAUUUGUCAAAUGGACAAGAUUGAAAGGAAGAAGACUGUAGCCCCUCCCCAUUCCAGAGAAACCUUGGGAAAACAUCUCCAUGGACUUCAUCACUGGAUUUCCAAAAGUUCGUGAUUUUAAAUCUGUCUUUGUUGUUGUGGAUAGAUUUUCAAAAUAUGUUGUUUUUAUACCUACCCCUGAUGCUUGCCCUGCGGAGGAAGUGGCUAAACUGUUCUUUAGCAACGUUGUUGAUUACUACUCAAAAAGUGCUAUUUUGUAGCUUAUAAUUAAUCCUUUUAAACACUUUUGAGUAGUAGUUAUUGCCUUUUAACUCAAUUCACAUGUUAAGGACCCUUGCAAUCAUUUCUAAUCAAAUUGUGUAAGUUUUGGUGUUUUUGUUAGUAAUUUGAUCACCAAAACAAUCCAAGAAUGAGGGAGAAUUGUAUAUAGUUCAUGGAAAAGCAAUGAAGAGCUCAAAUUCAUGAAGAACCAAGCUUUGGAGCUCCAUAGCCCUUUGCCAAAGUCGUUCAAAGUAUGCAAGGAGAGAAGCAAGGAGAGAGGAAAAACAGAGUGAAGAAAACAGAGGAAAGCUAGCUGCAGUCUUAUUUUUCACUUUUGGAGCACUUCCUGAAGUCCAUUUUCUACAUUCUAUAUACCAUUUCAAAGCUCAGGAAGUCAAGAAUCCAAUGCUUCAAACGGUGUGCAAUUUGGAGUUGAACCGAAGGAGUUACAGCCAUUGCAAGCAGAUCACUCCAAAGUGUUGCGAAAUCAGCCUUUUGUUGCGAGAAUUUCGCAGCCUUUUUGUACAGUGCUAUGGAAUUCCUCCUGAAGCCACCCGAUACAUGCCGCAAGCUGGAACGCUGAGAACCUCAAGGUGGAAGCCAAUUUCGUAGCCCUGCGAGUUUAACUUGUUGUUGCGAAAAUAUUUCGCAGCCCUCUUGAGUGUCUGCGAAAUCUCGCAGACACCAUUUUUCACCUGCGAAAUGUUCCUGGAGCUUCCCGAUAUUUUUGCACCGACUCUUUUAGAUCUUUUCUUCAGAUAUUUUUGUAUAAAUUUCCAUUUUCUCCUUGUAUUCAGCCACUCAUGUAAUUCCUUAGCUAAGAAGUAUCUAAGGAAGGGUAAAUUACCUUCCUAUAUAAACUCUCUUGCAUCCACUGUAAAAGGGGGAUGUGAGAUAUAUCAUGUAUGUAAUAUAGAUAUCAUAUAUAGAAUCAGAGAACAGAGCACUUGCUUUGUUUUUCAUAUAUAUUCUUGUCUUCUCUUUUAUUUUUCAUUUCUUUUUCUUUCUAGCCAACCAAACUCUAAGGAUUUUUCCUCAGAGGAUGAGAGGCUAAGCUUUUUGUCUCUUGGAGUGAAGAAAGCUGGGUAAGUUUCCGAAUGCAAAAUUGGAAGUUUUGUUGUUUUAGUUUUUAAUGAAGAGAAAGCUUGACCCGUUAAUGGUUUUUAUCUUUUUAGUUAACUUAAAAUGCCUUUAAAUCACCUGGGCCAACACUUGGUAAGGCAAGUGAUCUCCAUCCAUGGAGAUGCACUAGUUUACCCCUUGCGAGCCUUUGGGAGGUGACUUGAAGGUAGGAUUUUCUAGAAUAGCCAACACUUGGUAAGCUUUUGGACUCCAAGGAGACAUCCAUUAGUUAUCUCUUGCGAGCUUUUGACGGGUAAUCCAAGGUUAAAGAUCACCUUGAAUGGCAAGUGCUAGGUGAGAGGUAUGAGCCAUUGCAAGGUGCAUCAGUGAGAGGGAUUUAGUGUUUGAACCCAUUAAUGGGAAGCAUCUGUACAAAACCGGUUGGAGAAGGGACUAUAUGUUAAUUCUCUAAUGCGAGGAAAAGAAACAAGUGACCGGAACUCCCUUUUUGUAUGAGGAACCGGAGCCUAGUGAUCUGAACUCCAAGAAACACUUUUCUUUAUAAGUAAAAUCAGUUACUAUUUGUGGUUAGUUUAAAUCUAAACCUUUUUCAUUAAAGCAUCUUUAUGUUUUCUUUUAAAGCUAACCUUGAAAUGAAAAGGCACCAAUUCAGCUUUGAAUUAAUAUCAUUUGCAAAGUGAAAACCCAUCCCAGUGAACAAUCCUAGAGCCAGUAUGCUAUAGUAGCUUUGUCUUUGCUACCCUAGUAUAUGGUGUAAUAGGUUAUAAAUUUUGUUGAUUAAUCCCUCAAUCAAGGAGCACCAGCUGGACACGAAUCAGCUGAGACACCAAUUGGGCACGAAUCAAAUGGCGCCGUUGCCAGGGAUCGAACCCCGAAUCAGAUGGUGCCAUUGCCACUGCCGCUGCUAGGGACGAAUCAAAUGGCGCCGUUGCCGGGGAUGGUGCCACUUUGCAGUGAUAUGAUCUUUUGAGAGUACUUGUGAUCUUCAUCACAAGUUUGGUGACUUUUCUUUUCCUUUUACUAACUCUUUUUAUUUCUUUAUUGUUCAUAUUUUAGUAUACCUUUUAUUUAGUUUUUAGUUUACCUUAAUUUUCUUUCUUUGAAUUGUUUUUCUUUUGUUUUCUUUUGUGUUCUCUGUUUUUAAUUCACAAAUUGCUAGUUGUGCAUGCCAUAUUGAAUACCAUAGCAGAGGAAGCCAUGAACUUCAUGAGUUAUGUGGCUGAAUUUUCAAGAGAAUGGGGUGAACCAAAUGCUAGAGAUAUGGGAAGAAUGACGUCUCAACCUAAAGCUAAGGGUGAGAUGUAUAUUUUGAAUGAUGGCAUGGACAUGAAGGCAGAGAUUGCAGCUAUGGAAAGGAGAUUGGAAGAGCUAGAAAUGACAAAUAUGCAACCAGUGCAAGCCAUCUCUCAGACAUCAUUGCAAGCUAUGCCUUGUGCCAUUUGUCUAUCUUAUGAGCACUUGGUGGAUGAGUGUCCUACCAUUCCAGCCGAGAGGGAAAUGUUUGGUGAUUGCAACACCUACAAUUCCAAUUGGAGGGACCAUCCAAAUUUCUCUUGGAAACCAUAGCCGCCUCAGUACAAGCAACAUGUUCAAGCACUUCCGCAAGCCUCAAGCCUUGAACAAGCUAUGGUGAAUCUUUGCAAGGUAAUGAGAGAUUUUAUUGGAAAGCAAGAAGCCACCAAUGCUCGACUUGAUUAAAGGAUGGAUGGAAUGCAAAAUAAUAUGAAUCAAAAAUUUGAUAACAUCCAGUAUUCAAUCUCCAAGCUCAUAAAUUUGAACACAAUGCAAGAGAAAGAAAACUCUCCUUCUCAACCUUAUCAAAAUUCCAUGAGUAUCCAUGAAGUGGAGGCUCAAGAGGGAGAAUCUUCAAUGGUGAAGGAAAUUGAAGAAGUGAUCACUCUGAGGAGUGGUAAAGAGGUUGAUCUGCCCACAUGCAAGCUAGAGCAUAAGGUAGAAAAUGAAACAGAGAAAGAAAAGAGGGAGGAAAUCAAAGGAAAGAAAAAGGGGAAAAGCAUAGAGAAAGAUGACUAUGAUUUUGAUAUAGAUGAAGAACCACAGAGGAUAGUCAUCAAGGAAUUGAUGAAGAAACACAUGCCUCCACCUUUUCUCCAAGCUUUGUAUGGGAAAAUCAUACAAACCAAGUCUCAAGUGAGGGAUGCAAGCUUCAUAUGGGAUCCGGGCAAGCUAAAUCAGGAGCAAAUUUUUUGAUGGACUUAGUCUUUUUAAAGACUAGCUAGUCCAUAUCUUUUUGUUUUGUUAAUUUCAUGUUUUAAUUUUGAUUUCAAUGCUUUAAUUUUGAUUUCAAUGCUUUAAUUCUAGUUUGUUUUGAUGUAAUAUAGGUUUUUGGAUGAUCAAAAUCAAGAGGAAUUGCAAAGAAAUUGAAGAAAAAAAAAUCGGAGCAAAAUCGGAGUCAAACGGAGCGAAAACAGGGGAAAAACAGGGGUCUGCGAGAUUUUGCAGCCUCUGCGAAAUCGGCAUUUUGUUGCCAAACCAUUCCGCAACACUGUAGAAGUCUCUGCGAAAAUUUUCGCAGCUGCGAAACCCAUUUUGGCACACGAGUGCCACUUCGCAGCACAGGGCCAUCUGUUUCGCAGCUGCGAAACGCAUUGCGAAGAGGAAAAGCCUGAUUUCGCACCAAAAGUCCCAUUCCGCAGGGUAUUUGCAGGCGAAGCACAUUUUGGCACACGAGUGCCAUUUCGCAGCACAGUGAACCUCAUUUCGCAACUGCGAAACGGCUGCGAAAUCCCAAAGCGUAAAAACUUCCAAUUUCGCAGCCAAAGCUCCAUUCCGCAGGGUAUUUCGCAAUUGCGAAGCCGGUUUUGGCACACGAGUGCCAUUUCGCAGCACAGUGACUUCCAUUUCGCAGCUGCGAAACGGCUGCGAAGUUCCAAAACGUGAAAAAUCCCAAUUUCACAGCCGUACCCCCAUUUCGGCAAUUGUUGGACACAUAUCGAUCACUUCCCGAAGUUCAAAUUAUGCAUACAAUAUCUCAUUUGAAAGCUUGGGAAGUCACGAGUCCAUAGCUUCAAACGAUGCUUGAUUUGGAUUUGAAACGGAAAAGUUAUGGCUGUUUGAAGAUGACUGUGCAAACCAUGAAUGGAAAUGUCGCACCUCCAUUUCGCUACUAUUGGACACAUUUUUGAAGCACUUACUGGAGCUCAAAUUAUGCAUACGAUAUCUUGUUUCAAAUCUUGGGAAGUCAGGAGUCCAGCGCUUUAAACGGUAUGUGAUUUGGAGGUGAAAUGAAGAAGUUAUGGUCGUUUGAAGACAAGCGCGCAAAGCUGAGCGAGAAUUUCGCAACUGAGACACCAUUUGGAAGGGUGUUUCGCAGCUGCGAAACCACUUUUUGGCACACGAGAGCCAUUUUGCAGCACAGUUCUCCUCAUUUUGAAGUUGCGAUACACCUGCGAAAUCACUUUUGAGCUGCGAAAUGAGCUGCGAAAUCAAUUUUGAGCUUUGAAAUGGAUGCGAAAUGAUCUCCAAGCUUCAGAAUGGCUGCGAAAAUGCUCCAAGCUUCAAAAAUGGUCUGUGAACAUGCCACUUUUCUACGAAAUGAUCUCCAAGCUUUGAAAUGGUUACGAAAUCACCUCCAAGCUUAGAAAUGGCCUUCAAAUUGUGAAAUUGACCUGUGAAAUGGAGGGUGAUUUGCAAAAACACUUUGCAAAGCCAAGGGAAGUUGUUAAAAUGCCAUCAGAGCCCUGCAACCAUGCAUCUGAAGAGGAGAGCCCUGCACACCCUGGGAUCACACACACUAAGCCUCUCAUUCCAUUUCUGACCUCCUAAAACCAUCAGAGCCCAUAGCUCCAGCUGAGAAGACUAUGCCACCUAAGGAGACUACCAGAAUAGAGGCCAAAGUCCUGAUCCAACCCAUUCAAGAGGCCACCACAGACACAUCAGCUCCACAGGACCUUACCAUUACUUGAUCAUCUCUUUAAUUUUUGUCUUUACAUAUUAUAUUAGUGUAAAUGAUUUCAUAUUUUGAUGUCUUAUAUUCUGAAAUUGGAUGUAUUACUGAUGAUACAUCAUACAUAGACAUCAUUUUUUGUUUAAACUUAGCAUUUUUCUAUUUCCUCUACUCACUAACUCUUAUGUUUUCUUUGAAACAUGUGGUUUCUCCUAUACGACUCAAACUCCAUGUCACUCAAGAGGUACCACUUCCUCCCUAUUUUUCAAUCGCUUUUGUCACAUUGAGGACAAUGUUCAUCUCGGUUGGGGGGAGAGUUGAGGAAGUAAGUAUUGUUAAUAAUGAUAAGUUAUUUUGGUAAUUUAGCUACUUUUUGCUUAAUUUUUAAAAUUUUUGCUUUAAACUCCAUGGAUAUUAAGGAUUAACUCUCAAAAUUAAAUGAGAGAAGUCGAGUUUCAACUUGAUUACAUGAGUCUUAGAGUUUGUAUUAUGCUCUUCUAAAAGUUGAUGAAUUGUUGAAACUCCCAUUGUAUGAAAACUUAUCUCUUCCACCUUAAGCUAUUCGCACACACAUACAUUAGAUUCCGGUUAUAAGAUGUGAAACUAUCUCACCCUCUAAGCUUGAGAAAUCAUAAUUUGACACCUUUAACCUCUCUUUAAUAGUGUUGGGAUACCUCAUAAUGACCAAUGAGUCUUUGAAAAAAAAAGAAAAAAAAAAAAGAAAAAAAAAAAAAAUAAUAGAAUAAACUUCUUUGCUUGCCUUGAAACCUGAGCAUGGUCCGAAGGGGUGGCGAAAGCCUUUAAAGCCUAGUGCCCUAAGCCUUUAUUGGUUGGGAGUCACCGAUCCUCUGCUUGUUACAUGGGUGAAUUGGUUAAGUUUAGUAAGUGAAAAGAAUUGUGAAUAAGAGGUGCGUUCCUAGCCUAUCAAGAGAUNNNNNNNNNNNNNNNNNNNNNNNNNNNNNNNNNNNNNNNNNNNNNNNNNNNNNNNNNNNNNNNNNNNNNNNNNNNNNNNNNNNNNNNNNNNNNNNNNNNNUAGGUUGGGGGAAGAUGAUAGUUAUUCCAUACUAUACUUGGAAGCUAAUCACAUAACACUUAGCUUUUAGUGGAAGAAUUGAUUUGGAUCUUUUGAGAGUGGAAAUUCUUUUGAUGCUUAAACUUGCAUAAUAUCCAUUCUUUGUACUCUAUGAUCAAGUGAAUGCUUUGACAAAUCUUAUUAUAGGUUGAGUUUCACAUCUUUAUUGAUCCAUGGAUGUCCAUCAUGCCACUCAUAUCAUUUUUUGGAGUGAUUUGCAUGAUCCCUUUUAUGUAUAUUAUUAUAGUUUACUUAGUUUUUAUCUCCUUCAUUGCUAAGGGACUAGCAAUAUGUCGGUUGGGGGGGAGUGAUUAGUACUCAAAAAGUGCUAUUUUGUAGCUUAUAAUUAAUCCUUUUAAACACUUUUGAGUAGUAGUUAUUGCCUUUUAACUCAAUUAACAUGUUAAGGACCCUUGCAAUCAUUUCUAAUCAAAUUGUGUAAGUUUUGGUGUUUUUGUUAGUAAUUUGAUCACCAAAACAAUCCAAGAAUGAGGGAGAAUUGUAUAUAGUUCAUGGAAAAGCAAUGAAGAGCUCAAAUUCAUGAAGAACCAAGCUUUGGAGCUCCAUAGCCCUUUGCCAAAGUCGUUCAAAGUAUGCAAGGAGAGAAGCAAGGAGAGAGGAAAAACAGAGUGAAGAAAAUAGAGGAAAGCUAGCUGCAGUCUUAUUUUGCACUUUUGGAGCACUUCCUGAAGUCCAUUUUCUACAUUAUAUAUACCAUUUCAAAGCUCAGGAAGUCAAGAAUCCAAUGCUUUAAACAGUGUGCAAUUUGGAGUUGAAACGAAGGAGUUACAGCCAUUGCAAGCAGAUCACUCCAAAGUGUUGCGAAAUCAGCCUUUUGUUGCGAGAAUUUCGCAGCCUUUUUGUACAGUGCUAUGGAAUUCCUCCUGAAGCCACCCGAUACAUGCCGCAAGCUGGAACGCUGAGAACCUCAAGGUGGAAGCCAAUUUCGCAGGCCUGCGAGUUUAACUUGUUGUUGCGAAAAUAUUUCGCAGCCCUCUUGAGUGUCUGCGAAAUCUCGCAGACACCAUUUUUCACCUGCGAAAUGUUCCUGGAGCUUCCAAAUAUUUUUGCACCGACUCUUUUAGAUCUUUUCUUCAGAUAUUUUUGUAUAAAUUUCCAUUUUCUCCUUGUAUUCAGCCACUCAUGUAAUUCCUUAGCUAAGAAGUAUCCAAGGAAGGGUAAAUUACCUUCCUAUAUAAACUCUCUUGCAUCCACUGUAAAAGGGGGAUGUGAGAUAUAUCAUGUAUGUAAUAUAGAUAUCAUAUAUAGAAUCAGAGAACAGAGCACUUGCUUUGUUUUUCAUAUAUAUUCUUGUCUUCUCUUUCAUUUUUCAUUUCUUUUUCUUUCUAGCCAACCAAACUCUAAGGAUUUUUCCUCAAAGGAUGAGAGGCUAAGCUUUUUGUCUCUUGGAGUGAAGAAAGCUGGGUAAGUUUCCGAAUGCAAAAUUGGAAGUUUUGUUGUUUUAGUUUUUAAUGAAGAGAAAGCGUGACCCGUUAAUGGUUUUUAUCUUUUUAGUUAACUUAAAAUGCCUUUAAAUCACCUGGGCCAACACUUGGUAAGGCAAGUGAUCUCCAUCCAUGGAGAUGCACUAGUUUACCCCUUGCGAGCCUUUGGGAGGUGACUUGAAGGUAGGAUUUUCUAGAAUAGCCAACACUUGGUAAGCUUUUGGACUCCAAGGAGACAUCCAUUAGUUAUCUCUUGCGAGCUUUUGACGGGUAAUCCAAGGUUAAAGAUCACCUUGAAUGGCAAGUGCUAGGUGAGAGGUAUGAGCCAUUGCAAGGUGCAUCAGUGAGAGGGAUUUAGUGUUUGAACCCAUUAAUGGGAAGCAUCUGUACAAAACCGGUUGGAGAAGGGACUAUAUGUUAAUUCUCUAAUGCGAGGAAAAGAAACAAGUGACCGGAACUCCCUUUUUGUAUGAGGAACCGGAGCCUAGUGAUCUGAACUCCAAGAAACACUUUUCUUUAUAAGUAAAAUCAGUUACUAUUUGUGGUUAGUUUAAAUCUAAACCUUUUUCAUUAAAGCAUCUUUAUGUUUUCUUUUAAAGCUAACCUUGAAAUGAAAAGGCACCAAUUCAGCUUUGAAUUAAUAUCAUUUGCAAAGUGAAAACCCAUCCUAGUGAACGAUCCUAGAGCCAGUAUGCUAUAGUAGCUUUGUCUUUGCUACCCUAGUAUAUGGUGUAAUAGGUUAUAAAUUUUGUUGAUUAAUCCCUCAAUCAAGGAGCACCAGCUGGACACGAAUCAGCUGAGACACCAAUUGGGCACGAAUCAAAUGGCGCCGUUGCCGGGGAUCGAACCCCGAAUCAGAUGGUGCCAUUGCCACUGCCGCUGCUAGGGACGAAUCAGUUGUCAAGCACUUUGGGUUGCCACGGGACAUAGUCAGUGAUCGGGAUACAAGAUUUAUAGGCAAGUUUUGGGUUAAGCUGUUCAAACUCUUGGGUUCAGAGUUGAAGUUCUCUACAGCCAACCAUCCUCAGACUGAUGGGCAGACAGAGAGGAUCAAUGCCUUACUGGAGGAAUACCUCAGGCACUAUGUGACGGCAACACAGAAGAAUUGGGUGGACUUGAUGGACACUGCACAGUUGUGUUACAACUUGCAAAGAAGCUCAGCAACAGGGAUGAGUCCCUUUGAGUUAGCCAUUGGGGUACAGCCUCGGAUGCCUCUAGAGGUGGCAAAGCAGAAGGCAGGAGGUAACAGCCCUACAGCUUAUAAAAUGGUGCAGUCCCGGCAAGAAAUGCUUGAUGAAGCCCGGGACAGUCUGGAGAAGGCAGCCAGACGCAUGAAGAAGUAUGCAGACCGGGAUAGAAGACCCUUAGAAUUUCAGGUUGGGGACAGGGUCCUCCUAAAAUUGACUCCUCAAAUAUGGAAGAAGAUCAGCAGCAAGACAAGGCAGAGGGGACUUAUUUCCAAGUAUGAUGGACCCUUUGAGGUAAUAAAGCGGGUUGGGCAGGUGGCAUACAUGUUGAAGCUGCCUCAGAGGCUUAAGCUUCACCCGACCUUCCAUGUAAGUUUUCUGAAACCUUACCAUGAGAGUCUGGAUGCAGAGAGGGUGCAGACAAAGUGAGCCCCUCAUUUGGUCAUGAAACAAUUUGAUCGGGAGAUAGAGAAGAUCUUGGAUCACAGGACCAUGGGACAGAGCAGAAAGAACCGGCGAACUGAUUUCUUGGUUCAGUGGAAGGGGAUUUUAGAAACCGAAGCUUCGUGGAAAAGAGAUGUUACUUUAUGGCAAUUUGAGAAGGAGGUCCAGGCAUACUGGCAGUCUAAGUCGACGAGGGCGUUGACUUCAGCAGGCGGGGGUGGGUUUGUCAGCCCCUUAGCCACUUGAUUCAGACCCGGAGAAAUAGGCCUCAUGGGUAGGCCUUGCACCCAUGAGAGCCUAGGUGGAAAGCAAGGAAAGCCUGGAGGUUUGGUGGUUCAAACCCCAGGAGCUAAGUGUGGGGAUCGCGGACAAGUCAAGCGCGCACUCCGGAUAGGCGUUACCGAAGGAUCCGGACAUGUCUGCCCGGGGAAGUUGAAUCGCCCUCCUCUCCCAUCCGGCUACAGGGGCGCCGGAUGUGAGAUAUCCGGAGAAGAUGGAACGUCGGCCGGAUAGGCGCCGGAUGUGAGAUAUCCGGAGAAGGUGGAACGUCGGCCGAACAGAAUUCCGGAUAUGAGAUAUCCGGGUGGAAUGAGGGAGAAUUUCCAUCCGGGUGGAAUGAGCGAUGCCACGUGUCGCAAGAGGCCGUCUGUGUGUCCAAGGGAGAGGGAGCCACGUGGCACUUUUAGGGAGGAUCCCACAAUGGGUGGUUGUGCAAGCAGUUCAGGGCGGUUGCAUAACCACCAAGGGAAAAAGUGCAGGGUGAGUCUUUUAAAAGGGCUCCUGCAGCCUUGAGAGGAAAAAAGAAGGGAGAGACAAGAGGGAAAGUAGUCUCUGAAUGCUUGGGAUGUAAGCAUUGCUCUCUGACUCGGGGAAACAAUUUUGUAUCUUGUAGUUGAGAUUAAUACAAGUUGGGAAGGAUUUCCUGUAACCUCAUUGUGUCCCUGUUUCCUUUGGUUUGCUAUUGUUUGUGUGUGUUUUGAGAAGGCUGGGAGAGAAGGUUGGCUAAGGAAGGGUUUUUAGCACCGCGCACCAGGUGAAAAUUUUAGGGUGAUUUUCGAGGGUGUGACAAUUAGUAUUAAUGUUAUUCUUAUUUGCUACGUUAAUAAUAAUUAGACAAGAAAAAAGAAAAUAGAGAAAAGACAAGGUAGGGAUAUGCUUGAUUUUAAAGUGGAAAGUAUGAGGGUAUACUUAACUUUUUGUAUUUUGAGUCAUGAAGAAGACUUAUUAAAGUUGAUGACCCAUUUGGGACAUUAUCACCUAUAACUCAUCCUAUAUGGAAAUUUUCCCUAAAAUGUUUUACUAAUGGGCAGAAAAUCCCUCCUCAAAACACACGAGGAUAUUUAUGAACUAUUUGAAUGGAAAUUGGAACUAAAAUCAACCAUAAGAGUGACUUAGUUUAGUGGGAUAUACAGUUAGAAGAUAAAUCUCGCUCAACUAUCACUUUACCUAUAAGACAAAACUCAUUGCCUUGGAUAGUGGGAUGAAAAAAGCAAAUAAAUGGGCUCUUUUUAGUAAAAAAUGUGUUCCAUGAUCAUAUCACAAAUUAAAGUUAAAUAACAAGUAAAAAUUUCUAAAUAAAUUUUUUAUAGCAUUUUUUUUAUUAAAAUCAUUUCUCAAUUGUGAAGUAAAUUAAUCUUACAUAUUUUUGUACCCAAAUUUUUAUUUAUUUAUUUUUUCUAUUAAAAUAGGUGGAGGUGCUUAACAAUUCUCCUUAUCAAAUCCUAGUCCUAACCCUAAUUCUAAUCAUAAUUAUUUCUCGUUUCUUUUCUUUCCUUUCCUUCCAUUCUAUUAUAUUUAAGUACUUAAAUUAAAUCAUUAACUCAAUUUAUCAAAUUCAUCAUAAGGAUCAUGUAAAAAUCUUUCAAACCACUUAGUGGAUCCACCCGUUCAUUAUUCAUGAUUGAUUGAUCAAUAUAAAGAUUACAAUACCGUUUAUAUGUAAUUUAGAGACUCUCCCCCUAGAUUUAUACAUAUGAAUUUCUAUUAGAAAAAAAAAAAAUUCUGCACAAAAACUAGGACAAGGGGUAAUAGAAACUCAACAAUGCUUAUAGCUAGUGCAUAAUUAGAAUGAAGAAGACACUAUUAAAUAGAGCAGGUUGCCCUUUUGUUCAAUUAAUGACUAUUCUAGUUGGGAAAUAUACCAUACGUGGGUUCUCAAAUUAAAUUAUUGUACAAAAUGUCUCAAAAGAAAAUGUCACUUAACUUGUUGUAUAUACAUUUGUUUGCAAUUGAUUAAUUUGUACUAAUAAUUAAGUGUAUAUUUGUGUAGAUCUCUUGUUUACUUUUUAAAAAAUAAAAAAUAGUAGCAAUUUCUAUAUAAAAUAAGAGAAAUAUUAAUGUAGUGUUUUUUUUUUAAAUUCAUUAAAUAAAUUAAAAUAUUAAAAAAAUUAUUAUAUCAAAUUUUAAAAUUUUUGAAAAAUAUUUUUUAAGAAUAUAUAGUAAGUUUAUACCUUUUAUAUAUAUAUAUAUAUAUAUAUAUAUAUAUCUAUUUAAAAAAAAUAGGAAAUGUCUACAAAUGAAACAUAAAUGCUUAAAUAAGAUUUAUCAAAUAAUGACAUUUAACUUGAACCAAUAAUUAAAAAUAAUAACAAAAAAACUCAUAAGCAAAAGAAAUCUAGUUAUUAAAGAGAAUUAAGACACAUUAAUUUCAAAGAAAUUGUGAAAUAAAUAACUAAGUCAUUCAUAGGCUAAUCCAACACAUAUUUUGUUCAUGCCCCAAGUUCGUCCAAGUACUAUCAAAUAUUAAAGUUAUUAUCAACUUAACAACUCUUGAGAGUCAAAGGCAACUGAAAAAUUUGUCAUAAACUCAUUUUAUAGUCUUUAUCCGUCCUGAAGUUAACUUGAAAAUUGUGUGAUCAUGUUUUUUUAUUUCCAUUAUAUUUAAUUUUGAAAAGCAUUAAGAAAAAAAAAAUCUAAGGAAAUGAUUUUCUCAUAUUUAAUUGUACUAUAAAAAAUAAUUUGUCACCAAUUAAUCUAACUAUGCAUCUAAAAUUUUUUUGUUUGUUUUAGUAAAAAAAAAAAAGAAAAAAAAAUGGGAAAGGGGGAAUUUUGAAGAAGAUGAUUUAGGAGAAAAGAAGGAAAUGGAUAAAGAAAAGAAAAGAAGAGAAAAAAAUAAAUAAAAUAGGAUUAAGGUUUUGGACGAGGUAGUACCUAAGGUACAAUCACCAAAAUACCAAAGUUGAACCAACUAAUCACACUAAUUAAUCACAAAAUGGCAUGCUCUAAAGGUCACAAAUGAAUAAAGUAAUAUCCAUAAAUGAAGUUUUGAGGUUUCAUACAGGUAAUACCUAAGUUUGACUAAGGUACGUAGUACCUAAGGUCAGUUAAGGUAGUACCUAAGGUAGAUUAAGGUCGUACCUAAAGACUAUUAAGGUAAUACCUAAGGUACAGUCACUAAUCAACCGGUUUAAGGACUAUUAAGGUUUCGUCGAGGACCAAUCAACCGGUUUGUCGGGACCCAAUACUUUAAGAGUCUCCUAUGCUUCAUUUUAUGUAUCAUUUCCUCUAAUUCUUCAAGGGCUUCACCGAUUUAAUGAUCUAUGAGAGAUGUUUGAUGCUAUUUUUUUUUUAAUAGAGCUAUCUUGGACACAAAUUUGUGAGUCUAGGAUACAUUUGGAGGUUAGGGCUCCGGUUUUUGGGUACCCACUCUCUCCACUCGAGCUUCAUUUCAUUUUUUCCAGAUUCUCUUGGACUCUCAUGGCUCCUAGAUGAGCCGAAAGGCACAUUUUGACAUCAUCUUGGAGUUUUGGAUUUGGGUUUUUGAACUGAAAUGAGAGAUUUUGGGUUUUCGGAAGUAAAGAAAAAUGAGAAAAAGCUUCCAAAUGAGAGAGGGUGGUAUGGAGGUUGGGAUGCUGCUGAGGAUGCUGAGCUAGAGAAACGAAUGGGCAAUUUGGACAUAGAAGAUGGAGCUGGCUCAGAGUGCACAAAAAUGAUAUAACUUUUCAUAUUAAAAGUUGAUUAUCAUAUUUCCCAUUGUUGGGUUUUGAAAAUACUAUUAUGUUGGGAUGGGAAGCCCAAAGCCCAACUUUUCCCUUUUUCAUUUUAUUUUCUUCCAUUUCCUUUCUUUUUUACUAUUUUUGUUUUUCUGGGUAAAUCACAAAAGUACAUAAAUAUUAAAUAGGUUGUUCUAUUAAUAUUUUGAUCCAAUUAGCUACAUUUCAGCAUAUAACAAACAAAUAAAUUCUACAUGAACGAAAAAUCUACAUACAAUAACAUUAUUUCUAUACUAGCUAAAUCAUAAAGUUCAAUAUAUAUAUAUAUGGAGUUAGACUUGUAAGUAGGUUCAUGGAGUCUCCACAUUAAUUUCACUUACAAAUAGCAAAACAAUAUCCUAUGAUAUAUUAAAAGUACACGAAAUAAUUAUAUUUUUUAUGUAUAUGUUAACAACAUGCAUUGACUUUAUUAGAUACACAAAUAAAGUUGAGUAGGUGAUGUAAAGAAGUGAAAAAAUACUUUAGGUAAUGCAUAACACAUUAGUUCUUUCUUUGUCAACAAAAGAAGUUGAGUAUAUUAGAACUACAAAGGGUAUGAUUGUAUUAAAUCUUAUUUAAAGCAUACUCAAGAAGUUUUCACAAAGAUUUUUUUUAUUAUUAUUAUUAUAGUAAAUCAACUAUCACAUUAACCAAGAAUCCAAUUUUUCAUGGCAGAAGCAAAAUCAUGUUUCGCUAUAUUCAAAAGUUGAGGAAUAUAAAAUAAAAUUAUGCUUAAAGUCUUGUUCUUCAAAAUAUCAAGUUAUGAACAUUUUUUCGAAACCAAUCAAGAUGAAAACAUUGUUCAAGAUGAAGAACAUGAUGAGCAUCAUGAAAUUUGAAGACCUUGGUUUAAGGGAGAUAGUGUAGGAGUCCUAAUUAAACCAAGAUCAUGUUUCCUUAAUAUAUUAAAAUUAUUUUAUUAGUAUUAGGAGCCUGUAUGUGCACGUGCAGGGGACAUGAUAAAUUUUUUUUUUUUUCAUAUACUUGCUUUCUUCUUCAUAGUUUUCUGUCUUUUUUUUUUUUUAACAAGAAAAUUGUUCUUGUGGUUGAAAGGUUUUAUUUUAUUUAAUUUUAUUUUUAACUCACACCAUAAAAUUAAAGGUUAUUUGAUUAAAAGUGACAUUAAAAAGGCAAAUACGAAAGAAUGACCUCCAUUUUUUAAAAACCUCUAUUGGACAAAAUUAGUCUUCAAUAAUAUUUUAAUCACUAUCUCACAUCAAGCAUUUUUUGAAUAAAAAGUUAGAUUAAAAAUGUCAAAAUAAGGCUAUAUGUGUAAUUUUCAAUGCACAGAAGCUAUUUUUUUUCCAAAUAUAGGUAUUAUCUCACCCCUUUGAAUAAAAUAUUUAUUUCUAAAAUUAAAUGUUUAGUAAAACUUGAAAGAAUGUAGUAUUAAUUUCUACUUAAUUACUUCACUAACCUUAAAAUUCAAUAACACAAAAUUACUAGAACUUUGAUUAAUCAAUUAAUUUUGUAUACUACUUAUCAAUGGUAAUUCAUGUAGGAAUAAAUAUACAUCAAGGCAAAAACAUUUAAACCGACUUCAUUUUUCAUCCUUGUAUUCAUUAUUAUAAAAAAAAUAUUAACGUUUUCAUAAAUUGUACAAUAUCAAUGAAAAUAGCAUAAUAAAAACAAAUUGAUGCGUAACAUAGGGCCAAUAAUUGGCAUACACCGAAAUAGGAAUUAAUAAAUAGAAAUUUGGUAAAAAUGAAGAAAAAUCACACAAUAACUAAAUGAAUGAACAUAGACGUAAACAUAAACGUAAAAGUAAACCCCAUGUUUUAAUUUAUCAUUGCAUUUGCUUCACAUUAAUCCUUAAAUAAUGUUUUAGUAUCUAAAAUUCAAGUGCAUUAUAUGAGUUGUAAACUUUCUUUGAGCUAUAUAAGUAAAGGGGUGUUGUAGAGAAAAUUACAUAGAAAUAAUUAAUCAAAUCCAAGCAUGGGUGGCAAAUCCAAUCCAAGCAUGACCAAUGUGGUAUUGCUCAUAUUAUUUGUGAUGACUCUCUCACAUAUUCCAAUCCUCUUCGCAAACUCCCUACAAGGCUACAAAGAGCAGGGAUUCGUCAAUUGGAUUAAUCUGAAACGUACAUAUAGAAUUAUAAACGAGAUGGAUGGACGAGAGAGUCUGAAAAUUCAUUUUUGGUCUUUCGACGAUGAUCUUGGGACUCAUGUUUUGUGACUUGACCAAUAUUUUGAGUGGAGAUUUAGAAUUACUAUGUUGGAUGUAAUCACUAAUCCUACAAAGUUCACUUGCACAUUUGAAUGGCGCCAAUUCAGGAAGAAGUUUGCAGUUUUUUAUAGUAGAAGGGAUAUUUAUAAUAAUAGGGCUUGCGUAUUUUGUCUUCUCAUGGUAGAUAUUGACAAUCUUUAUGGGCCAAAUUUUGUGACCCACUGGAUAAAGCCUAUUGAAGCCUAAUUUAAAGUUUAUAUGGAAUAACCAACCACACAACUGGUUGAUUGUUAAGGCAUUUUCAUCGCAUCAAUAUGUUUGGUUGAAAAUGCAAUUGUAAUUGUCCACUUAUACCUUGGCCUUUAAGCAUUUUUAACGCAUUGAUCUUCAUUAGGUAGUUCAAAAAAGGAUUUAGAAGAUCGAAGUUAAGAGACACUUAGGAGUUUUUAUUCAAAAUUGUCCACUUAUCUAAAACACUCACAAAUAUAAUGUUUUAGGUUUAGAUAGGUACUAGUAUAUAUGUUUCAAUUAAAAUUGUAAUUGGCUUAAUGGCCAAAAGGCCACUCCAUGCACACGAAAAACCCAUGUUUGAGCCUUGGCCUUCCAUGCAUGUCAUUCACCUAGUAAUAUAAGAACUAGACUAACAACGAAAUGUCCCACUAAUAUUUAUAACCUAUGAAAUUCAAAAUUCAAAUGGCUUUAAUUGAGGCAAUUGUUUGAUAAUUAUCAAACCGACUCUAGCCAUGUAGCUCUAUUUUUAGGAAUAAUUUUCAAUAUUUUGAAUUAAUAACCAUUAUCGUUAUCUUAACAAAUUCCAAUUUUUAGCAAGCUCUUUAAUCACUCUUUCUGUCACCAUAUUCUAAAAAAAUUACCAUAAUUAGAACUCAACAUAGGUAACCUUUUUCCCCUAGAUAAUUCUAUCAUCAACUCGAUUACUUUUCUUUCAAUUUCUAAGGAAAUUCUAUUUUUCUUUUCAAUUUCUACUAAUAUGGUAACCCACUUAACUAAUACCACCCAAACUUCCUAUCCCACCAUACUACUAUUGGCUUCCUUAAACCUAAUUUUUAGAAAUAGAAACUUAACCUUAUUAGUCUAUUAUGAAAUUGCAUCUUUUUUCUUUUAGAAAAAAACAUUUCUUCAAUUUCACAAAUGAAUAUUACUAGUAUUCUACCAAAGAGAAAAACUUGUAAAAACAACCACCUAGUAUCCUCACAAAGGAGGAAAGAAAAAUCACUCCUUUCUCCAUUAAUUUUGUGUUCUUAAGAAAUUAUAUCAUCUCUUAAUUUCUUCAACAUCAUCCCCACAACACAAAAAAAAACUAUUAUCUCUUAAUAGCAAAUGCACAACUUGCAUUUAUAUGCCCAUAACUGCGCUUAAAGAGUCUUAACCCUCAUGGAAUGGACAAAGGGUCUUGCCUAACAUCUUUAUUACUGCACUCACCCCAAACCUUGGUCCUAGCUCUCCUUCUCUCUUUUUUUUUUUUUUUUUUUUCAUCGGAAAAGUUGUGUUUUAGGCUUCCCAUCCCAGCAUAAUAGUAUUUUCAAAACUGAACAAUGGGAAAUAUGAUAAUCAACUUUUAAUAUGAAAAGUUUUAUCAUUUUUGUGCACUCUGAGUCGACUCCAUCUUCUGUGUCCAAAUUGCCCCUCCGUUUCUCCAGCUCAACAUCCUUAGCAGCAUCCCAACCUCCAUAUCACCCUCUCUCAUUUGGAAGCUUUUUCUCAUCUUUCUUCACUCCCGAAAACCCAAAAUCUCUCAUUUCAGUUCAAAAACCCAAAUCCAAAACUCUAAGACGAUGUCAAAAUGCGCCUUUCGGCUCGUCUAGGAGCCAUGGGAGUCCAAGAGAAUUCGAAAAAAUGAAAUAGAGUUCGGGUGAAGAGAGUGGGCACCCAAAAACCGAAACCCUAACCUCUAAAUAUGUCUUACACUCGUAAAUUCGUGUCCAAGAUAGCUAUAUUAACAAGAAAUAACAUCAAAUAUCUCUCCUAGACCAUUAAAUCAGCAAAGCCCUUGAAGAAUAAGAGGAAAUGAUGUAGAAAAUGAAGCAUAGGAGACUCUUAAAGUAUUGGGUCCCGACGAACCGGUUAACUGGUCCUCGACCAAACCUCGACUAGUGACUGUACCUUAGGUAUUACCUUAAUAGCCUUUAGGUACGACCUUAAUCUACCUUAGGUACUACCUUAACUAACCUUAGGUACUACCUUGGUCAAACUUAGGUAUUGCCUGUGUGAAACCUCAAAACUUCAUUUAUGGAUAUUACUUACUUCAUUUGUGACCUUUAAAACAUGUCAUUUUGUGAUUAAUUAGUGUGAUUAGUUGGUUCAANNNNNNNNNNNNNNNNNNNNNNNNNNNNNNNNNNNNNNNNNNNNNNNNNNNNNNNNNNNNNNNNNNNNNNNNNNNNNNNNNNNNNNNNNNNNNNNNNNNNNNNNNNNNNNNNNNNNNNNNNNNNNNNNNNNNNNNNNNNNNNNNNNNNNNNNNNNNNNNNNNNNNNNNNNNNNNNNNNNNNNNNNNNNNNNNNNNNNNNNNNNNNNNNNNNNNNNNNNNNNNNNNNNNNNNNNNNNNNNNNNNNNNNNNNNNNNNNNNNNNNNNNNNNNNNNNNNNNNNNNNNNNNNNNNNNNNNNNNNNNNNNNNNNNNNNNNNNNNNNNNNNNNNNNNNNNNNNNNNNNNNNNNNNNNNNNNNNNNNNNNNNNNNNNNNNNNNNNNNNNNNNNNNNNNNNNNNNNNNNNNNNNNNNNNNNNNNNNNNNNNNNNNNNNNNNNNNNNNNNNNNNNNNNNNNNNNNNNNNNNNNNNNNNNNNNNNNNNNNNNNNNNNNNNNNNNNNNNNNNNNNNNNNNNNNNNNNNNNNNNNNNNNNNNNNNNNNNNNNNNNNNNNNNNNNNNNNNNNNNNNNNNNNNNNNNNNNNNNNNNNNNNNNNNNNNNNNNNNNNNNNNNNNNNNNNNNNNNNNNNNNNNNNNNNNNNNNNNNNNNNNNNNNNNNNNNNNNNNNNNNNNNNNNNNNNNNNNNNNNNNNNNNNNNNNNNNNNNNNNNNNNNNNNNNNNNNNNNNNNNNUUAAGGUAGUACCUAAGGUACAAUCACCAAAAUACCAAAGAUGAACCAAUUGACCACACUAAUUAAUCACAUAAUGAUGUGCUCUAAGGGUCAUAAAUGACGUAAGUAAUAUCCACAAAUAAAGUUCUGAGACUUCAGAUAGGUAGUACCCAAGUUUUACUUAGGUAGUACCUAAAGUCGGUUAAAGUAGUACCUAAGGUAGAUUAAGGUAGUACCUUAAGGCUAUUAAGAUAGUACCUAAGGUACAAUCACGAAAAUACUAAAGAUGAACCAAUUGACCACACUAAUUAAUUACAUAAUGACAUGCUCUAAGGGUCACAAAUGAAGUAAGUAAUAUCCACAAAUAAAGUUCCGAGACUUCAGAUAAGUAGUACCCAAGUUUUACUUAGGUAGUACCUAAGGUCGGUUAAGGUAGUACCUAAGGUAGAUUAAGGUAGUACCUUAGGGCUAUUAAGGCAAUACCUAAGGUACAGUCACCAAAAUACCAAAGUUGAACCAACUAAUCACACUAAUUAAUCACAAAAUGGUAUGCUCUAAAGGUCACAAAUUAAGUAAGUAAUAUCCAUAAAUGAAGUUUUGGGGCUUCACACAGGUAAUACCUAAGUUUAACUAAGGUAGUACCUAAGGUUAGUUAAAGUAUUACGUAAGGUAAAUUAAGGUCGUAUCUAAGGGCUAUUAAGGUAGUACCUAAGGUACAGUCACCGAUCGAGGUCCGGUCGAUCGGUUUGUCAGGACCUAAUACUUUAAGAGUCUCUUGUGCUUCAUUUUCUGUACCAUUUCCUCUUAUUCUUCAAGGGCUUCUCCGAUUUAAUGGUCUAGGAGGGAUGUUUGAUGCCACUUCUUGUUAAUAGAGCUAUCUUGGGCACGAAUUUGCGAGUCUAAGACACAUUUGGAGGUUAGGGUUUCGGUUUUUGGGUACCCACUCUCUCCACCCGAGCUCCAUUUCAUUUUUUUUUUUUUCAGAUUCUCUUGGACUCUCAUGGCUCCUAGACGAGCAGAAAGACACAUUGUUACAUUGUCUUGGAGUUUUGGAUUUGGGUUUCUAAAUUGAAAUAAGAGAUUUUGGGUUUUUGGGAGUGAAGAAAGAUGAGAAAAGGCUUCCAAAUGAGAGAGGGUGAUAUGGAGGUUGGGAUGCUGCUAAGGAUGUUGAGCUGGAGAAACGGAGGGGAAAUUUGGACACAGAAGAUGGAGCCGGCUCAGAGUGCACAAAAAUGAUAAAACUUUUCACAUUAAAAGUUGAUUAUCAUAUUUCUCAUUGUUCAGUUUUGAAAAUACUAUUAUGUUGGGAUGGGAAGCCCAAAGCCCAACUUUCUCCUUAAAAAAUAAAUAGUUUUUAGUAAAAUAUGAACAAUAAUAUUAUAAUAAAAUCAUAAAAAAAUUUAUAUAAAAAAAAAAUACUAUUUUAGUAUAUUUUUCAUGCUAAAGCUCCUCUCAAAUUUUAGGUGGAUGCAUGCUUAAGUGCUACUUAUUUCAUUAACAAAUUACCUCUCUUUUAUUGGUAAGAAUUCUCUAUACUUUAAAUUGUUCUUGUUUACACAUCUUUGCUUCCCUGUGCUUUCCAUAUUUGAAAAUCCUAGCAUGCACAAAUUUCAAAAAUAAAAAAUAAAAAAGCUAUACCCUAUGCUUUCUUAGGAUAUGGUCAUUUACAUAAAAGCUAUGGAAGUCUUCAUCUCAUAUGAAAUGAAGUCUACAUUUCUCAACAUGUAGCUUUUAAUGAGACAUGUUUUCCUUUUAUCAAAAAUGAAUCUCCCUUCCUCUCUCUCUCUCUCUCUCAAUACAAGUUUUUCUAAUCUUGAUGAAUGGGAUUCAAGAACGUCAAGUAGAUAAUUAGAGUCUUUUCAACUUGGAGAUCCUUCAUGACAUGACUCACCAACCAUUCCUUCUACAAAAUCUCGUCAAAUUGACCUUGAGGAUAUUCUCCAAGAUCCUAUUCCUCUUCAUCUCAAACGUCCUCUCCCUUUAUCUCCUCCUCCUUUACAUGAGCCCACCUCUCUCUUGAACACCACUCCCAUCUGCCUCAAUCUCCCACCCUCACAUCUCAUGGCCUUGGUGCUAUAGUCACUAAAUACAUCUUGUAUUCAAUUCAAUCCUUAUAUUUUUCUGGCCUCCUAACCAUAACUUCUGGGGAUAUAUCGCUGUUAAACAAGAUAAUGCAUUUGUGAAGCUCAGAUGAAUCACAGAAAUCAUAGAGGAAAUCUCUUAAGCAUUACCACAUAAAACGUACAUGAAAGAAAAAGUUGCUGUAUGUGAUCUAGCUUGGAACUGAGGUGGAUCAGUGUUGAAUAUUUUCCUUGAACUUUAACAUCAAAAUUCAGAAUUAAUUAGCAAGAGGCUGAAAAUACACAGAAAACCUGAGGGAAGGAACUGAGACACAGAUAGAGGGAUUGACUUCACCAGUUUCCCAUUCUCUCCAAACAGAUGGUAAGACCAAUACUCAUCAAGGACAAGGAGUUCUUGGGCACGACCUAGAGCAAAUGCAGGGAUUAGGACACAGCCCCCUUGAGAAAUGGUUGAGUGGAUGACAUCAGUGAAGCACUUUUCUCACACAUGCUGAGGCUGAUCCAAGUUGGACGCCAUAAGUGGAUUCAAUUAUGCAAAUAUCAGGGGAGAACUGUGGGAUCUCUGUGGAAUCUCUGUGGCACAGAGAUGACGAUCUUCUUCAAUAGUCUCGAGUGUAAAGUACUCCGACAAAUAUCAACCAUGAACAUGGCAGCACCAAGGACGUGGCCAGCUGUGUAACACCGAAAUAUAUUGGAUGCCAUUUACUUCUAAAGUCUGAUGGAAAUCAAUAACCUGCAGAAGGGAGAUUUGAUUACAGUUUCAGGAAGAUCAAAUGAGAUAAUAAAAUUAAGCUACAUAUCUAAAAGUCGAUUGUUGUAAAUGGCCAAACAUUCUGCAAUUGAUCAGGACUAUAUGCAAUCAAUAUUUUGGCAUAUGAGAUACACACAGCAUAUCGCAACUAAAUUCAGAAAAAUAUUAGAUAAAAUACUGUUGUGGAACACAAAACUAGACUUAUAAUCAUUUAAAUCUUAAUAGACUAAUUCCUACUUUGUGAGUUUUAUUUGCCAAUAUCUCCUUAUGUCCAGAACUGAAGGCAAAACCCAUCUGUUCUCAUAGAAGGUGAAGUACAGAAAGUCCAUAGAUGUUAUAGAGUCCUAAAACAGUAGUAUUUAUGCUCUGGCAGAAUCUCCGAUUCAGAUAUGAAUGUCUAGGAGAGAAGAAUAAAAACUUAAGGACGGCUUCAUUCAACAGGACUCAAUAGUACUAACAAUCCAUCUCCCUUUGGGUACUAGAUAACUGAUAAGGAACUAUAGAAUCCUAUUUCACUUUUUAACUAAGAACAGUUUCCAGAUGAGAUCUUAUAUGAGUUUUGAGAAAACAAGUUCACAAAAAAUUAUAAAUAAGAGGAUAUAUCCUGACAAUGUCAAAGGCAUAAAAGACCGCAGCAAAUAGCAUUGACAUAGUUUAUGAGAGAAAAAUAUUCCACAUGAAAGAGAAAAACAAGUAGCAUUGGAGUAUUUGAUUAGUGGUAGUGUAGGAGAGCAGUCCACAGCAUAAAAUAAAAUAAAAAUAAAUAAAAGUAGGAAAAUACUAUAUAUAAAAACUAAGAUUAGACAAUCACAAGAAUCAUUUUUUAUUAAUUUAUACAAUUUACAAUAUAUUGUAAAAGAGAAUAAAAUGGUAUACCUUUCUAAUGACUGACGUUUUUUCAUUUUUUGACUUUUUCAACAACCACACCAACACCACUACCAUCGAUAUUAUUAUAGAUCAACUCAUCUUCUAUGAAAUGUGCGACACUACUAGAUCCUAAAUUUGGAUUAGUAACAUCUCUUGGCUAUACUAACAAUUAUGCAAGUACCAAACUGUAUAUGUUGAGCGCAACCCAUAUUUGAUCGAAUCAUGCUUAACAUCAUUAUAGGUUGAUGCAAGGUGUUGAUUUUCACAUUUGUUAUAUGGACAUAAAAUAGUUUGUCUUUAUAGAAAAUUAUUUCAUACAAAAUUCAAGAAAGAUGCAAUGCCUCCCAAAGAGGAUGGGCUUGGACAUUGAAGAUUGAUCAAAUCCUUGUUCAUAAAUUGAUUAAAAAAAUAAAAUAAAUAAAAUAAUAGAAGUAUCUGAUUUUAAUAGUUCAACAACAAAUUCCACAAUAGGUGUUUCGGAAGAAGACUAAAAAUAAAAAGAAAUAAACUAAGAUUUCUUAAGACUUAAUUUCUAGGAAUUUGAUUGAAAAUAAAUAAAGAUAUAAUAUUAAAUAUAUUCACAUCCUAUGUUCUUUAGGUUCCUAAACAGUGAAAACACAAUCCCUAAGUAAACGAACUUAUGGUUCGACAAGUAGAGGGAUUCAAUCCCAAAUAAAAUAAUAAUAAUAAUAAUAAUAAUAAUAAGCUAAAGUCAAAUAUAUUAAUUCUUUUGUUGUCCAUUUUCCCAUAAACCAAACAUAAUUUCACAAUUCCACUAAAAAAACAAAACUCAACUAAUGUAAACAACCGUGAUAAUCUCAUUUGAGUAGAAACCUGUAAUCAACUUAUUCCCAAGUAAUAAAAAUAAAUAAAUAAAUAUGUAAAUAAAUAAAUAAAACUAAGAUCAUUGUUUUUCUUUAUCUAUUUUCUUUUCCUAAACCCCCUCACUAGAAAACAUAUUUUUUUCUCAAUUUUAUUUUAUUUAAAGAGUCAUAAUUGAGUUUAAGUUGCUCAUAAGAAUUUUAACCCAAAAUCCUUAAAUAAAUCAUUACUACAUAGGCAAGAACAAACAUGCAUUCCAAUCAACCAAUGUCCCCCCUUGCCAACACUUAAUCAGAAAAACAAUUCUAAUAUUAGUUGUCCAUUGAAACAACUAUUUCGAGCAAACCCUUCAACCCAAGUAGUAUACAAAUAGAGUGAGCACAUAUAACAAGAAUCUUCCCAACAAAUCCAAUCUUUCUUAGAUCAAGAAAAAAUAUAAAUAAUAUGAUAAAUCCACUAACAUGUUUCAUCAUGUAUCAUAGAACAAAUUAAAAACAUAAAAAAUAAAAAUAAAAUAAAAAAAACAUACAUGCUCAUAUGCCCCAAAAAUGGAUAAAUUUCCUAAACUAGGUAAAAAUAAAUGGGGAAAAUUAGGAUUAUGUGGGGGAAUACAUGUUGCGGGAAAAAAAGUAAGUGCAAAUUCAACAAAUGAGAUUUAUUUUGAUCUAUGUAUCAUGUUCUGAGAAUUUUGAGAAGUUUGUUGAAAUAUCUGAAUGAAUAAAAUUACAUUAAUCUUUUAUUUUGUUUUAAGUGUGAAAUUGAUUCCUUGACUUCUUUGGAUAUGAGACCAUAAUUUAGAUUCUUGAUUCUGCUUCAAUUUUCUCUAACACUCUGUAUUCUCUAAAUCGUUGGGGUAAGAAAUGUUGAAGAAGGAUUCUAAACCAACAUUUAAUUCUUAUGCUCCUUCUAAUUGGUUAGGAAAAUGACUUGGAUUUCAGCCCAUGAAUCUUGAUAUAUACCACAUGAAAGGCCUCUUCUUUUUUGAAAGACACAAUACAAGCUUUUACAGUAAUGAUCAUUUGGCAAUCCAUUCCUUUUUCUCUCUUCUGAAUUUGCUCUAUCAGUUUUAUCAAAAUUACAUUUUCUUUCCUGUGCUUAGAGCGCAAUAUAUAACAUAUUCGAAAUAAAAAUACUUCGAAGGGAGGACCCUCAGCUAGUUUCACCUCCAUGAUCAUGACCCAGCAGCUCCAGUCCAUUGUAGAGUGCCCUUCCUGCGACGACAGUAGCAAGACCCAGAAGAAAACCCACAAUCUGGAUCGAGAUAUGAAGAAAAACCAUUGAGGAUCAUGAUGCUUGAAGUAUCUUGGGAUGAUUGUCCCAAAUGGAAGGAGCACGCCCCAUGCAAUUGGAAUUCAAAGAGUUUUAUCUGAAGCUCUCACCAUAUUUUCCUAGAUAUAAGCCUCUCACGUCUAGAAUGUAAGAUCCUCUGUUCUCUGUUCAAAUUUCAGCUUUGCAAUUGGAGUCAAUACAUCUCGUAUUCAAUUCAAUCCUCAUCCUUUUCUGGCCUCCUAAAUUCUAAACCCUGUAUGGGUUUUCCAGUUUUGUGAAAAAUUACAUCAUGGGGACCCAACAUGAUGGGAUUUGAUUCAAAGUUAGAGACAAAAUUUUGGAAGAAUCUGUAAAACCCUCAACAGUUGUGACCAUAGCUCAAGACCAAGAUGGGACUUUACAAUCUAAUAAUGCUGAUGAAUGCUUCAUAGACGGCUCUCCAAAACUAGAGUUUGUAGGAAUGUCUGUCCUUUGUUGAAAGACAUGAAGGUCCUCACAUUCUCAAGCAGGAAGAACCUUGGCCGAAAGUAAUCAACAAAGGAUAAGAACGCCAGGAUCGUUUCACACUGAACAUGACUUUACCCCAGCUACUCUCUGUGAAGAUGGCAGCCUUGUUGUAGCUCUUAGAAUAGAGUAAAAAAAAAACAGAGCAGAAGUUGAUCAAACCUGGCAUGGAGGCCCCGCCCCCCCCAUUAAUAAAAUCAACUUGUCCAAGCAUCCGGUGAUGCAGAUCAUUUGGCAGCCUCAGAAGUAGACACGGGCAUCGACAUUCCCACAUUCCUCCUCCACACAACCAAUUUACGGGUCUAUUACAAAUGAGAGACAGAAAAAAAGAGAUUUUCAUGUUAAUGAAAUCAUUCACCUUAGGAUCGAACUGAAACGAUAAACAUCAAUGAUUCUGGCUGAUUGAAUUUGAGUGCAUCUCCAGCAAGCUCUUCAUAGUCAGUAGCCCACUUGGUUACUGAUGCACCUGCAAAGUUGGAAGCAACAGGAGAUAAAUUAAUGAUAAUUGGAAUGCAUAGUGGGACUUGAAGUUUGAGUCAAAGUUGAUAUGAUAUUUUACCCACAAUUAGCCAUCUUUAAUAGGAUUUGAAGUCAUAGUCAAACUUGAUAUAAUCAUUUGACAAAAAUAUAUAUAUAAUCAUUUUAAAGUUAGAAAACAUGAAUAAACACUUAUAAAUACUUCUUCUAAAAGUCAUUACGAGAAAAACAUGAAAAAUGUUAAAAUUUCAAAUAAAUGUUCAUAUUUGAAAAGCAUAUUUUUCUUACAUUUUUAUUAAAAAUACUUUCAAACAUACCCUUACUUGAUCUACUUCAAUUCCUAAAAUAAUUACAAACUCUAUUUAAUUUUUAUUUUUUAAAAUUUUUACUUAGGGGUGGAAAAUUCAUCCUCAAAUUAUACGGGGAUAUGAAUUAUUUGGAUGAAAAUUGGAGCUAACGUCCGCAUCAUAAGAAUGACCUAUUUUAGUGGAAUAUAGAGUUAUUGUAAGAUAAAUCUCACCCAACUAUCUCUUUACCAAUAAGACAAAGAUCGUUGCCUUGUAUAAUAGGAUGCAAAAAUACAUGAGUGGACACUUUUGACUUAAAAACAUGUUUCACAAUCACAUUAAGACAAAGUUCAUUGCCUAGUAUAACAGGAUGCAAAAAUACAUUUAAGUGGACACUUUUGACUUAAAAACGUGUUUCACGAUCACAUUAAGACAAAGCUCAUUGCCUUGUAUAACAGGAUGCAAAAAUACAUCUAAGUGGACACUUUUGACUUAAAAACGUGUUUCAUGAUCUCAUUAAGACAAAGCUCAUUGUCUUGUAUAAUGAGAUGCAAAAAUACACAAGUGGAUACUUUUGACUUAAAAACAUGUUUUAUGAUCACAUUAAGACAAAACUCAUUGCCUUGUAUAAUGGGAUGUAAAAAUACAUAUGAGUGGACACUUUUGACUUAAAAACAUGUUUUACAAUCACAUUAAGACAAAGCUCAUUGUCUUGAACAAUGACAUGUAAAAAUACAAUAUGAGUGGACACUUUUGACUUAAAAACAUGUUUUACGAUCACAUUAAGACAAAGCCCAUUGCCUUGUAUAAUGAGAUGCAAAAUAAUACAUAUGAGUGUGCAUUUUUUACUCUAAAAACAUGUUUCACAAUCAUAUGUGUUUUAAACUUAAGUUCAAAUAAAGAUACCACUUAAACCUCCUAACAACCCUUUGGAGAUGAACAUAAUAAUUGAAAAUAAAUAUAAACUCUCAUAUGAUAAUAAAAAAUAUUUUUCAAUUUUUAUAGAUGGUGAUCAUAUACAAAUUAAGUUAAAUAAGAAGUAAAAUGGAAUUUACAAAAAUGGUUUUUUUAAAUGUGUUAAAAUUUUCUAAUCCUCUUUAGGCAUGUUUUUUAAUGCUUGUUGAAAAGUUGUUUUUAUGUUUAAGAAUGAAAAAUAGUUAUUUAGUAUUUUAUAAAAAUAAGAUGUUUUGACAAGUUGGUUUUAAAAACGUUUUUUUAAAAUAAAAAAAUAAAAACUUGUUUGAAUAAGAUGUUUUAUAAAAAUAAAUUUUCUAUUUUAAUUUUUUAAAAACAUUAUAAAUUUAAUUUAUGUAAUAUUAAUUUAAUUUAAUUCAAGUAUUAUUGAAAAUGAAAAUAGUUUUUAAUUAUAAAUAAAUUAAAAAAUAAAUAGUUUUUAGUAAAACAUGAAUAAUAAUAUUAUAAUAAAAUCAUAAAUUGUAAUUUUUAUUAAAAAAAAAAUGCUAUUUUAGCUUCUUCUUUUUUUUUUUUUUUCAUGAUAAAGCUUCUCUCAAAAUUUGGGUAGAUGCAUGCUUAAGUGACACUUACAUCAUUAAUAAAUUACCUCUUUUAUUGGUAAGAAUUCUCUAUACUUAAAACUAUUUGGUCAACAUCCUAAUUGUUCAUGUUUACACAUCUUUGGUUCCCUUUCCUUUCCAUAUUUAAAAGCUUCUAGCAUGACCAUAUGUUUUCUUAAGAUGUAGUCCUUUACAUAAAGGCUAUAGAUGUCUUCAUCCCAUAUCAAAUCAAGUUUACAUUUCUUGACAUGUAGUUUUUAAUGAGACGUGUUUUCUUUUUAUCAAAAAUGAAUCUCCCUCUCACUUUCUCUCAUAAUCUCUUGAUUACACCUUUUUCUAACCUUGAUGAAUGGUUUUCAAGAACAUCAAAUGGAUAAUUUACAGUCUUCAAAUCAAAGAUCCUUCACGUCAUGAGCCACCAACCAGUCCUCCUACAAAUCGCUGAAUUGACCUUAAGGAUAUUCCUCAAGAUCCUAUUCCUCCUUAUCUCAAAUAUCCUUUGUCUUUAUCUCCUCCUUUACAUGAGCCCACCUCUCUUGAACACCACUCCCCUCCGCCUCAAUCUCCCACCCUCACAUCUCAUGGUCCAAGUGCUAUAGUCAUUGAAUACAUCUUGUAUUCAAUUCAGUCCUCAUGUUUUUCUAGCCUCCUAAAUUCUAAACCCUAUCUAGGUUUUUCAAUUUUGUAAAAAAUUACAUGAUAGGUCCCAAUAGGAUGGUAUUAGAUUUAAUGUUGGAGACAAAAUUUUGAACAAAUCUGCAAAAAUGCUCAACAGUUGUGGUUAUAGCUCAUGACCAAGAUGGGAAUUUACAAUGUGAUAAUACUGAUGAAUGCUUCAUAGACUGCUAUAACUAGAGUUUGAAAAUUUUCUACUUUCCAACAUUUUUUGUAUCAAGCUAUAAUCAUCUAAAUGGAUUGAAAACAAUUUUUUAAAAAUUUGUUUAAAAAUGAGAGGACUUCUUAUAAAAAAAUUUAAAACAAAAAAUCAACAUUUUUUUAGAGCAAUAGGAAACAUGGAGAAUAGGCUGAUAACUUUUGCAUUCUAUGUCAAUGCAUAAUACUUCCAUAGAGAAGAGACUGAGAUUUUUUAUUUUUUUAAAAUUUGACUCCUAAUAGAAUUUUAUUACUCCAAACAUUUAGGAGCUAUUCUUAAAAAUUGAUUUGUAAAAACUAUUUUUGAAAACGUUAUUGAGCAGACCCACAAUAUGUUGAAGUAACAAAUGGAAAACUCACCAUUUGACCUUGUUCCAAUUACAAUUUUAAAAAGAAAACAAACACAUAAAUCCUUAGACAGGACUAAGCAACAAGCAAUGUCCUUUCUUAUUUCUCUUAAUAUUUUGUAAAUCAUUUAUAUUAAAUUUUAAAACCAAAUUAACUAUAGUUUCUUCUACUUCUUUCUCAAUCAAAUGCAUGGUUUGUUGUUGAUGCUUAUCUUAGUUCAUCUUUAAGUGAGACCCAUUACCUAUGAACAAAAUAGACAUGUUUUUUUUUUUUUUUUUUUUCAUUUGGAAGUAUUAAAGAAUCAAAUUAAUCAUUUAUAGUCCACAAUAAAGUAGAAUGCAUAUUAGGAGGGGCCUUAGACCCAUUCCCAAAGGGACCUUAUAUCUGUAAAAUAUGUCUACAGGUUAACAAGAGUUUAUACAUAUACAAUAUUUAUGUAAAAUUGCAAGGUUUAAUGUUUUAAGAGAAACACUUCAAUUAAAAGCACUUUAUAAAAACACUUUCAAACGGAUAUUAGUUAUCUUCAGUUCCUAAAUAUAUAUUUAUUCUCAUUAUUGGGGGUACUUAAAUGCUCUUUUUAUCAAAUUGAACUAAGUGUAUCAAGUGGUUCUGUUUAAUAUGUUCAUCUACUCUUUGGAUAAUGUUCUCCUUGAGUUACUUGUUUCUUCUUAACAAAAAAGAAUACAGUUUGUCACCCAUUUUGAAGGGAGAUAAUAACAAAAAAAUCAGUUCAUGCUGAUAAGCAUUAAAAAAAAAAAAGGUGGGAAGAAAAAAAAGGUGAUUUCAACAGUUUUGGGAAUUAUGACUCUCUCAACAAUCUAUUAAAAAACUGUAAAGAUUUCAUGUUAGAGCCCUAGAAAAGGUGCAGACACAUGAACAAAAAUUCCAAUCGCAUCCAAAAACAGGAGUCGCAUCUGCCUUCUUGGAUCUCCCCAGCCUCAAGGACACUUACUGUUACAAGAAUGAAGGUCACAAGAAACCCAUAUCCUAUCUUCCACCCCGAGCCUGCUUCUGCCACUCAAAGUCCAUUCACAAUAUUCAGAGCUCCCAAGAAGAGAGCAAUUCUCCCUAUCCAGUGAUGUUACCAGUUCCAGUACUUGCGCGGUUUGGAUGUCUUAUCUAGUCGUAGAAUCAGGGCCAUUACCUGAGAAGAAGAAAACUUAGUUUUGAGCAUGCUUGAAGAAAUAUAUUUAGUUAAUGUCGAGUAAAGGCCCAGGCCCGAGCGAAAACAAACCUGAAGAAUGCUAAGGAAAAACACCAAUUAAGGAUCCAAGGGGUCUAUGAAUCUUGAAUUUGAUAAUGUGAUCGGACUCCAAUCCAUUGUAGAGUGUCCUUCCUGGGACGACAGUAGCAAGACCCAGAAGAAAACCUACAAUCUGGAUCGGGAUGUGAAGAUAAAAUCAUUGAGGAUGAUGAUGCUUGAAGUAUCUUGGGAUGAUUGCCCCAAAUGGAAGGAGCACGCCCCAUGCAAUUAGGUCCAUGUCUCCAUGACGCGUCUUCAAAUCUCCAGUGUUCUUGACACCAGAGGUAUAUCUUGUGAGACAGAACAGAAAUUUUCCAUAUCAGACUUCAAAGGGUUUUAUCUGAAGCUCCCACUUUAUUUUCCUAGAUAUAAGCCCCUCACGUCUAGAAUGUAAAAUCCUCUGUUCUCUCUUCAAAUUUCAGCUUUGCAAUUGGAGUCAAUACAUGUCGUAUUCAAUUCAAUCCUCAUCUUUUUCUGGCCUCCUAGAUUCUAAACCCUGUCUGGGUUUUCCAGUUUUGUGAAAAAUUACAUCAUGGGGACCCAACAGGAUGGGAUUUGAUUCAAUGUUAGAGACAAAAUUUUGGAAAAAUCUACAAAACCCUCAACAGUUGUGGCCAUAGCUCAAGACCAAGAUGGGAAUUUACAAUCUAAUAAUGCUGAUGAAUGCUUCAUAGACUGCUCUACCAAACCAGAGUUUGUUGGAAUGCCUAUCCUUUGUUGAAAGACAUGAAGGUCCUCACAUUCUCGAGCAGGAAGAACCUUGGCCGAAAGUAAUCAGCAAAGGAUAAGAAGGCCAGGAUCAUUUCACACUGAACUUUACUCCAGCUACUUUGGUUAAACAGGUUCAUCCUAGACAAACCCUGUGAAGAUGGCAGCCUUGUUUUAGCUCUUAGAAUAGAGUAAAAGAACAGGCAGAAGCUGAUCAAACCUAGCAUGGAGGCCCCUCCAAUUAAUAAAAUUAACUGUCCAAGAAUCCGGUGAUGCAGAUUAUUUGGCAACCUCAGAAGUAGAGACAGAGUCAUUGGCAUUCCCGCACUCCUCCACCACAGCCCUGCAUCACAAUCAAUUUACAGGUCUGUUACAAAUUGAGAGACAGAGAAAACGAGAUUUUUUUUUAAUGUUAAUGAAAUCAUUCACCUUAGGAUCACAUUGCAAUUGUUAAUAAACAUCAAUAAUUCUGGAUGAUUGAAUUUGAAUGCAUCCCCAGCAGGCUCUUCAUAUUCAGUAGCCCACUUGGUUACUCAUACACCUGAAAAAAUGGAAGCAACAGGAGGUAAAAUCAUCACGUUCUUUAACAUAAAUGUCAUCAAAUACGACUAUUUAGCUGAUGGAGAUACAAAUGAACUACCUGCUUGAAGGGCCCUUCAAAGAAAAAUAUAUUCCAAAGGUUGCAAGGACAUCACAUGAUGGCAGAUCAUGCUUCUGAAUAACCUCCACAUUCUACCCUUCAAAUAUCUUAGGAAAAUAAUAUAAUUGUAGUUUUAUAUUAUAAUAAACUGAUUCGACUCAUGGUAGCUUAGCUUUAAAGGCGUAUCAACAAAAUUUAUACCUUGAAUACUAUUACUAAAGUAGCCAAGCUACUAUAGCAUAGUGGUUCUAGGAUCGUUCACUGGGAAGGGUUUUCGCAAACACUAAUGAUAUUCAAAUUAGGAAAAUAGGUGAUUUUCUUAUGGAUGUUAGCUUUAAAAGAAGAUGUAAAUGUUUUAGAAAGAUUUAAACUAAUCUAAGCUAACAUUAAAGACUAAAAUGAAAAGGUGUAAAAACAAGUUUCUCAAAGAUAGGAUAGCUAUGCUCUGGCUCUUAUGCAAAUUGGAAAUCUCAAGACAGGCUCCUCGCGUUGGGGUUGCAACUAUGGUGAUGCUUGCUUCCCGAACCGGUAUGGAUUUAGCAAAUCAAGUUUUAAUCCUUUAAAAUGGCAAAACAGAUGGUAGUGAAUUUCAUCAAUGGUUAUUCACCUUAGACUUCCUUUGAAUGGCUCGUAAGAGAUAACUAAUGGUCUAAAGCCAAAAGCUUACCAAAUAUUGGCAACUCAAAGUCAUUCCAAGUGAUAAACUCACCUUUCAAUGGCCAUUGAAAUUGGUUCUAACGGAUUAAUACAAAACUUGGAAUUGAAAACCUCACCUUCCAAUAGCUCGUAGGAGAUAACUAAUGGAUAGAAAUCCAAAAGCUUAUCAAGUAUUAGCCGUUGGAAGUUGUCCAAAGGAAAUAAAAAACCAAACUUUGCCUUAAUGAACCUUUAAUGAAAAACGUCUACCUUACCUUCUGGGUGCGAGAAAUUUCCAUGGGAUUGCAUCCAAGCCAUCACAUAGCAUCCAUACUUUGAGAAACUAAAAAUUUUAGCCAAUCAUCCUUUGAGGAAAAGCCCUUAGAGGCUGUUUGGCUACUAAGAAAAUAAAAUAGUAAAGAGAAAAGAGAGACGAGAGAGCUCUGUGUAAAACGUAACACGCAUGUUCUAUAUUUUCCAAGGGGUGAUUUCCACCCCUUAUAUAGUCUUUACAAAAGCAAAAGCUUGUGAUUAGUUACUUACAAGGAUAAGAAAGGAAAUUACAUCAAAAAAUACAUAAGAAAAUAUCUAAAGUGGAGUCGGCAAAAGCAGAGCAAAAUUCGCACCACGCAUGGGUUAUGUGAAUUUUGAAGGUGUUAUGCGAAUUUCGCAUAACACCUUGUGUCGUGCGAAAUUUUCGCACAACCUGGAGCAGUUGGCUUCCAAAGGCUAUAUCUUCCUCAUUUCAGCUCCAAAUCAUACACAGUUUAAAGCGUUGGAUUCUUGACUUCCUGAGCUUUGAAAUGGUAUAUAGAAUGUAAAAAAUGGACUUCGGGAAGUGCUCCAAAAGUGUGAAAGAAGACUGCAGCUGCUGUCCUCUUUGCUUCUCUUUGCUUCUCUCCUUUACUUACUUUGAACGACUUUGGCAAAGGGCUAUGGAGCUCCAAAGCUUGGUUCUUCAUGAAUUUGAGCUUCCAAAAGCUUUGCCAUAACUUGUCCAAAUAGCUCCUCCAUCAUUUGGCAUGCUUGAAUUGAUUCAUAAGCUGAUAAAAACAUGUAAACUUGCCACAAAAUGGUUAAAACCAAUUACUAAGGACCUUAAUGAAUUAAUUGGGUUAAAUGAAUAUGAUUACUACUCAAAGGUGCUUAAAACCAUUAUAAUUAGGUCUACAAAAUAGCACUUUUUGGUAGUAAUCACACCCCCCAACCGACUCAUUGCUAGUCCCUUAGCAAUGGAGGAGAUAAAAACUAAGUAAACUAUAAUAAUAUACAUAAAAGGGAUCAUGCAAAUCACUCCAAAAAAUGAUAUGAGUGGCAUGAUGGAUAUCCAUGGAUCAAUAAAGAUGUGAAACUCAACCUAUAAUAAGAGUUGUCAAAGCAUUCACUUGAUCAUAGAGUACAAAGAAUGGAUAUUAUGCAAGUUUAAGCAUCAAAAGAAUUUCCACUCUCAAAAGAUCCAAAUCAAAUUCUUCCACUAAAAUCUAAGUGUUAUUUAUUAGUUUCCGGAUAUAGUAUGUCAAACUAAUCUCUCCCCUCAACCUAGUUCUUUUCAAAGCUUAACAAACUAAUCAACCUCCAAUAGGCUAAGAACGCACCUCUUUUCUUUCACAAUUUUUUUCUUGUAGGAGUGCAAAGCUUAAAGGCAUUCUUUUCUAAAUUGUCCAUGUAAAGGGGGUCCAUCGAUGACUCCCAACCAAUUAAGGUUUAGGGCAUCAAGCUUUAAGGAUCUUUCAACCACUAACUCCUCGGAUUUUACCCCGGACUUUUGAGAAUGAUUUUUAAUACCCAAGCACCUACAACAUGUUAAACUCCACCUAUUCACCCUUGUAACGAGCAUUGAGGUCGGUGACUCCCAACCAUUGAAGGCUUAGGGCACCAGGUUUUAAAGAUUUUCACCAUAUACCCCUCAGACCUUGCUCGGGUUUCAAGGCAAGUAAACAUUUUUCUUUCUUUUUUUAUUUUUUUCAAAGACUCAUUGGCCUUUUACAAGGUGUCCCAACACUAUUAAAUGAGGUCAAAGGUACCAAGUCUAAAAUUUUCCUAAGUCAAGAGGGAAAUAGUUUUUCAUCUUAUAAACGGAACCUAGUGUGCACGGUGUGUGAUAAGCUUAAAGUGGAAGAGAUAAGUUUGCAUGCAAUGGGAGUUUCAACAAUUCAUCAACUUUUAGAAGAGCAUAAUACAAACUCUAAGACUCAUGUAAUCAAGUUGAAACUCAACUUCUCUCAUUUAAUUUUGGGAGUUAAUCCUUAAUAUCCAUGGAGUUUAAAGCAAAAAUUUUAAAAUUUAAACAAAAAGUAGCUAAUUUAACUAAGUAUGAUAAAAAUUUAAACUAAUACUUACUUCCUCAUCUCUCCCCCCAACCGAGAUGAACAUUGUCCUCAAUGUUUGAAUCGAAAAUAAGGAGGAAGGAAGUGGUACCUCAUGUGAUGUGGACUUGGAGUUGAGAAGGUUGAACCACCUGUUUCAAAAUUCAAAAAUUGAAUGAGAGAGGAAUUUAUACUAAAUAUUUACAAAAAUGAUGAGUGGGCCCCACUUUGAGCAGCUGAGGACAAGGCUCAAAGGGUCCAUGCCAUGAUGGUAUACUGAUAUAAGUUGCAAUGACAUUUGAAUGUAGCUUGCAGGGGUGUUAAAAUUGGAGAUUUUUGGCUAAAACAAGGGAAGCUUAAAAAUUCGCACAAGGGGGGUGUUGUGCGAAAAUUUCGCAGAAGGGGGGGUGUUGUGCGAAUUUUUCGCACAAGCACUAUUCAGCCGCCCAAAUGCAAAAUUGGAUUCUUUCAAAUGGUCAUAACUUCUUCGUUUCAAAUCCAAAUCGCACGCCGUUUGAAGCACUGGACUCCUGACUUCCUAAGCUUCAAAAAGAGAUAUGGUAUGCAUAAUUUGAGCUCCAGAAAGUGCUCCAAAAACGUGUCCAACAGUAGCAAAAUGGGGUGAAGCUGCAACAUUCCCAUUCAGCUUUGCACAGUCGUCUUCAAACGGCCAUAACUUCUUCGUUUCAACUCCAAAUCGAGCACCGUUUGAAGCUAUGGACUCCUAAAUUCCCAAGCUUUGAAACGAGAUAUAGUACACAUGAAAUGAACUUCGGGAAGUGAUCGAAAUGUUCCCAACAGUUGCCGAAAUGGGGUGGUGCGAAUUGCUCUGUUUUGGCUUUUCUCCCCUGUUUUCCCUUGUUUUCACCAUAACUUCAAUUUUUGCAAGCAUCAUACCUGCAUGAACACUUCAAAACUCAUCUUAAAAACAUAUUAAAACUAAAUUAAAGCUAAGAAUUCAAACUAAAACAUGCAUAAAUUUAAAGAAAGCAUAGAAUUUAAAUGAAGCUGAUAGCAUGUACCCCAAAAAGAAGAUGAACUAUUUAGCUCAUCCUCACUCACACACCCACUUCAUGAUGAAUUCCCCCUGGAUCCCAAACAAAAUUGGCAUCCUUCCCAUUUGGUCCAAGGGAAUUCGUUUCUCUUCUCUUCCCUGGAGAAGUGGAUGCUUUAAAGGAUUCAGGUAACCCUUUAUCAUCUUGAACCUNNNNNNNNNNNNNNNNNNNNNNNNNNNNNNNNNNNNNNNNNNNNNNNNNNNNNNNNNNNNNNNNNNNNNNNNNNNNNNNNNNNNNNNNNNNNNNNNNNNNNNNNNNNNNNNNNNNNNNNNNNNNNNNNNNNNNNNNNNNNNNNNNNNNNNNNNNNNNNNNNNNNNNNNNNNNNNNNNNNNNNNNNNNNNNNNNNNNNNNNNNNNNNNNNNNNNNNNNNNNNNNNNNNNNNNNNNNNNNNNNNNNNNNNNNNNNNNNNNNNNNNNNNNNNNNNNNNNNNNNNNNNNNNNNNNNNNNNNNNNNNNNNNNNNNNNNNNNNNNNNNNNNNNNNNNNNNNNNNNNNNNNNNNNNNNNNNNNNNNNNNNNNNNNNNNNNNNNNNNNNNNNNNNNNNNNNNNNNNNNNNNNNNNNNNNNNNNNNNNNNNNNNNNNNNNNNNNNNNNNNNNNNNNNNNNNNNNNNNNNNNNNNNNNNNNNNNNNNNNNNNNNNNNNNNNNNNNNNNNNNNNNNNNNNNNNNNNNNNNNNNNNNNNNNNNNNNNNNNNNNNNNNNNNNNNNNNNNNNNNNNNNNNNNNNNNNNNNNNNNNNNNNNNNNNNNNNNNNNNNNNNNNNNNNNNNNNNNNNNNNNNNNNNNNNNNNNNNNNNNNNNNNNNNNNNNNNNNNNNNNNNNNNNNNNNNNNNNNNNNNNNNNNNNNNNNNNNNNNNNNNNNNNNNNNNNNNNNNNNNNNNNNNNNNNNNNNNNNNNNNNNNNNNNNNNNNNNNNNNNNNNNNNNNNNNNNNNNNNNNNNNNNNNNNNNNNNNNNNNNNNNNNNNNNNNNNNNNNNNNNNNNNNNNNNNNNNNNNNNNNNNNNNNNNNNNNNNNNNNNNNNNNNNNNNNNNNNNNNNNNNNNNNNNNNNNNNNNNNNNNNNNNNNNNNNNNNNNNNNNNNNNNNNNNNNNNNNNNAACAUAUUAAGGACCUUUGCAAUCACUUCUAAUCACUUUGUGUAAGUUUUGGUGUUUUUGUUAGUAAUUUGAUCACCAAGGCAAUCCAAGAUGGAGGAGAGUUAUUUGGAAUCCAUGGCAAAGCAAUGGAAAGCUCAGAAACAUGAAGAAUCAGAGCUUUGAAGCCUUAAAGUCCUUUGUCAUAACCAAUCCGGAAUGCAAGGAGGAGAAGUAAAGAGAGAAUCUACCUUGAAGCAUCCUUGAUGACAGUAAUUUCAGCCACUUUUGGAGUACUUCCUGAAGUCCAAUUUAUGCAUGAUUUAUGUCGUUUCGAAGAUCGGGAAGUCAACAAUCCAAUUCUUCAAACGGUUCGCAAAUCAGAGUUGAAAUGAAGAAGUUAGAGCCAAUGGAAGCAGAUCACUCCAAGCUGAAGGCCAAUUUCGCAGGGCUGCGAAAUCAGCCUUUGGCUGCGAAAUCAGCCUUCGGCUGCGAAAUUUCGCAGCCAUUUUGUGCGCCUGCGAAAUUCUCCUGAGUGCUUCCAGAUAUUUGCAACCAACGUUUUUGGAUAUUUUGCUUCAGAUAUUUGUUGUCUAGAUCCCAAUUCUCUCCUUGUAAUCCACCAAUUAGAUGAUUCCUUAGUUGUUAAGCAAGAAUACAGGGGUAAACAACCUGUUAUAUAUUGUUUUGUAAUUUUCAUUUUAAAACGGUCGGGGAACUUUCCCCAGGAGACCAACUUUUGUAAAGUUUACACUUAGCUAAAUACAGAGUAUCUUUUGCUUUCUUUUUCUCUCUACUAUUUUCUAUUUUCUUAGUAGCCAAACAUCCUUGGAGGAUGAAAUCCCCAAGGAUGAGAGGCUAAAACCUUUUAGUUUCUUGAAGUAAUGGAUGCCAUGUGAAGCUCCCGUGUCAGGAUGGAGAUUUCCAAGCCAUGAAUGUAAGUAGCUGAGCGUCAUAAAUGUUUUCAUUCAAAGUAAAGCUUUUAAUCCCUCUGACUUGCUUUGAAUGGCCAAUACUUGAUAACCUUUUGGUCUCAGUGGAUUCUUAUUGUUAGAUCCACUGAUGUUCAUUAGUUAUCUCCUACGAGCCAUUGUAUUGCAAGUCGAGGAGAUGACCUAUAUCAUUAAAAGAGCAUUUGUGAGGUUCAGCUACCCUUUUUGUAAGUUUUGAAGGACUAAAACUCAGUUGUUAAACACAUACCGGUUCGGGAAGUAAGCAUCACCUGAGUUGCUUCCCCAACUCGAGGUGAAAAGUUCCAAAAUCUCCAUUUUUACACAGUGAGUUAAGCAUGGCUAUCCAAAGCUUUGAGAAACUUCUUUUUCCAUCUUUUAACCUAUUUUCAUAUUAGUUUAGUUUACAACACCUUCAUCUUUUUAUGUUUUCAUCUUAACCUAAUUUUUAUUAAGAAAAGUUCACUCCAUCCUCCGAACUUCACCAGUUAAAGUAAAAACCAUUCCCAGUGUUCGAUCCUAGAGCCACUAUGCUAUAGUAGCUUUGCUACUUUAGUGUAAGGACCUUAGGUAUAAAUUUUGUUGAUACCCUUACAUGCCAAGCUACCAAGAGUCAGGUUAUCAUCUACCUUACCUUCCGAGUGCGAGAAAUUUCCAUGGGAUUGCAUCCCAGCCAUCACAUAACAUCCAUACUUUGAGAAACUAAAAGUUUUAGCCAAUCAUCCUUUGAGGAAAAGCCCUCAGAGGCUGUUUGGCUACUAAGAAAAUAAAAUAGUAAAGAGAAAAGAGAGACGAGAGAGCUCUGUGUAAAACGUAACACGCAUGUUCUAUAUUUUCCAAGAGGUGAUUUCCACCCCUUAUAUAGUCUUUACAAAAGCAAAAGCUUGUGAUUGGUUACUUACAAGGAUAAGAAAGGAAAUUACAUAAAAAAAUACAUAAGAAAAUAUCUAAAGUGGAGUCGGCAAAAGCAGAGCAAAAUUCGCACCACGCAUGGGUUAUGCGAAUUUUGAAGGUGUUAUGCGAAUUUCGCAUAACACCUUGUGUCGUGCGAAAUUUUCGCACAACCUGGAGCAGUUGGCUUCCGAAGGCCAUAUCUUCCUCAUUUCAGCUCCAAAUCAUACACGGUUUGAAGCGUUGGAUUCUUGACUUCCUGAGCUUUGAAAUGGUAUAUAGAAUGUAAAAAAUGGACUUCGGAAAGUGCUCCAAAAGUGCGAAAGAAGACUGCAGCUGCUGUCCUCUUUGCUUCUCUUCACUUUGCUUGCUUUUCCUCUUUGCUUCUCUUUGCUUCUCUCCUUUACUUACUUUGAACGACUUUGGAAAAGGGCUAUGGAGCUCCAAAGCUUGGUUCUUCAUGAAUUUGAGCUUCCAAAAGCUUUGCCAUAACUUGUCCAAAUAGCUCCUCCAUCAUUUGGCAUGCUUGAAUUGAUUCAUAAGCUGAUAAAAACAUGUAAACUUGCCACAAAAUGGUUAAAACCAAUUACUAAGGACCUUAAUGAAUUAAUUGGGUUAAAUGAAUAUGAUUACUACUCAAAGGUGCUUAAAACCAUUAUAAUUAGGUCUACAAAAUAGCACUUUUUGGUAGUAACCAUAAACGUAAAAAAAAAAAAACAGAAAUUAUGCACGAUUGCUUGCACCCACCUCAUGGAUGUCAUAACAGCAUGCCUUAUCUGCUGAAACUUCCUCAGGCCUGAAAAAUCUUCUUACUCUACCCAAUAUAAUCUUUUACAGUAAUAAGCAAUUGAUAACAAAUUUACAUGGAGAAGUGAGGACCCUCAGCUAGUUUCACCCCCAUGACCGUGACCCAACAACUCACCCAACAUAAUAGUGUGGAACGGUUUUGAAAAUGGUCGCCACUGUGUUGAGAGUGCUCGAGCAACUUGUUGCAUAGUUGGCCGAGACUGGGGAUUAACACGCAAGAAUGCUAAUGCCAACUUCACUGCAACCACUACUUCCUCAGCCACUUGAUUCACUAGAGGUGAGGGGUGCUGGUCCAUCACAUCAUUUAAUAGGAGAUGGUCCACAAUUGAUGAUAAUGGUGAUGAUGAGGACAUUGAUGAUAAUAGGGACGAGAUGAGUUCUCCAAGAUGCCUUCCCAUAAUUACUUCCAAUGUUACAACACCGAAGCUAUAAACAUCGGUUUUAUUAUCCACCUUCAUCGUAAAAGCAAGUUCUGCAAAGAGGAUUAGAUCAUGCUCUCCUAAGAUAUUAUAAAAGUUACAUAUGACAUGUAGAGGCCAUUUAGAGAUAAGAAAGGCACUAAGAAAAAUGUACCUGGAGCAGUAUAACCAAAAGUUCCUGCAAAUGAAGUCCAAUUAGAUGAGUCUGACUUUAAAAGCCUAGUCGUGCCGAAGUCAGAAACAUAAGCUUCAUAUUCUGAAUCUAACAAAACAUUGUUGCUCAAUAUGUCUCGAUGAAUUAUAGGAGGUGAGCAAUCAUGGUGCAUAUAGGAUAGAGCUUUAGCCAUGCCUUUAACAACAUUUGGCCUCACAAUCCAAUCUAAUUUUUCUGCUUCUUCAUCGUUGCUUAGAAUGUUUCUCAAGUUCCCAUUUUCCAUAAACUCAUAAACCAGAAACGAGUUCUCUGCAAAUGAAUAGAAGCUAUAACGCUUGACGAUAUUGUGAUGCCUUAUCUGUGUUAAAGCAUGAAUCUCGCUUUUGAAAGCUUUCAAAUCAUCCAUAUCUCCAUCUUCUGAUGAGUGAAGAUUUUUCACAGGAACAACCCAACCUGUUAGCAACUCAGCCUUGUAAACAGUACCAUAUCCUCCAAUGUCAAUACACUGUUUCAAACUGAAAUUGCUAGUCCCCUAUAUGAUGUGCUCAUACAACAAUUCACCAUCAUGGCCCCAUAUUGCAAAUAGAUCUUCAACAUCUGCUUCUGGAGAGUUGGUUUUUCUCUUCCUCGAUUUUUGGAAAAGAAAAUAAAUGCCAAUAAUAAAAGCAAAUAAGAAUAAUAGAGUUCUCACAGUGAGAAGUAUUAUGACCAAAAUAGAAAACUUGUUGGCCUUCUUUUGACUGGCACUACAUGGCUUGAGAUGAGUGACAUUAUUAUCACAUAGACCUUUAUUAUUUUUGAAUGCCUCAAAUGGAGCAAAGGCUUUGAUGUUGGGGAGAGGACCUUCCAAUUGAUUGUAGGAUAUAUCAACAACUGUCAAACUUAUCAAAUCAUCAAACCUAUGUGGGAUGGUGCCAGAGAGCCCGUUGCGGGAGAGAUUCAGCGUUUCCAGGUUUUGUAAUUCUCUAAGCAGCGGUAGCAUCUCUCCUAUCAACAUAUUUUGACUGAGAUCAAGACUUUCAAGAUGAUGCAUAUUUCCAAUUUCAUCAGGAGUGCUAUCCACAAAUCUAUUCUCGCUCAAGUUCAAGGACAAUAAUUUCCACAAGGUUCCUAGUUGUUUGGGAAUUGGACCGCUUAAGUUGUUUGAUGCCAAGUCAAGGAUUUCAAGAUUAGAUAAGUUUCCCAAUUCCAAAGGAAUACUUCCUAAAAGAUUUUUGUUGCCUAGCAACAAUUUGAACAACAAGGGCAACAUACCUAAUUCUUUUGGGAUCUUCCCAAUUAGAUGAUUUGAGGAGAGAUCAAGUUGUUGUAGUUGAAUUGUUUUCCCAAGUUGAGGUGGUAUAGCACCAGAAAUUUUGUUGUUGGAGAUGUUCAGGUUUGUGAGCAUGUGGCACUACUCCCAUUUCUCAAAAGGCUCACCAUAAAAAUUGUUACUCCUUAGAUCAAUAUAAUUUAGGUCUAGGUAUACACCAAAACUUUCAGCUAUGUCUC